UCUAAAACUUUAUCUUUUGGUUUCCUUUUGCUGGUGAGUUUGGGCUUAGCUUCGGCGGCCCGAUCUCUUCUUUCUUACGAUAUUCCUCCUCAUCGAUCUGGAUACGAUAAUUAUGAUCAUCCUGUAGUUAACCCUAAAGUAGGAUACGAACAUGACCGUCGUGAUGGAUACUACCAUGACCGUGACCAUCAUGAUGCACCUUAUGGUGGUGGUGCUGGUGGAGGAUAUGGAGCUGGAGCUGGAGCUGGCUCAUCUCUUGGAGGCUCUGGAUAUGGAAGUGGAGGAGGUGGUGGUUCUGGAUAUGGAGGUGUAGGAAACCACGAGGUUGGUUAUGGUAGUGGUGGAGGGGGUGGAUAUGGAGCUGGAGUUGGCUCUGACCUUGGUGGUAGCGGAUACGGAAGCGGUGGUGGUGGAGGCAGUGGAGGAGGAUACGGUGAUUUAGGAGGACGUGGAAAAGGGUACGGUAGCGGUGGAGGUGGAGGAAGUGGAUAUGGAGGUAGAGGAGACCAUGGAGUUGGUUAUGGAAGUGGUGGAGGUGGAGGAUAUGGAAGUGGAGUAGGUGGUGGUGCAGGAGUGGUAGACCAUGGUGUAGGUUAUGGGAGUGGAGGAGGAGGUGGGGCUGGUAGUGGUUAUGGUGGUUCCAAAGGAUAUGGAGGUGGAAGCGGCGGCGGUGGGGGAGCCGGUUAUGGUGGUGGAGCACAUGGAAGUGGAUAUGGAAGUGGUGGUGGAGCUGGAAGUGGUGAAGAAGGAGGAUAUGAUGGUGGAUAUGCACCGUAAACAAAGAAAAGAAAAGAAAAAGCUCAAAGUUUUAUGGCUAAAAUGAGAAUGCUUACCCUAAUAUCAUCAAUGUGUGUGUGUGUUAGCAAAAAAAAAAAAUAAAAGAAUUUGGGUAAGAAAUGUUAUAUUAAUUAUCUUUGAGCUUUUAAGUAAUUUGAAUGUAAUAUAAUAUAUAUAUAAAAAAAGCUAAUCCAUGUGUUCCAAAGUGAACCAACAUGAAGUAUAUUUUCUCCCUUUGUCAUCAUGAUCAUCUUAAACUUGUGGUUAUUAUGUGGGCUCUCAUUAUUAUUCCAAGAUAGCAACGUCGGGAUAUUCAAAUAUUUUUCAUAUGUAAUGUCUUAAGACUAAAUCACUAUGAUCUAUAUGCUUUAAUUAAGUUCAAAACUAUUUUGGAAGCAUUAUGAUUAAUAUAUUGAUUACUUAAAUACUAUUAUAUGGUUUUCAAGGUAACUUGAUGUUGUUAAUAAAAGAAAUCUUUAAUAUUUAAUCAGUCCUUUCUCUUAAAAUUUAGUAAAAAUAAAUACUAAAAUGGUAUGAUGUUUUAUGGUUGGAUUUGGGGUAUGUGUUUUGGCUUGUCCCUCUAGUUGUGACUUGUUCAAAAUAAGUGUACAAUCAAAUUCACUUGGGUUAUUAAAGACAAUUGAUAAACAAAAAUUGCCAAAACGAUAGAGCAUAACUAUUUAAUCGGUAUAAAACUUGUACAAUCCAUUAAUCAUAAUAUACUUUUUCUAAUUGAUCUCUAAUUGAUCGUACAUACUAGUUAGUGUCGAUAAAAAACUCAAUUUGACGUAUAAAUAUUUGUUUGUUGUAAAUGAACAUCUAAGUAUAUUCUUGAUUAAUUAUUCUUAUACUAAGAGUAACAUUGACCCCUCUAUUCUUUAGUAUUUGGUUAAAAGAAUAAAAAAUUAGUAAGUGAUGAAUCUUAGUGUGCUAUAGGUUGAUCAACCAAUUAAAAUUAGUCGUUUCAAGCAAUACUUUCGAAAAAAUUCAUUAAAUAGGAGUUAUUUAAACUAUCAACCCUGAGUUUUUAUACAUUACAAUAAAUUUAAUCUUUGAUGUCGGUCAAAAACUAAUAUAUAGGAGUACAAUAUAGAUCACCAGAUCGAUAUGGAAGACAAUGUUAUGGAAGAUGUUCAAUGUUAAUCACUUUUAUGUUCGUUUUGGUCUUGGCAUUAUAAAUAAUUUAAAUGGUAGUUUUUGCUCACACUACAAAUGUGUUAGACUAUUAGUCAUCAAAUAGUUUGAAUUCCUUGUAAAAAAAAUUAGUUGAAACAAAAAUAAAUAAUUAUCUUUGCAUUAAAAUAAAAUAAAAUAAAUAAAAUAGAUUUUUUUGUGAAUAUUUUGGUCAGGUGUUCUAUUUUUUAUAAUUUCCCAUAAAAAAUAUGUGUAAUAAGUUAUUUAAAAUACUAAUAGUAUUAAUUAGUUUACUUAAUAAAUCAAUUAUAUCUCUAAAUGAUAUUUUGGUAGAUUUAAAAAUAUUUUGAUUCAUUUUGCUAUAUUUGAAAAAGAAACCAUAAAAUUCUACUUCAUAUUCGCAAUAGAUCAUGGUAAACUUAGAUAGGCAUCUAUUAUUUAUAUAUAUGGUGAUAGAUACUUAUGUAUCUAUAUCCAAGCCCAUCAUCUAAAUAUUUUCAAAUGGUUUUCAAUUGAAAACAAAUUUCUCAAUAAGUAAUUAAAAAUUAGGUUUUUAUUCACUAAUAAUUAUUAUUUAAAUGUGAACAAAUAAAGUUUAGCUCGUAUAUAAUGGGUCAGUAGGUACACUCGGAUAUCUCCACUAGAUGGACACCCCUUAGCACCCUCAUUAUCUCCGUUUCAUUAAUAUAAAAAAUCGAAUUGAAUACACGAGAAGUAAAGAGAACAACCCAAACAAAAAACAAAGAACUAGAGACAAGCCCAAAACAAGUACAAACAAUUAGAAAGCAUGAAGAAAUUAGUGCUUUAAACCCCUAAACCGCAAUGUUACUUAACAAAUAAAAUUGUUAUUUAAAAGUUUGAAGUUAUUAUUGAGUUUUAUUUUAGCAAAUUAAUCAUCUCUUAAAUUAAAAAUCUCAAACAUACAUGGAAGAUAAGAUCAAUUAAGCACAUGUUGGAUGAAUUUUGUUCGAAUAAAAAUUAAAACAACUUAUUGUUAUCAACUUAUAAGUUAUAUAUAUGAUGAUGGUGGUGCAGAGGUGAAAACUUAGUUUGAGAUCUCUCCCUACAUCUACUAUGCUUUUACGUUCUAAUGUAUUUUGUGGUAAAAAAAUCAAUUAUAAACUUUUAAGAAAAAUUUUCAUAUGUUAUUAUUUUUUCUCUAAAUUCUAAACUAGCCAGGUUAUCAACAAAACAAAUACCACUAGAGUUUAAGGGAUUAGGAAGCAUAUAUGAAUAUCUCAACUUGGUUAACACGUCGUUUUUAAACAUUUCUCAUCAGGUUGCUGUUUCAAAAGUGAUGCACUGAUGUGAAGAAACAUAUAGGAGAAAAGUGAGAUGGAAAGUUAGUAUAUUGGACAGAGUACAUAGUACAUAGUAGGUUUAUUAAUUAAUUUAUCCAAAUGAUAAUCUCAUUACCAAGCACUAUGUGAUUUAGAUAUGAAUAAAAUGUGAUCAUUUUUCCACCACUAUUACAUAGCAAAUGGGAAAACAUCUCAUUGUGGUUUGAUAUUUUAAAAAACAAUUAUGGUAAUGCAAGUCGUCUCAUAUCCCAUAAUAUUAUCUCAGUCUCAUGGCGACUGAUACAAAAGGACAAAACUAACUUCAUUAAAAUAUGUUCUCUCCUUCCUACACUUUUUAGGUAUAUAUCAUUCAUAUAUUAAUCACUGCAAUUGGUUAGGUGGACUACAAAAACAUAGAUAUAGUCCGAGAUAAAAUUAAGUACGGUUAUAUUUUACGAGACUUUUGAUGUGUUUGAUUACAUUUUCAUGUGUUUCUUUUAGAAAAUAAGUUAUUUUGAAAAAACUAAAGUAUUUUAAACAAUUUUUAGAACAAUCAAUUUCUUGAAAAAUAUUUUUUUCUUAAUUCAAUCUAAGAUGGAUCCUCAAAAUAUUUGAGGGUAGUUCUUUUAUAAAAGUAUUUACACUAGGUUGGUUUAUGAAGUAAAAUAUUGAUCGGUAAAUUCAAGUUUUAAAUUAGAAAAAUUGAAUAUUUUUAAAAAUAGAAGAAUUGGCUAACUAUUUACAACUCAUACCAAAAUUUUAAUACAAAUCCAAAGUAUCUAUUUUUUAUUUUAUUAUUAUUAUUAUUUUUUGCUAUAGGAUGUAAAUACUAUCUGUUUUCUUGUAAAUUUCUCUUACAAUCCUCUACGAGAAAGUCUUAAUUUUUAUAUUUAUGAUUUAUAUUAUAAUAUAAUUAUUUGGAACCAUAUAAUAAAUAAAAGGAAAAUUGUAAAACAUAACAUUUGACAAAAUAUCUUCGUAGAAAAAUUUGUUGUGUAAUCAAUUUUGAGGUUUUGUUAUAUGGAGCGUAAAUAUUUUGUCAAAUUUUCUAUUUGUGAAAAAAAAAACUUAUAGGUAAUUUGAAAGGUAAGUGAUCUUGUUUAAGAUCCAAAUUUCUUUUAUGAAAGUUUAAUUUAGAAUACAUACGAGAAAAAUAGAUUAAUCUAGAAUGAUAAAUGUAAGAUAGGUUUGGGAAGUACCAAUAAAUUUUAGGCAUGUGAUAGACUAUAACUGUGAAGAUAUAUAGUCUAUUGCUAUCUUGAAUGGCUCAUUCUUGUUUGAAAAUGACCUUAUUUAAAACACAACUUUUUUAUAAAAGAAAAUCCCUUGCAUCAUUCAAACAAUCUUACAAGAUCGUAUUAGUGGAAGAUGAGAUAGAAUUCUGACAUGUGUAUUAUUAGUAUACUUGAAUAGUUUCUUAUCUAACUUUUGAGCAAGUAGUGGAGAAGCUGAUCAUGAACCCUAAACCCACCGUAUCAUUCACUAUAUAAAGGAGAUCACUACAUGCAUUCUAAGGCAUCCCUUCUCCAAAUGGCUAUCUUUAGAACUUUCUCUUUCGGUUUUCUUUUGUUGGUGAGUUUAGGCUUAGCUUCUGCGACCAGAAGUCUUCUCACCUAUGAUCCACCACAUCACUCUGUAUAUGAUGAUCAUAACACUAAAGUAGGUUACGGACGUGACCAUCAUGAUCAACCUUAUGGUGGUGGUGUUGGUGCUAGUGGAGGAUAUGGAGCCGGAGCUGGCUCUGGAUAUGGAGGUGUAGGAUACGAACAUGACCAUCAUGAUGGAUACGAACGUGAUCAUGAUCGAUCUUAUGGUGGUAGUGCUGGUGGAGGAUAUGGAGUUGGAGCUGGCUCCUCUCUUGGAGGCUCUGGAUAUGGAAACGUAGAUCAUGGGGUUGGUUAUAGCAAUGGUGGAAGUGGUGGAUAUGGAGCUGGUGUUGGCUCUGACCUUGGUGGUAGCGGAUAUGGAAGCGGUAAUGGCGGAGCAAGUGGAAGUGGAAAUGGUGAUUUAGGAGGACGUGGAAAAGGCUACGGUCGCGGUGGUGUUGGAGGAAAUGGAUAUGGAGGUAGAGGAGACCAUGGCCGAGUAGUAGGCCAUGAUGAUGUAGUUUAUGGUGGUUCCAAAGGAUAUGGAGGUGGAAGUGGCGUCGGUGGGGGAGCUGGUUAUAGCGGUGGAGCAAGUGGAAGUGGAUAUGGAAGUGGUGGUGGAGCUGGAAGUGGAAGUGGCUAUGGCGGAAGUGGUGAAGAAGGAGGAUAUGAUGGUGGAUAUGCACCUUAAAUAAAAGGGGCUAAAACAUCAUCUAAAAGCUUAUCGUUAAAACGAUAAUACUUACCUAAAUAUCAAUGUUUGUUAGCAAAAAUAAAGAAUUUAGGUAAGAAUGUUAUGUUCCUCUUUUGAAUUUUAGUAACUUCAAUGAAUGUGAUAUUAUAAAAACUAGCUGUUUCAUGGGGUUCUAAAGACCAACAAACAUGCAUGAAAUACUGAGUUAAUACAACGUACGCCAUUCCAAACGUGCUAUUUUAUGGAUUCCAAAGUUGACUUUGAACUAAGGACUAAAUAAUCCUUUAACACCUUCUAAACACAAAUUAUUUCACAGACGUCAAGAUCAGUUAAUCAAGUUAAAACUUAAUAGGUCAAAUUCAUCAUUCCAAAAUGACUUGUAGAAAAAUUUUGAGACUUAGUUCGAGUAUGUUAAAUUCUAAUGUUACGAAGUUUUCUUAACAAAAUUGAGAAGGAGGUUGGGAUGGUGGAUAUGCACUCAAAAAUUUCAUCUCAAAAGAGAAUUGAGAAACAUACUUUUCAAGUAACAAACCCAAUAUUCAUAUUAAUUGGGCAACAAAAGUAAGGAAAUAGGGGUAAAAAGAGAACAUUGUUUUCUAAAUAAUCUAUGUCGAGGUUUGCUUCUUGGCCAUGAAAUUCGAACCAAUUAUUCAAUGAUAAGCAAAUUUGGAUUAAGUAUGCAUGUGUAAUGUGACAAAAUUAUUCAACCACAUUCACGUUAUUUUGCUUUCCUAAUCAUAUUUAUGAAAUAAGAUGGUUUCAUCUUUCAAAAUCAAUACACAAUUACAAAAGUAGUAAUACUUCUAUCUUAUAAACAAUGUUGAUCUCUUGAAUUUUCCAUGUAUGGAAUUAUCAACAUUCUCCGCAUAUUGUUCUAGGUUAUUUUUUUAACCAGUGUAAUCAACCUCAAACAAAAACAAAAGUGACAAAACCAAGAAAAUAACAAAAUUUUCACUUAAAUAAAAGAGGGAAAAAAAAUAGCACAUCCUAUAAGCCAAAAUAAGGGCGAGGGGUUUAGGGUUUAGGGUUAUUAGACCAAGACUACCAAAAUGUCUAAUGACUUUUAUAACGAAACAUCUAGUUUAGAUUGAUACAUAUGAUAUGUAGCAUCUUCACAGCAUCCAAGAUCAAGAGUCGAUAUAUUAUCAUGAAAAGAAAGUACAAAAGGGAAGUUAGGGAAAAACUUGGAGUCAACGUUAAGAGAACCAUUAAAAGUUUUAGAAGUUCAAUUAAUAUUUGUAAAAUUUUAAGAGCUAAAUUUUUAUAAUCCAACGUUUGAGGUCUAGUAAUUGCAAUUGACCAUCAUACUUCAGGGAUAAUUUUUGAAAAUUUCCUUUUCUAUUAUUAAAUUAUCAAGAAAAAAAAGUUUAAUGACGGUCAAAAUAAUCCCUGGCGUCCAUAUAAUAAUUUUCAAUAACAUUUCACGACACUAAAAAAAAUUGGAACUUUGCUCACAUUUUUCUAAGAAACGUAAAUAUUUUGUCAACUUUACUAUAUAUAUAUUAUUGUUACUCUUUUAAAAACUUAAGUAAUUUUGAUUCGACCAAUUUUUUUUGCUAUCAACUACAAUUGUUAAAAAAUAUAUAUAUACGAAAAAAAAUGGUUAAUUUUCAUUCACAAAAUAUUUAAAAAAGUAAAAUUUUAAAUUUGUCUCGUAUCUUUUGGAAUAAGGUUUGUCUUUAAUUAAGGAAAUUUAAAAGUUGCUAAAACAUAGCUAAAUUAAACAAAAGUUACUUUUUUAAAGAAAAUUUUUUAAAUAACAAAAUUAUUAAAAAUAUAAUUAAAUUAGAAUUUUUGAAUCUAUUAUUGAUAUAAUUAAGAAAAGUCUAUCAACAUAUAUCAAUUCUAAUAUUUUAUUAUAUUUUAAUUCAUUUGGUUAUAUUUAACAACUCAUUCCCACACAAACUAUAAUUCAAAUUAAAAACAUAUUUGAACAAAUAUUUUGUAUAAUUUAAGUGAUGAAUCGCACUAAUAUUGUUAAAAUGUGUUUAAAAUGUGAUACUUUUCCCACCAUAUUUUAUAGCAAAUGGCAGAUAAUUUAAUGUUUCUUUGAAGCAAGAAUUAGGCAAAGAAGCAUAUAUAUAUAUAUAUAUAUAUAUAUAUAUAUAUAUAUAAUAUAUAUAUAAUAUGUAAUUAAAUUUUAUAUUAUAGUUAUGCAAAAUCGUUUCAUAAGCCACUUCAUCUCUCUCUAUUUCAUGGCAUCAAGUAAACAAAAAGGGAAAAAGGGAAAAAGAGACCUAAUAAAAUAUGUGUUCUUUAAUUGGUGGAUUUUUAAUUAGCAUUAUUAAUUAAUCAAUCAUGUAAAUAUCCUACAAAGAAUAUUUGUUCUUAAGAUAAUUCAUUGCAUGAUGAAUCAAAAUUUUAGGUUGGGUGUUCCUGUAUACUUAAAAACAUUAUUGCAUUACCAAAUUAAAUUUAUACAAACCAAACGAUAUCAUUUUGUUCGUAUUAAGUUCGUUUAAGUUUAGAUGGUAUAUGAAAGUUGGUUUGUUAUGUUUAGGUUUAUUAAACAACAUUGUAUUUAGACGAUAGUGUAAACUUUAAGUUGUUAAACAUGUGUUUUAUCUUAGUCUAAUGUCGUCUAAUACAAAUAUAUUAUGAUACUUUUUAAUAUUUAAAAAUAUUUUUAGAAGUUUUAUAAAUUAAAAUAAUUUUUCUAAAAAUUAAGUUUCAUCAUUUUUAAGAGGAGAAAAGACACCCUAAACAUAAAUUAAAGAAAAUAGAAUGAUAUUGUAUUAAUUACAUAAAUUUAAUCAAAAAUUAAGAACUAAAAAUAAAAUUGUUAUCAAAAUGAAAAUUCAUUUUAACAUUCAAACCAUCCAAAAAAAAGAACAUCUAAUUACUCUAUUGUAACAGAAGUUUUAUCCUCUUAAGAAAAAAAUAGUUUAAUGUUAAAAGAGUAUACAAAACGUGUUAAUAAGUACACAACUCAAUUAGCAUAAAGCUUAAAUUUUAUUUAGAUCAAGACUCAAAUCUAUGAGAUCACAGGAUAUUGCAAAUUUAGGAUUUUAGGUUAUCGUUUAAAGUUCUAAAAUAUUGCAAAAUGGUGCAAGUGGGAAGAUGGGAUCCAAAUCAAGUAUGGAUAUGAUUUAGUUCCAAUUAUAAUUUAAGGUUAUAGUUUAAUGAUUUAGUUACAACACUUUAGUGUUUUGCCUCUUGAACUUCCCUUAAGCUAUAAUCCAUAAUUAAUAAUGUUUUUGAGCACGUGCCUUCUCUUUAAUUGCCACUAAGGUACCACACUAUAGAGAAGAGCUAAUGAAUCCUUGUUUUCUAUAUAAGGAGAUGGAUCAAUGCAUUCUAAGCAUAUACUCCUAUCCAUGGCUAUUUCUAGAGUGUUGUGCAUUGGCUUUCUUCUUUUUGUGGGGUUAGGGUUAGCUUCGGCUGCCCGAACUCUUCUUGAUUAUGAUCCACGUGCACGUCGUUAUGAUUACGAUCGUCCUACUCCAAGAGUAGGAUACGAUCCAAGCCAUCGUGAUCAAUCCUAUGAUAAUGUAUAUGGUGGAAGCUCUAGCAGAGGAUAUGGAGCUGGAGACUCUGCUCUUGGAGGUUCGGGACGAUAUGAAGGUGGUGGAGGACGUGAUUACGGACAUGGAGGCCGAAAUGAUGAUCGUGGUGUUGGAUAUGGAGGUCGAAAUGAUGAUCGUGGUGCUGAAUAUGGAGGUAGAAAUGAUGAUCAUGGUGCUGGAUAUGGAAGUCGAAAUGAUGAUCGUGGUGUUGGAUAUGGAAGUCGAAAUGAUGAUCGUGGUGUUGGAUAUGGAAGUCGAAAUGAUGAUCGUAGUGUUGGAUAUGGAGGCCGAAAUGAUGAUCGUGGAGUUGGAUAUGGUAAUGGUGGUGGAUAUGGAGGUGUAGGAGGACAUGGUGAUGGUUAUGGUAACAAUGGUGGUGGAAGCUAUGGAGAUCGUUAUGGCCCUUCUCUUGGAGGUUCAGGAUAUGGAAGUGGAGGAAAAGGAAGUGGCAAUGGCUAUGACGAUCAUUCUCGUGGAAAUGGUGCGCGUGACAAUAGCUAUGGAGAUUCUCAUGGACAUGAAGGACGUGACAGUGGAUAUGGAAGUGGUGGAGGAGUUAGUGGAGGCUAUGGCAAUGGAGGAGUUCAUGGAGGGGAGCAUGAUAAUAGCAAAGGAAGUGGAGAAGAAGGGGGUAGGGACGGUGGAUAUGCUUUCAAAAAUUCCAUCUCAAAGGAGAAUUGAGAACUCUUUUUCAAGUAAUGAACCCAAUAUCAUAUUAUGUUAACAAAAAAAAUAAAGAAUUGGGUAUAAGAGAAUGUUGUUUUCUAAAUUUAUGUUGAAUUUGUUACCAACGAAUGUCAAAUUCGAAUCAAUGGGUACAAUGAUAAUCAAAUUUAGGUUAUGUUUAUUGUGAUAAAUUUAUUGCACUCUUAUUUGUUUUGUUUCUCUAUAUAUAUUUUUUCUAUAUAUCCAUAUUAAUAUGGGUGGUUUUGGACCGAAGAAAAAAACAUCAUCUAAAAGUUUUUCGUUAAAAUCAUAUAAUUCUUACCUAAUAUCAAUGUUUGUUAGCAAAAAGUAAAAGAAUUUAGGUAAGAAUGUUAUGUUUCUCUUUGAAUUUUAGUAACUUUUUCAAUGAAGUUGUGAUAUUAUAAAAUCUAGUCAUUUCAUGAAGUUCUAAAGGCAAACAAGCAUGCACCAAAUACUCUAGCUAAUACAACGUACGCCAUUCCAAACGUGCUAUUUUAUGGAUUUCAAAGUUAAACUUUGAAACAAUCUUUUAAUACGUUCUAAACACAAAUUAUUUAACAUAAAUCAUGGGCUAAUCAAGUCCAAACUUAAUAGAUCAAACUCAUCAUUCCAAAUGUCUCCUACAUAACUUGUAGAAAAUUUUAAGAUUUAGUUCGAAUAUAUUAAAUUCGAUGUUCCAAGUUGUUUUAACAAAAUUGAAAAACUUCACCAUUAUUUUGAGAUUUUUUUUUAUGAUUACAUCCUUUAAUUUAUUGAAUAAUUAUAAACAAUCUUGGUUUCAAGAGAAUUAUAUUUACGCAACGAUCAUUUGCAGAUGUUCAAAAUAUUUCUACCCUCAAUUAUACUUACAGAAAAACAUUUGUUGCACUUAUCUCUUCCAAACCAUAAUAGUUUUUAGGAAAAGAAAAAAGAGACAUGUUUAUGAAAGAAAAUUAGGCUACGAUGCUCAUUGUCGUGGAUAUGGAGCGCGUGACAACGGGUAUGGGAGGUGGAGGAGUUAGGGGUGGCUAUGGUGGUGGUAGCAAAUUGAAGAGAUGGUUAUGGUAAAUAGAGAGGUGUUCAUGGAGGAGAAUAUGAUAAUGGCAAAGGAAAUGGAGAAGAAGGAGGUUGUGAGGGUGGAUAUGCACUCAAAAUUAAUUCCAUCUGAUCAAAAGAGAAUUGAGAAACUUUUUUUUUUUUUUUGUAAGUAAUGAACCCAAUAUUCAUAUUAAUUGCACAACAAAAAAUAAAGAAAUUGGGUAAGAGAGAACGUUGUUUUCUAAAUCUUAUGGGUGGAAGGUUUGCAUGUUCGUGAAUGUAAAUAUCAAAUCAAUUUUUUAAUGAUAAGCAAAUUUGGAGUAAGUGUGCAUUUAUACUGUGACAAAUUGAAUCAACCACAUAUACGUUAUUUUGUUUUUCCAAUGAUAUUUAUUAUAUAAGAGGAUUUUAUCUCAAAAUCAAUCAACAAAUACGUGAAUAGUAAUACGUCAAUUUUAUAAACAAUAAUGAUGAUCUCUUGAAUUUUUCAUGUGAAAUUAUCAACAUUCUCCAUGUAUUGUUCUCGGUUAUUAUUUUUGUAACCAAAGUGUAAUCCUCCAAAAAAAUACAAAAUUGACAACCAAGAAAAUAACUAAAUUUUCAUUUAAAAAGAAAAAAGAGAAUAGCAUAUCAAAUAUCAAAUAGCCAUGCAAAAUAAGCUUAACUAGGGGAGAGGGAGUCUAUAAGUCAAAUUGCAUAGUCUAAACCAAGGCUAACAAAUGAAUGAUGAUCCUACGAUAAAAUAUCUUAAGUAGAUUGAUACAUAUGAUAUGUAGCAUCUUCACCGCAUCUAAGAACAAGAGUCGAUGUGUUAUCACAAAAAUAAAAUACAAAAGGGAAGUUUGGGAGAAAAUUAGAGUUAUAAUAAUGUUGAGAGAGAUCCAAUUAAUUAAUACUCUUAAAAUUUUAAGAGAUAAAUUUUUAUAUUUGAGAAUUUAAAUGUGUAAUUGCGACUAAUUAACCAAUCGUGUUGAUUUUUGCAAUUUACCUUUUUUUAUUAAAUUUUCAAGAAAAAAAUAUUUAAUGACGAUCAAAAUGAUCCAUGACGUACAUACAAUUAUUGUCAAACAUUCCAUGUUACUAAAAGAAAAUUGAAACUUUCUCCAACGUUAUAAAUAUUUUAUCCACUUUACUAUUUUUUUUAUUAUUUCCCUAAUUUUGAUUCAAUCAAUUUUCUAGCUAUCAACUACCAUUCUUUAAAAAAAAAUCAAAUAUACAAAAAUAAAAAAUUGUCAAUUUUCGUCCAAAAAAAUUUUAAAAUAAAAUUUGGAAUUUGGAAUAUGGUACCUUUUGGAAUAAGUUUUAAAGCCUUUGAUUAAAAAAAAAAAGUUGCUUCAACCAAAAUCAUUGUAAAUAAUGUUGAAAUUAUAAAAUUAUUAAAAAUAUUUAUAAAUAUAGACAAACUAAAAUUUUAGAAUCUACCGUUGAUGUAACUAAUAAACGUAUAUCAGCGUCUACCGAAUAUAUUCUAAAAAACGGUAAUAUUUUAUAAAUAUUUUAGUAUGUUUACCCUUUCACAAACUUAAUUAAAAUUAUAAUCCAAAUCAAAACCUAUCCAAACAAAUAUUUGGUGUAACUUAAGGGAUGAAUCGCACUAAUAUGACUCAAACAUAUUUUGAGAAACGUGUUUAAAAUGUGAUAAAUUUUUCCACAAUAUUUUAUAGCAAAUGGCAAAUAAUUUAAAGUUUCUUUGAAGCAAGAAUUAGGCAAAGAAGCAUGUAUAUAUAUACAUAUAAUGUAAUUAAAAUUUAUAUUAUAGUGAUGCAAAAUCGUUUCAUAAGCCACUUCAUCUCUCUCUGUUUCAUGGCAUCUUAAGUACACAAAAAGAGAAAAAGGGAAAAAGAGACCUAAUAUAAUAUGUGUUCUUUAAUUGGUGGAUUUUUAUUUAGCAUUAUUAAUUCAUCAAUCACCAAGAAUAUUUAUUCUCAACAAAGUUAUUGAAUGAUAUUAAAUUUACAAGAACUAAAUGAUAUAUCAUUUCGUUUCAUAUUAAAUUUUUGUAAGUUUAGAUAAUUUAUGAAAGUAGGUUUGUUAUGUUUAGGUUAACUAAACACAUACAUGUUAAAUUGAAUAUGUGUUUUAUCUUGGUCAAUUGUGCAAAGUGGAUCCGUGGCGCAAUGGUAGCGCGUCUGACUCCAGAUCAGAAGGUUGCGUGUUCGAUUCACGUCGGGUUCAAUGUCCAUUUUUUAUUUUAGUCAUUUGUGAUCACAAAUAAAUUUAAACCUCAUAAUCAUUGCAUUUUAGGUUAUUGUGUAAAGUUAUAAAACAUUACAAAGUGGAACAAGUAUUGAUAUGAUUUCGUUCCAAUUAUAAUUUAUUUUUAUAGUUUAAUGAGACAUACGAAAAAGCCAACACUUUAGUAUUUUGCCUCUUGAACUUUACUUAAGUUAUAUAUAAAAAAUUAAUAAUGUUGUUGACCACAUGCCUCCUCUUUAAUUGCCACUAAGGUACUACACUAUAGAGAAGAGCUAAUGAGUCCUUGUUUUCUAUAUAAGGAGAUGGAUGAAUGCAUUCUAAGCAUACAUUCCUAUCCAUGGCUAUCUCUAGAGUGUUGUGCAUUGGCUUUCUUCUUUUUGUAGGUUUAGGGUUAGCUUCGGCUACCCGAACUCUUCUUGAUUAUGAUCCACGUGCACGUCGUUAUGAUUACGAUCAUCCUACUCCAAGAGUAGGGUACGAUCCAAGUCAUCGUGAUCAAUCAUAUGAUAAUGCAUACAGUGGAAGUUCUAGUAAAGGAUAUGGAAUUGGAGACUCUACUCUUGGAGGUUCUGGACGAUAUGGAGGUGGCAAAGGACAUGAUUCCGGAUAUGGAGGUCGAAAUGAUGAUCGCAGUACUGGAUAUGGAGGUCGAAAUGAUGACCGCAGUGAUGGAUAUGGAGGUCGAAAUGAUGACCGCGGUGCUGGAUACGGAGGUCGAAAUGAUGAUCGCGGUGUUGGAUAUGGAGGUCGAAAUGAUGAUCGCGGUGUUGGAUAUGGAGGUCGAAAUGAUGAUCGUGGAGUUGGAUAUGGUAAUGGUGGUAGAUAUGGAAGUGUAGGAGGACAUGGUGAUGGUUAUGGUAACAAUGGUGGUGGAAGCUAUGGAGAUCGUUAUGGCCCUUCUCUUGGAGGUUCAGGAAAAGGAAGUAACAAUGGCUAUAACGAUCAUUCUCGUGGAAAUGGAGGACGUGACAGUGGCUAUGGAGAUUCACAUGGACAUGAAGGACGUGAGAGUGGAAAUGGAAGCGGUGGAGGAGUUAGUGGUGGCUAUGGUAAUGGAGGAGUACAUGGAGGAGAGUAUGAUAAUAGCAAAGGAAGUGGAGAAGAAGGGGGUAAUGAUGGUGGAUAUGCUGUCAAAAAUUCUAUCUCAAAGGAGAAUUGAGAAUUCCUCUUUUUCAAGUAAUGAACCCAAUAUCAUAUUAUGUUAACGAGAAAUAAAGAAAUUGGGUGAGAGAAUGUUGUGUUUUAAAUUUAUGUUGAAUUUUCUUUGAAUAAUUCGAAUCAAUAGGUACAAUGAUAAUCAAAUUUGGAUUAUGUUUGUUGUGACAAAUUGACUGUACCCUAUUUUGUUAUAUUUCUCUAUAGAUUUUUUUAUAUAUAUCCAUAUUAAUACGGGUGAUUUUGAACUGAAUCAAAUGACAUAAACAAAGAGAAAAAAAUAUUGUCUAAAAGUUUAUUUGUUAACACCUUAUAAUUCUUAGUAACUUUUUCAAUGAAUGUGUGAUAUUAUAAAAAUAAGUUGUUUCAUGGGAUUCCAAGGAUGGACAAAAGAUGCAUAAAAUACUCUAACUAAUAAAAUGUACACCAUUCCAAACGUGCUAUAUUUUAUGAUUUUCAAAGUUAAACUUUGAAACAAUCUUUUAACACCUUCUAAACACAAAUUAUUUAUCAUACAUGGUGGGCUAAUCAAGUCCAAACUAAUUAAUAGGUCAAACCCAUCAUUCCAAUUGUCUGCUACACGUAACUUAUAAAAAUUUUCAAGAUUUAGUUUGAAUAUUUUAAAUUCAAUGUUUCAAGUUUUUUUAACAAAAUUGAAAAAACUUCACCAUUUUCUUGAGAUUUUCUUAUUAUGAUUACAUCCUUUAAUUUGUUGAAUAAUUAUGUACGAUCUUGUUGCAAGAGAAUAAUAUAUAUAUAUUAUUAUAUUAUAUAUAUACAUACAUUCAUUCAUUUAGGUUUAUGUGGUUCAAAAUCUUUCUACCCUCAAUUAUACUUAAAAAGCAUUGGUUGCACUCUUCUCUUCCAAACCAUGAUAGUUUUUAGGAAAAAAAAGAAACAUGUUGAUGAAAGAGAAUUAGACUACGAUGAUCAUUCUCGUGGAUAUGAAGCGCGUGACAACGGAUAUGGGAGUGGUGGAGGAGUUGGUGGUGGCAGCGAAAAAGGUGGUUAUGGUAAUAGAGAGGUGUUCAUAAAGGAGAAUAUGAUAAUCGGAAAGGAAAUGGGGAAGAAGGAGGUUCUAAUGGUAGAUAUGCACUCAAAAUUAAUUUCAUCUAAUCAAAAGAGAAUUGGAAACUUUUUUUUAAGCAAUGAACCCAAUAUUCAUAUUAAUUGGGCAACAAAAAUAAAGAAAUUGGGUAAGAGACAACGUUGUUUUAUAAAUCUUAUAUGUCAUUAGUUUACUUUUUGGUGAAAGUAAAUAAUUUGGAUUAAGUAUGCAUUUGUAUUAGAACAAAUUGAAUCCAACCAUAUACACAUUAUUUUACUUUUUUAAUAAUAUUUUUUAUUAAAUUAGAUGGUUUUAUUUUAAAAUUAAUUGAUAAUUACGUGAAUAGUAAUAUGUAUAUCUUAUAAACAAUAAUGUUGAUCUCUUCAAUUUUUUAUAUGCAGAAUUAUCAACAUUCUCCACCUAAUGUUCUAGGUUAUUUUUGUAAUCAAAGUGUAACUCUCAGACAAAAACAAAAACGAAAAAACCAAGAAAAUAACUAAAUUUUCAUUUAAAAAGAGAAAAAAGAAUAGCAUAUCAAACAUCCAUCCAAAAUAAGCAUAAUUAAGGGAGAGGGGGCCUAUACGUCAAUUGCUUAGUCUAAACCAAGACUAACAAAUGCCUUGUCCUAUGAUAAAAUAUUUAUAUUUCAAAGAUACAUAUAUUUUCACUACAUCCAAGAUCAAGAGCCAUUGUAUUAUAACAAAAGAUUGUACAAAAGGGGAGUUGGGGAGAAACUUAGAGUCAUAAUGUUCAAAGAGAUCUAAUUAAUACUUGUAAAAUUUUAAGAGCUAAAAUUUUGUAACAGAGAUUGAGAGUGUAAUCGCAACAAAUAAUCAUACUUCAAUGGUUGAUUAAUUUAUCAAGAAAAGUUUUAAAAAAACAUUUAAUGACAGUCAACAUCAACCCUUUCACGUCAUUAAAAGAAAAUUGGAACUUUGCCCACAUUUCUUUAUUAUUUUGCUAUUAAAAAUUAAUUUUGAUUCAAUCAAUUUUUUAGUUAUCAACUACUAUUCUUAAAAAAAUAUAUAUAUAUACAAAAAUUACGAAAAAGAAAUAUUACUUCUCAAACAAGAAUCAUCUUAAAUAAUCAUCCUAUCCAUUUUAAAAAAUAUAUAUAUUUUCAAUAAAUUAAAUAAUAAAAUUAUUGAAAAUAUUUAUAAAUAUAACUAAAAUAAAACUCUAAAAUCGAUGGAGGAUGUAACUUAUGAAAGUCUAUUAGCAUCUAUCAUUAACAUAUUCUAAAAUAUUUUUGUAAAUAUAUUUUGUUUCAUUUUGCUAUACUUAAAAAUAACCUUCCACAAAUUUAAAACUCAAAUUAAUCAAAACCAAUCCCAACAAAUAUUUUGUAUAAUUUAUGCGAUGUGCAUAAAUACGCAUUUUCCCACCAUAUUUGAUAGCAAAUGGCAAAUUAUUUAAUGUUUGUUUGAAGCAAGAAUUAGGCAAAGAAGCAUAUAUCUAUAUAAUAUGUAACUAGAUCUUAUAUUAUAGUGAUGCAAAAUCGUUUCAUAAGGCACUUCAUAUCUCUCUGUCUCAUGGCAUCUUAAGUACACAAAAUGAGAAAAAGGGAAAAAGGGCCCUAAUAUAAUAUGUGUCCUUUAAUUGGUGGAAUUUUAUUUAGCAUUAUUAAUUAAUCAACCGUGUAAAAUAUGGUAGGAAGAAUUAUUCUAAUGAUGAAUGAAAAUUUUAGGUUGGGAGGUCCCAUAUAUGAAGCAUAUGAGAAAUUUUCAAUCUUAAAAGAGUGAAUUAUCAAAUUAAAUUUACAUGAACGAAAUGAUAUAUCAUUUGGUUUGUAUUAAGUUUGUUUAAGUUUAGAUGAUUUACGAAAAUAGGUUUGUUAUGUUUAGGUUGACAAAACGACACUGUAUUUAGAUGAUGGUGUAAAUUUUAACAUGUUAAACAUGUGUUUUAUCUUGGUUUAUUGUGAUCUAAUACAAAUAAAUAUCGUUAUUGAAUUUUAGGUUAUCGUGUAAAGUUGUAAAAUAUUACAAAGUGGUGCAAGUGGGAAAAUGGGAUCAAAAGGAGAGUAUUGAUAUGAUUUCGUUCCAAUUAUAACUUAUUUUUUUAGUUUAAUGAGACAUAGGAAAAAGCCUACACUUUAGUGUUUUGCCUCUUGAACUUCCUUUGAGCUAUAUAUCCAAAAUUAAUAAUGAUUUUUUAGCACGUGUCUCCUCUUUAAUGGCCUCUAAGGUACCACACUAUAGAGAAGAGCUAAUGAAUCCUUGUUUUCUAUAUAAGGAGAUGGAUCCAUGCAUUCUAAGCAUACAUUCCUAUCCAUGGCUAUUCCUAAAGUGUUGUGCAUUGGCUUUCUUCUUUUUGUGGGUUUAGGGUUAGCUUCGGCUGCCCGAACUCUUCUUGAUUAUGAUCCACGUACACGUCGCUAUGAUUACGAUCAUCCUACUCCAAGAGUAGGGUACGACCCAAGUCAUCGUGAUCAAUCCUAUGAUAGUGCAUACAGUGGAAGUUCUAGUAAAGGAUAUGGAGUUGGAGACUCUGCUCUUGGAGGUUCUGGACGAUAUGAAGGUGGUGGAGGACGUGAUUCCGGAUAUGGAGGUCGAAAUGAUGAUCAUGGUGUGGGAUAUGAAGGUCGAAAUGAUGGUCGUGGUGCUGGAUACGGAAGUCGAAAUGAUGAUCGCAGUGCUGGAUAUGGAGGUCGAAAUGAUGAUCGUGGUGCUGGAUAUGGAGGUCGAAAUGAUGAUCGUGGUGCUGGAUAUGGAGGUCGAAAUGAUGAUCACGGUGCUGGAUAUGGAAGUCGAAAUGAUGAUCAUGGUGCUGGAUAUGGAGGUCGAAAUGAUGAUCGUGGGGUUGGAUAUGGUAAUGGUGGUGGAUAUGGAAGUGUAGGAGGACAUGGUGAUGGUUAUGGUAACAAUGGUGGUGGAAGCUAUGGAGAUCGUUAUGGCCCUUCUCUUGGAGGUUCGGGAUAUGGAAGUGGAGGAAAAGGAAGUGGCAAUGGCUAUGAUGAUCAUUCUCGUGGAAAUGGAGCACGUGACAAUAACUAUGGAGAUUCUCACGGACAUGAAGGACGUGACAGUGGAUAUGGAAGUGGUGGAGGAGUUAGCGGAGGCUAUGGCAAUGGAGGAGUUCAUGGAGGGGAGCAUGAUAAUAGCAAAGGAAGUGGAGAAGAAGGGGGUAGUGAUGGUGGAUAUGCUUUCAAAAAUUCCAUCUCAAACAAGAAUUGAGAACUCUCUUUUAAGCAAUGAACCCAAUAUCAUAUUAUGUUAAAGAAAAAUAAGGAAAUUGGGUAAGAAUGAAUAAUGUUGUGUUCUAAAUGUAUGUUGAAUUUACUUCAAAUGAAUGCUAAAUUUGAAUCAAUGAAUUAUGUUUGGAUUAUGUUUGUUGUUACAAAUUGAUUCCACCUUUCUUUUUGUUUUGUUUCUCUAUACAUUUUUCUAUAUAUCCAUAUUAAUAUGGAUUGAUUUUGGACCGAAUCGAAUGACAUAAUAAUCUAUGCCAAAUAAGAGUAAAACCACAUAGCCAAGAAAAUGAUAAGAGUAAAAGGAAAAAUAGUAUGUACAAUGUAAGACAAAUAAUUGUGUCUAGGAGAAGAGGGUGUUACUCAAGCCAAUGCAUUUAACCUCGACAAGACUCAACCUCAAGUUGAGCCUAACAAAAUGUCUAGUUGGGCAUACCCUUGUCAAAAUGCAUCACUUUAAUUAAGACUAAAAUAAACAUAUAGAGAAGGGAGUUUGAGCUUGAUAGGUCGAGACCAAUCCUAGCAGAAUAUUAAACAGAACUUGCCCUUCACAUGCCUCAACCUAAGUGAGUUGAAAAGGUUAUCGUAUCGUACCUCCAAAACUCUAUUCGGACAUAACCUAACUAAUUAACUAGGUUUAUUUAAUUCUACAAAUAAAUCAUUAGAGCUCUACAGAAACAAACUCUAUUCUCACUCAAUUUCUUUGACAUUUUUCAACUCUCUCUAAAAGCCAAAUAGGCACAACCCUAAAUCCUUACAUCUUCAAACCCUGUGUUUUAAUUACUAUGGAUAAAAGAGAACACAAAUCAAAUUUUACUUUCUUAUAUUUAGAUCAUAUUUCUUUUGAAAUUCAAAGUAAUGGAUAACACAAUAUGCUUCCAUUUCUAAUUUAAAUGAAAAUUUCAACAUUCCUAAUUACUGAUUUAUUUACACAAAAUAGCCCAAAGUAAAUAACUAUAAGUGAGUUUUCUUUACUAUUAUUUUGGUGAGUGAAGAUACUAUGAGUUUUUAUAUCACUAAAAUGUGAUAAUUUUUCCAACCAUUAUUGUAUUAGCAAAUGGGAAAUAAAUUAUUUAAUAAUGUAUCUAUAAAGUGGGAAGAAUUAGGGAAACAAAAUGCAUAAUUAAAUAUGUAAAAAAACUAUAGUAAUGCUAUGUCGUUUCAGAAACCAUUUGAAGAGUUAAGGAAAAAAGAGGGGAAAAAAAGCUCUAAUAUAAUAUAUGCUCUUUAGUCCUUUUUCUUAAAAAAAAAUUAAUGCUCUUUAAUUAGUUUGAAAUAGCCAUAUAAAUUAAAUAUCUUCCUAAAAGGAAAGAUGGGUUCUCAAGAAAAAAUAUAUUUCAAUGCUUCUUUUUCUUUUUCUUUUUCUUAAUCCUUGUUGAUGAAGAGAAUUCAGGCUUAAAAAUGGAGAAUUUCAUAUUUUCUAAUAUUUUACACUUUUUUCAACCUCAUAAACAAAUUUUGAUUAAAUGGUUGUAGUAAAGAUACUUUUCUUUUUUUUUCACCAAAAACAGCUUUAUUUUAUUUUAAUCUUCUGUCAUAUUUGUAUCGAGAAAAUUAAAUAAAUACUAUUUUUUUUCAAUAUAUUUAAUUUCGUUUUAAAAUAAAGGGAAAAUCCCUAGAAAUCAUCACUUUUCUCUUCUUCUUUGAAGACCCUCUUCUUUUAUGGUAUAACUUUCAUUAGUUGUUCUUAAUAUGCUUCUUUUAACUUUAACUGUCAAAUAUAUAUAUACACAUACAACGAUAAUUUAUCCUUAAUAUCAGAUAUAAAGUUUUUUUUAUGCAUGGCUCUAAUCCAAAAGACUUCAAAAAAAAAAUUACCAAAAUGUAAAUCGAUGAUGAGAAAUUAAAAAAUUGAUAUGGCUAAUGUUUAAUAAGCUAGAUUGAUUGAUAAGUUACUCAUCCCACAAUUACUUGAUUUUGAGAUGAAACGUCAAGUUAUCUAAUAUUAUAUCGUAACUCGCGAAAACAUAAACGAACAUUCAGAUCAAAAAAAUAAAUAUUGGAGUCCAAUUCAAGAAUGAUGAACCCAAAGAGAGACAUCAUUUAUCAAUGGUGUGUAUACUAGCCAAGGAUCUUAUCAUGCUAGAAUAAUUGAGGGACCUUUUAUGUUUAUAUAUAAGAUGUAUAUGUUUCUUCUCUUAUAUUUUAUAUUGGUUUUAAGAUGUAAAGCUCAUGUUAUCUAAUAUAUGAUGUCGGUUGUUCGAAAAUUCGAUGUAAAAAUAGUAAAUAAUCGAAAGAAGCACGGAUCCCAAAAGGACAUAUCAAGGAAACCUCACACCAUGCAUCUUUAUAAGUCCCUCACACCAUGCAUUCAAAAACUAUAAUUGAGGGACCUCACACCAUGUCAUGCAUCUUUAUAACGUCAAUCAUACAUAUCUAUUAUUAAUUUCCUCUCAUAUGGCUCAUGAUAUACUACGUGUAACAAUUUUUCAUUGCCAAGAAAUUUCCAAAUUGUAAUAGUGGUAAGUUAUGAAAUGAUUUUCUUACAAAUAUCUUCAUAGAUAAAUUAAUAAUAAAACAUCAUGUGUGAACGGCAGAAUCCAAUUGACUGAAAAAUCAUUUUGGAGUAAUAUUAUCGGUUGUGAGCACAAUCCUUUGAUCUAUUUGGUGGGAAAGAAACAGUAGAACCUUUACUUGAGAAGCUAUAAUUCUUACAUUUUUAUUAAUUAUCAUAUUACUUCGUCUUUAUUUUAAAAAUAUUCAUACAAGACAUGAGAGAUUAGCAUAGGCAUUCAAAUAUCAAUACCUUUGAACAAAAAAGCUUUUCCUUGGCCCUAAAAAAGUUGUACAACAAUUAACAAAACACUCCAAUAUUAAGGUUAAUAGGAAGAAUGCCUAAACUUAACUAUAAAAAUUGUUUGGAACUACAAAACUAAGCAAACUAAGGUGGCUAAACUCAACAUGAAAAUAAAGAAGAGUAAUUUAAACUUAGAUAUUUAUUCAUGUCACCUAAACUUUUAAAGUCGUUUUUGAUUGCAUGCUCCUCUAAACUUUAUCAAAUCUUGCGAGAUCAUGUAAGGGGAAAGAUGGAAUCAACUUAGCCUUACUUUAAUUUAAUAUGUUUUAGUACCACAUGUCAACAUAAAAUAAAGAAAUUAGGUUAGAGAGAAGGUUGUGAUCUAAAUCUAAGUACAUUAAUUAAUGUCAAAUUUCAAUCCAUGUUUGAAUGAUAAACAAAUUUGGAGUAAAGAAUAUUACUCAACCAUACAUAAGUAAGACUUCAACUCUAAUUGAAAGGGGCUGACAAGUAUAGUUACUCCUAAACUGUCUACAAAUAUUAAAUAUUAUAUGAAGACAAUAAAGUUAAGGGGAGUUCGAGUCCCCUAGACCUAUACUAAAUCCGUCGGUCAUGGUGAUGGUGCACAACACUCAAUUGUUCAACACAACUAUGAUGAAUUUUUUUGUUUGUUGGGAGAGAAAACACUAAUAUGUUUUAUUUCAUUAAAAUGUGAUAUUUUUGUCCCAUGAUUAUUGUAUAGAGAAAUGGGAAAUUAUAUAUAUAGUGUAAGCUUCAAGUGGGAAUUAGGAAACACAUGCAUAAAUAUAAAGUUACGAUAAUUAUAGUAAUGCAAUGUCGUUUCAGAAGCCCAUUAUUCAUCCUCUCAAUUAUCUCAUGCAUGGUGGCUCUCAUCAAGUUGAGAAAAAGGAAAAAAAAUAGGCCUAAUAAAAUAUAUGUUCUUUGUUUCUUGGUAACCAUUGUAAAUUAAUCGUAAUAUAAAUAUCUUCUAAAAGAGAAAAAAAGAAGACUCUCAAGACAAAUUAUCAUGCUUCGUCAAUCCUCUUUUUUUUUUUUUUUUUUUUCCUCAAUCUUUAAUGAUAGAAGAAAAUUUUAGCUCAAUAAAAUUGAAAUUUUUGUAUUUUAAAAAAUUUAUGAUGUUUUUUAACACGUGUAUAUAUAUAUAAUGAACAAUAUAACAAAAUAUCACAUUAAGUUUUACUAUAUAUUUAUAAAUAUUUUUUUAAUUAAUUUUUUCACUUAAUUUAAAAAUAUUUUUUCUAUAUAAAUAUUAUUAAUAAAGAACAAUUACAUUAGCUUCUCUUUUUACGUAUAACUCUUACUUUGGAUUGAACUUUUAACUCUUGAAAAGAGCAUUAGUGAGCCAAUUAAUUCACUUUGACUACAUAACUUUCUUUAGUUGCUUAAUAUAUUUGUUUUGGUGUUAAACUAUCAUUAUAACAGAACAAUUAGGAUAGUUUUCAUUUUCGUGUAUAACGUUUUUCUAUGGUCGAUAUCUAAGGAAAUAAUCAAAAAAACAAAUGUACUUACAAUAAAUUUCAUUGUGUCAUAAAAUGAAAUUUCCAAAUUAUGUAAGUGUUAAGUUGUAAAAGUUGAUAAUCAAAUUUCAAUGUGAAAUUAUAUAUUUUGGAAAUAUCUGCACCAUAGACAAAAAUUAAUAAACAAACUUCUCAAAAUUAAGUGUGUUAAUUAUAAGAGAAUGCCUAAACUUAACUAUAAAAAAAUAAGUUGGAGCCAAAACUAAUUAGCUAAAAUAUUAAGGUGAAUUUAUCACAAAAAGUACAAACAAGUGAAGUAAGGUGGUGUUGCAUAAAGCCUACUGAUUUUCAACUUUGGCUUUCUAAAUUUGAGCUCCUCACGUUUUCACACAAAAGCUUCUCACAACCUUUGAAUAAGAUCCUCUCAAAAGAACAUCAACUACUGAUGUAUUAAACUAAUAAAGAGCCAGCCUAGUUUACUUGACUACUAGUAACAUCCUCAACAGUGACGUACAUUUAAUUUCACAAACAGUGCGUAAGGAUUAAGGUUAAACAAUCUCUCAAAACAUGCACACACAGUAUUUUUAACAGAGCUAAUUAACCCUAAAAAUAAACAAAACUCAUAAUAUAUAUGGAAGCUGAUCUUGAGCAGAUAGGAAAAAAGAUUAUCAAAAAGAAUAGAAAAACAAAUUAAAUCAGCAGGUUUAAUUUUCCCUACACGGUUCAAUAGAUUAAGAAAAAAAUCUUGAUACAAAAUUCGAAGGAGAAAUAUAGAUUUUGACAGAAAAUGUUACAAAACAAGUUGCUCAAGUUUUGCUUGUAACAAAAUCCGCCAAUCGUAGUACAGUAACACAUAAGCAACUAAAAUGACUGAUCUCAACAAGAAUGGAAACACUAGAUAUGUUACAAGAGAACAUGCAUAAAUACAGUUUGGUCUAAUUAAAAAAACAGUGUCUUAGAUAACACAAGAAGGUAGAAAAAUAGAUGAGAGAGUAAUCAAACUUAGCUGACAAAUAUGGAUAUUAAUGAAUUUCACCUGAACUUUAUAUAGUUUUUCUUUACUCUUCUCUAAAUCUUACCAAAUAUUGCAAGAUCGUGUAAGUGGACAAUGGAAUAAUCGUAAUAAUCAAUUGAAGCCUUACAUAAAAUAUCGAUGUGUUUUAGUACCAAAAUCGAACUUUAGUUAGUACCUAAUAUGACAAAAGGCCUCACUACGUAGUAUUUUGCCUCAUGGACAUCCAUGGAGAAGUUGAUGAACCCACCACUUUUUUUAAACAUAUGACACCCUCUUUACCGUGAAGGACACCAUAGAGAAGUUGAAGAGACCCUCCACCCAUUUCCUAUAUAAAGAGAUCAAUGCAUGCAUUUUCUUGGCAUUCUACUCAUUCUCUAAUUCUCUCCAUGGCUAUCCUUAGAGCACUGUGCCUUGCCUUUCUUCUCUUUGUACGGUUAGGUUUAGCUUCGGCUACUAGAACUCUUCUUGAUUAUGAUCCACGUACACUUCAAUAUGGCUAUGAUCGUCCUAGUCCAAGAGUAGGGUAUGAUCCUGGCCAUGGGGAUGAAUCCUAUGAUAAGGCAUACGGUGGAAGCUCUAGUAGAGGACAUGGAAUUGGAGACUCUGCUCUUGGAGGUUCUGGAUACGAAGGUGGUGGAAGACACGAUUAUGGAUAUGGAGAUCGACAUAAUGAUCGUGGGGUUGGAUAUGGUAAUUAUGGUGGUGGAUAUGGAGGUGUAGGAGGACAUGGUGAUGGUUAUGGUAACAAUGGUGGUGGAAGCUAUGGAGAUCGUUAUGGACCUUCUCUUGGAGGUUCAGGAUAUGGAAGUGGAGGAAAAGGAAGUGGCAAUGGCUAUGACGAUCAUUCUCGUGGAAAUGGUGCACGUGACAAUAGCUAUGGAGAUUCUCAUGGACAUGGAGGACGUGACAGUGGAUAUGGGAGUGGUGGAGGAGUUACUGGUGGCUAUGGUAAUGGAGGAGUGCAUGGAGGAGAGUAUGAUAAUAGCAAAGGAAGUGGAGAAGAAGGAGGUUAUGAUGGUGGAUAUGCUGUUAAGAACUCCAUCUCAAAGGGAAAUUGAGAAACCCUUGGCUUCUUUUUCUUAUUAUACUAUGCCAGCUAAAAUAAAAAUAUGGGGUAAGGGAUCAAGAAUAUUGUUAUCUAAAUCUAUGUUUGAGUUGCUCUUGUAAUGAAUGUAAUUAAUGAUAUAAACAAAAUUUGGAUUACAUUUUGUAUGAACCAAGUGAUUGGACCAUAUACACUUCUAUUCUUAUUAACUUUGAUUUGAGUAACACAAGCAAUAAUUAAACUUUUUUAUUUAUGACUAAUUUUAAAACUUGGGUUAAUAAUGAUGCAAUAUACAUGAAGAUGUGGGAAGAGAAAGGUAUACAGAGUGUGGUGCUCACCCCACACUCAAACUUUGAUGAAUUCCUUUUUUAUUUUCUUUUUACAUAGUUUUAAAAUAACUUGACAUUUACUUCACAAGACUAAUAUCCUUUUCUAAUACUCAUUUAAAUAGUUUUUGUCAUGACGAGAUGGAUCCCAGAGUUGAUUAGUUUUAAAAUUUUACCUUUUCUAAUAUGACAAUGCUAUAAUCUUAAAUCGGUUUAGAAAAUCUAUUUUAGUAAUUGGAAACUCCUUUAGAUUUUUUUAAAUUCAUAUAAUCGUGAAAAUAUAAAUUAUGCAGAAGAGGUUUAGAAAACAAAAUUCAUGCAAUAGCCAAAUUUGCACUUCCUUUGCUAUUAUCAUACUCUCCUAUUUUUUUGUGAUUUUUCAUUUUUAACUAUAAUUUUACAUAUAUGUGCAUAUCAUAUAUAUAUAUUGGACAUGGUGCAUAAGCACUUUGAGAUUUAUAUAUCUCUCUAUAAAACGUGAUCAUUUUCCCUCCAUUAUUAAUUAUAGUAUUAUGAUAUCAAAUGGAAUAGAUUAUGUCUCAAGGUGGGAAUUAAUUAUAUAUUUAGCAUUGUAAAUGCAAAGUAGUUUGAGAAAACCCAUUUCUUCAUCUCAAUGAUCUAAAUGACAUAAACAAAGAGAAAAAUAGUAAUAAUUAAACCUAAUAAAUGUAUAAUAUAUAUAUGUGCGUGUGUUCUUUAAUAUUUUUACCUUGGUAGGUUUUUAAUUAUAUGCAUUAUUAAUUUUAAUAAUAAAUAUAUUUAAUUAUUACACCUACACUUAAAAGUUUUUUAUUUGCCCCAAAUCUUGGUAGAUCUUUCAAGCAAGUGGAAGGAUUUAGAUCAAAAGGCUAACUUAAAUAAUUGAUAUGAAAUUAGUUCAAAUCUACUUUUGGCCCUAAUCUUCUCACACCAAAAUUAUAUUGUGUUCCCCUACACAAUAGGGCUGCCUCUUCAACCUCUCUAUGAAGAUGAAAUGUCCUUUUUUAAGGAGAUAUUCAUGGAUGAUGCAUUAUUCUAAGCAAAUCUCUCCAGGAUUAAUAUUCCUAUUGGAUUUCCUUUUUCUUGUGGGUCGAAGAUUGAAGUUUUCUCGACUAUAGUUCUUAUACACAUCACUACAAUUCAUUACAAGCAUCAUAUCCUAAUCCAAAUGUAAAAUAUAGGAUCGUAUUUAUUGUGGUUGAACAUUUCAAAGUGUAAGAAUAUGAACAUCAACCACAACCUCUUAGAUUGAUUGUGUUUAUAUAAUGCAAAGACUAAAAGAGAUAUCAUUCCAUAAACCUUUAUAUAUAUAUAUAUAUAUAGAGAGAGAGAGAGAGAUAUAUAUAUAUAAAGAUAAAUUAAAUAACAUAUAUAUUUAGAAUACUCUAAGACGUAAUAUAAUGUUGGUAGUCGCAAUGCAAAAUCAAAGUUUUUUAAAUUGAUUUGCAUGUAAUGAUCUCACAACGAUCUGUUUCAUCUCACUUUCAAACCCAUCAGUUCAUUAGUAUUGGGCCUUGAUUAGCUCUCUAACAAAGCCCAAUAGUGUACAUAUUCAUCUCGAUUUUUCUAUGUUUUCUACCUCACUUUAGUUGUGUUAUAGGUCUCACAAUUUAGUAUUAUUCUAGAAAGUAAACUCAAGACGACGUCAAUCUGAUUUACAUGCUGUUAGGACGAGAGAAUUUUAUGUACAAACUCCAUAAUAUUUGAUUUAAUUCACUUGUCGACUUUUUAUAAAUUUGUGACUAGAAGUAUAUAUCUCGACUAUCUUUUGAUCAAUUUCUACACAGUUCUGUAAAUUUGUAUAAGAUGGAGGUUAUUUCAGCUUAUAGCCCUUGCGAUUAUGUAUUGCUUAUCUAAUUUGAGUUUGAAUAUGAGAAGUGUAUUGUAAUUGUAUAUAUCCAGUUAAAGUGUAUAAUCAGAUUGCUAAUGUAUAUAUGUUAGUAUAUGAAGAGAAGAAGAAGAAGAAGAAAUGUAAAGGUUGUUGAAGCUAAGUGUGGAACAAAAGGAGAGAUCCACUAGAGGGAAGCAAUAUGAGAUAAUGGAUCGACCCCACACGUUGUUAUGAUUCAAAACACUAAAGACAAAGAGAUUUGGGGAUUUGCAUGUGGGAAAUUCAUAAAUAUGUCCAUUAUACUUUCUCUUUUGCUGCUGCUUUUCUACUUCAUAGUUCACACAAACCCUUCUUUCUCCAAACUUACCCAAUUAUAUGUCACCUAACUUAGGUUAAAACAUAUAACACUACGAACCUCCGAGUCUACCUCCAAACGUUACUGUUAUAUUAUCAAAAUCUUGUGCUAAUUUAGUCUCUAUUGACAUUUUAUUUGUAUCAUACCUUUGAUAUUUUACUGAUCAUGGGAGAGAUAUUUGCUCCACACGCUCCUAUAUAGCAUUUCUUCGUAGUCUCUUUUAACCGUUAGAGCUAUCAAAUAGUGGCUCUUUCUUUAGCAACGGUUGUUAAAAAUGUAUUUUUCAAUGGCACUCUAUCUAAAGAGGGGUGUAUAUGAAAUCACCAUUGUGGCAGCUUUUCUUUCCCCUUAUAAAAUGUGUCUUCUUUAACACACGUCUUGUAUGGUCCUAAAACAAGUUUCACGCAGGUCUAGUUUCACCUAACUUGAGUUUACUUCUAAUUCUCACGAUACAACACUUUCUAUGAGUUAAACUCUUCAAGAAAUAUCGUUCCUCCUAUAUGCUGAUCAUAUGAUUAGUAUAGAUGAUGAUCCUUAAGCUAUAUCGAAUAUGCAAUGUUGCCUUAAAUGAUUCUCUAAUUAGGACCACUCCACUAUUUCCUUGGCCUUUGAAAGUUUCAUCCCCCUCUAAUGGGGUAUUCAUCUCAAGCAAAAUAUACUAAUUCUCAUCCCUAAGUAAAUUAUAAAUAUACUUUUGAUCUCCUAGCUCAUUCUAGUAUAUUACUGAGACCUUUGUUGAUCACGUCAUCAAAGACUACUAGAACUCUUUUUAACUCCUUUUGAUAGUGCUCUUCUCGAAAAUGCAACUCUAUAUUGACAACAUACUAGUAGUCUUAUUUAUCUCGUUGUGGGUUGAUCAAAUAUUGCAUAUAUUGCUCAGAUUAUUAUUUGGUUGCUUCAAUGCUAAUUUUGUUGGUGAGGAUCGGUGUUCUCAUUUGGUGUAGAUAUAAAAAAACAAACUACAGUAUCUCGCACUUGGUAAUAUUAUUUCUCAGUUUUCAUAUUGGUUUCUUGGAGUGUUCCUCAGUAGUCUACUAGUUAUAUUUGUGUGACCAUCGUAGUGCUUUUUUAGAUUGCAAAUUGUGUGGUUUCUUCUAGAAACAUACCAAGCACAAUAAAAUUGAUUGUCACUUUGUCCAUCAUCAUCUCCCAAGCAAGAUCGUUCUAUCCCCACUAAAUCAGUAACCCAUUGAAAUCCUCACAAAAGUGUUAUCCCCCAAACACUUCUCUAUCCUACUUCACAAACUCAAGUUGGUGUCUGCCUUUUUCCACUCAUAACAAAAAAGCACCUCACAUCUAAAACUUCAACCAUUUUCAAGUUACAAAAUUUACUCUUCUACUGUGACAGCCCUUUUAAGAAGAAUGGGUUUUCAAUAAUAGAAAACAAAGAUAACAAUAAAAUAAAGUAAAAGAUUUAUAAGAGAGUGUGUAAUUUGAAAUCAAGUUCAAAUUCAAUUAAUACAUAACUCUAAAUAUUAUCAAACUAGCUGCCUACUCUCAUGAUAAACUUUUUGUUAGUUUUUCACAAUGUGAAAAAACUUGGAAUAGUUUAAUUAUUCUCAACAUUAUUUAUAAAGUCGGUGACCUAAUUUCUUACUAUAAUCAUAUCAACUAGAGAUAGAUAUAGAAUGAAUGUUAGUUCAUUAAUUUAAUGAUGAGUAGUAGCUAGGUAAAUGAACUACUAUGUAUUCAACUAUUUGUUGAAUGUCCCAUCAAUCCAUAUCUAACUAAGAAAAUAACAUAAAAACAUUAAGUUAAACAAGUGAUGAAAAAAUUUGUUAUAUAUAUUUAUUUUAUUUCUUCGGACGAUAAUUUUUUUUUUAUUUGUAUGGGUGUUCUAAACAUUUUCAAACUUAAAAGUGACAAAAAUCGGUUAAAAGAUUGGUAUGUAACUAUAUUAGUCAUAACUUAUAAACUUUAGCUUUUGGGUUGAAAACAGUUAUUUAUGUGGUAUCAGGACAAGAAAAUUGUGUAUAAACUCCAUGAUAUUUGAUUUUUGGUGUUAUUAUCACCAAGCAUGUCCUCUCUUUCCUAAAUUAAAAAUUUUGUGUUAUUAUCAUAUGAAAGUCAGGUAUGUUUUCUUAUAUUUAAAUUAUUGAAAGUGAAUUAGGUUAAAAGUUUUUUAUUUCCUUCUAAUUUUUUUUACUUAAUAAAUUGUCUUGGUAAUUUUUUUUUUAAAAUAAUCAUAAGAAAGAGCAUAUGUUGAAUUGGAAAUAUAUCAACUAAGUUAACAAACCCUUACUACUAUCUGUCACAUCCUAACCAAAAGAGAUAAUAUUGUCUUGGUAAUUUUUAACCUUCAAUUUCCAAUUCAUCACAUGGAAGCUAAACAAAGGGGUUAUGGAGCAUCAAUAGUUCAAGUUGGUUGUUUGGUAGAAAACACUCAUUGAGGUAUGGGAAACAGCAAGAGGCACACUAAUGGAAGUUGGGCCUUUUUUCCUUCUCUUUUUGCAUGUGCUUAUAGCCCACUUAGAAGUUGAUACUUACUCCACCAAUUCCUAUAUAAAGGGAUCAGAAGAUGCAUUGUAAGCAUAGGCCUCGUGUUUUGAGUUCCUAUGGAGAAUCAUAGAGUACAAUUCCUUGCUUUGUUUGCUUUAUUGGGUUUAGGGUUAGCUUCGGCCGCCAGAACUCUUAUUGCUUAUGAUGGCGAUGUCCAUGCCCCUGUGUUAGGGCAUACUUCUGUUGGAUAUGGUGGUGGAGAAGGAGCUGGUAGUGGAUAUGGAGUUAGCGUUGGAUAUGGCGGUGGUGGAGGAGGAGGACGUGGUGGUGGGGGUGGUUCUACAAAUGGUGGUGUUGGAUAUGGAAAUGGUGGAGGUGAAGGAAGUGGCGCUGGAUAUGGAGGUGGAGAAGAACGUGGUUAUGGCAAUGGUGGUGGUGGGGGAGGGGGAGGAAGUGGUGGUGGUGGUGGUGGUGGAAGUGGUGUCAGAUAUGGCCCGGUCGGUGGUUAUGGAAGUGGAGAAGGAGGUGGUUCUGGUGGUGGUUAUGGAGGCGGGGGAUCGGGUUAUGGAGGUGGUGGAGGUGGUGGCGGUGGUGGAAAUGGAGGUGGUAGUGGUGGUUAUGGUGCAGGAGAAGCGAGCGGAGGAGGAUAUGGAAGUGGUGGAGGACAAGGAGGAGGCUCAGGGAGCGGAGGGGGAGGGCAUGGAGGCGGCGGAGGAGGCGGUUGGGGAGGUGGGUAUGGUAGUGGAGGAAAUGGUGGUGGAUAUGGAAGUGGCGGAGGAGAAGGAGGAGGCUCAGGGAGUGGAGCAGGAGGACAUGGAGGUGGCGGAGGAGGUGGCUCCGGCGGUGGCUAUGGUGGUGGUGGAGGUGCACAAGGAGGAGGGUACGGAGGUGGGGGAGGGAGUGGAGGAGGGGGUGGUGGAUAUGCACCUUGAUUCUAUUUUAUUAUCUCAACAAAAAGGAAAAUAAUUUAAGAAGAAGAAGAAAGGUUAUAAAGAAGAGUACUAUUGAUUACAUUUUAUGUUCUUAAUAAAUGAAGUUUACUAUAGGGAUGAUAGUGAUUGAAGAAUGGGAAAUUAGGGACUCUUAUUUCAUUUGGAAACCCUUCCUUUUGAUCAUCUUUCCCUAAUCUGUAUUUGUAUUUUGUGUCAUGUGAUUUUCAAUUCUAAAUAUGCAAUUAAUUGUAAUUGUGAUUUACAACUUUUCCAUUCAUUUGUGCUCCAUCUAAAUGUAUGUAAACAUGAGAUUGAUGAUCACUAUAUUCAUUCAUCCAACAUACAAAUUCAAUCGUUAUUUUUACCGAGUUUUAAAUUUCACAUUUGCAUAUUGUUGAACUAAAAAAAUAUUGCACCAACUUAUAUCUAUGAAGUUUAAAAUGAGUUUCGAUAUCUCUAUACCUAGUUAACAAUAUUUGUAGAUCAAUCAUAUUUUUCAAUCAAUUAAAACCGUUUAUUUUUGGUAAUUUAUUAUGUAUAUAUUUGAUAUAAAGAUUUAAAAUACGAUAGAAUCGCUUAAGUCAAUCAAAACAUAGCUUAAUAGAAUACCCUCACAAUCUUAACUCUUUCUCUUACGCACCACUAAACUCAAAAUAAUAAUAAUAAUAUGAUUUAAUUAAUUCAUAAACAUCAUAUAAUAUCAUAAAAGUAUUAUUAUUUUAGUUUAAUAGUGAGUUUGGCGUAGUUGAAUUUCAGAAUAUUUUUUUUUGGCUAAACUAUUUAAUUAUAACUAUUUUUACAAAAAAAAAAAAAAAAUUGUUUUAACAUAAGAUACAUAUUAAAUUCACUGAACGUUUAAGAAUUCUUAAUCAUUCAUGUCUUUAAAUUUUGAUUCUAUUUCAAUCCAAUCACCAUUAUUAACCCGAUAAAAUUUACAACAAAGUAGAUCACUAACAAGCAUGAUAUGAGAUAAGAUUCCAUUAAUAACAUUAAACGUAUAUAGGAAUCAAAUAAUAUUUUGAAAAGACCUAUGAACCAAAUAAAAGUGCAGUACAAAUUAAAACAAAAACAAAAGGUUCGAUACUCAAACUUUUAUUAGUUUAAAAACAAUUAGAAAAAAGGAUUAAAUUUUAACUAAUUUAUGAAUAAAAAGAUUGUCUUGAAUCUAAAGUGGAACCACUUGGGAAUUCAGGCUCUCUAUUGAUCAUAUCAACACUUCCAUCUUCUCUAAGCAUCACCAUAUUUGAUUUUAUUUUCUUGGCAUAAAACGCUCUAUUACCUCUUUGAUGCCUGCCCAUUUGUGUUCUUGUUUUUGUCAGUUCAUACAAAUAUAUAAUAAUUCCUUUUUUUCUCAAUAUCAAAUAAAUCACUAGACUUUACUGCUGCCUUCAAAAAUUGUGAAAUAUACUAAGAAUAUGACUUUCUUUAAAAAAAAAAUGUUUUUUACAGACAAAUGAAACAAACAUAAAUUUCAAGAACUAAUAAAACCAAUUUUGUUAUCUUUACUCAAAAGCUAAGGAUGGCAAUGAAAAAAUAUAUAUAAUAAUAAAUUAGAUUUAUUCAACUUUGAUAUCAUCACUCACUCAUCUUUGUUUUUUUCUUUUUUUCUUUUUUUCUUUUUUUACUUUCUCACUUUUUAACAAUAGUUCAAAACUUUAGCUAACGUUUAAGAAAAUAGAUAGAUGGCUCGAGAAUCAACUAGUUUAGAGCAAAUUCAUAGCGACAAGAUUAGAAAUUGCUUAAGAAUCGAAUCUUUGGACAAGACUAUAUAACUGUUUUAGUUGAAGAAAAUAGAGAAACGAAUGGUUGAGACAUGAGAGACAAAAUGUUUUGAAGUGUUUUUGAAAAAGUAUUUUAUAAUAAUAAGAAGAAGAAGAACAAUAAUGAUAAUAUAAUAAAAUAAAUUAACUUACUUAUCAAAUACAACCCAUGUUGCAUGAAGGCUUGAGAUUUGCUCAACAAUAAGCAAUCUAAGUGGAUGACCCAUUACUACUUUCUUUUGUGGCACAACCUGAGAAACAAAAAGAAAAAAGAAAAAGGUAAUAAUAAUACACUGAUUCAUUAAUAAAAUAUGCUUUGAAAAUAUUAACCAAAAAUGUAUAUACCCCAUAUUUCCUACAGAGUGAUACCACAGCUUCAAGUUUUGCAUAUUUGGCUUCACUAAUAUACUCUCUUUCCACUCCCUCAAAGGACAUCUCCUCCAAAUUUAUUGGCCAAAUAUCCAACCAAGUUUUUGAUGAAACUACAAAAAUUCAUUUAUGUAAUGAUAUUAAGAAAACGCUAGAACAAUCAUACAGUUCGAUGUUAAGAAAAACAGGUAAAAAAACUCACGAGGAAUAUUGAGCCACGGCAUUGCACCAACAAGAGUAACGAUGCAACCAGGCUUAAUGACGUUGUCCAAUGCCCACUUAAGUGGGUCCGUUGUGAACUCUUCCAUUCCAUCCAUGACGACCACUACAUGUCUACUUGCAGCCUCUGAUGUUGAGCUCAAAGUCGGUGUUGGUGUUGGUGUUGGAGUUGGAGUUUGAGUUGGGGUUGGGGUUGGCGUAUCAUCCUCCAUGUCUUCGUUUCCAGCCCCUGCCAUGGCACAAAAAAUGAAAAUAAGGAAAAACAGUGUUGAUGGAAGACUACUUAAUAAUGUUUUCUAUAUAAUUCUUGUUUAGCUGUCUUGAGCAUAUUAAAUAACAAGGUUCGAUACUUACAAGAAUAUGCAUUGUAAUCUGCUCAACAAACCAACAAACAUCUCUAACAAUCAAUAUCUUCCAUCGAUUCUGUCAAAAUCAAACUCUUCCUACACUCAAAGCUCCAAAGUGAUGUGAUCCUUAUGCUAUUGAUCAUAGUUAUCAUCUCUAAAUAUCAGUCAAGUUACUAAAGAAAUUGCUUUAAAACAAAUUGAAACAGAUCGUCAUCAGAUAUGAAUUUGAUUAUAUAACAUGUCAAGCAUCAGAGUUGAAAAUGUUCUCUAUACAGAUUGAAAAAGCGUUGAUCGACUGAGGUCGAAUACAAAACCUGGACUCUUAUGAUAGCUAGAAAUAAAUUUAAAGGUCUUCCAUCACCACAUAUUUACCUCUAAAAAAAUAGCCUAAACAACUUUAGAGAGGGAGGGUAAAAAGCAAGGGAAACUAAAAAGCAAAAAUCUAUCAACUUGGCUUGCUACGGUUUCGGCUGCCAUGAAACGCAUCACAGAACUAUACUUGUUUUGCGACGAGUGUUAGGCGGGCUUGACCUUUUACAUGGUAAUGACCUUAGUCUCUUCUUCUUGUUCAAAGAGGAGCCUUCACUCUGAGAUCCCAAUAUAGCAGCAAUCAUUUUCGACCCUCUCGAACCUGGCAUGUUCUUCUUAACGUACCUCAUGGCUGCUUUUCUUUCAGAAUCUUCCACACCCUUAUUCAAUGGGCUUCCAGAUGUUGAGCACUUUUCUGUCUUCAGAUGAUCAACUGGGAUUCGGUAUUGUGGUUCUAAACAAAGUACAAAAAAUUCCAAAUAUUAAAUAUAGUCCAACCAGCCAAAUAUUAAACAGAAAACAUAUAGAGAUUAAAACAAGAUUUUACCUGGAGUACGGAAGACAUUAUCGGGGCUGGGAGAUCUCACUGGCGAUAGAGGAUGAAAACCAUCAAUACUUUCAUCUUCAUCAUUCAAACAGAGAUCCUUAGUUACAAUGGGAGAAGACUUCAUUGUUGCACUCUCAACUAUAUUCAAGUUAGCAGAAGUAGCAUUUUCCAAAUCACUGACACCAGUAUCUUGAUUCUCCAUUUCACAGGAAAACCGAGCAGGACUUGGUUGCAAAGUAUCCGCAGGUGCAUUUGCAGAUUCGUGAUUGACUUUAGACUCAGCAGCAAAUGAAGAGCAACCAGUACCGAUAUUUUGCAAAACCGACUUGGGAGAUGGAUUUGAGGAAUCUGAAUUCAAGCAAGGAUCCGAUCGUUGAAUUAAACUUGAGAACCAUGAAGUCCCCUUCCUCUUAUAUAACAAAAUGUAGGCCUCACGUGACAGCACAUACUCUUCAGUGACUGAAGUAACCUGAAUAACAUCAAAACCAGAAAGUUUUUUUGCUUCAGUAAAAGCUUACCGCACUUCACUAAAUCAAUGGAGAAUCAGCAGCUCCAUCAAUAGAAAAAGCACAUAACAGAAUUCCAGUUAAGUUAUAUCAGCACCCUCUUGAGGAUUAAUUAUCCUCAAGACCAAAACGAGUGCAACAACACAUCAGAUCAAUAUAGUAACUCAAAAAUAAGUAAUUGCUACUAUAAUUUCAGAAAUGGUGAUAUGAGAUACCAAAAGGUUCUACUGAUAUACAACCAAAAGCAAGGGGCCAAAUGCAGGGAAAGAAGAAAACGUGAAACAAAUUACAACUGGGAAGGAGAAUAUGAUCACUAAUUUAGUCGUCGCCAUAUAUCUAGCACGCUGCUAAAUCCCAGCAGUAAGUUGAAAAACUAAACAAAAUUGAAAAAUACUUCAUAAAUGUUAUACCAAUGAGUCGUCCAUUCUGUGCCAUGUAUCAGGAGAGGAACGAACAAAGCUGAAGUAGUGCCCAGAAGUAGAGGAAAACCCUGUGUGUUCCACAAUGGCAUACAAUUCAUAUUUGAGUUCCACCUGUUAUCGUCAAAGGGAAAAGAGAGAGAACCUCAGUAAUGAACCUAAACCAAUUGUAGGGCAAAGCCAAAAACAAAAAAUAUUACAGAGCUCAAAUAUUCUACAUUUUCAAGAUACUGAUGACAAUUCUUGUACAAACUUUACACCAUGAGGUAAGAAAAGUUAGAUAUUACCUCUGCAUCCUUGCCUCCCAGGGUGUACGGCUUCAAAUCUAACUCUAAUGGAAACUCCAAGUGCUUUUCGAUUUUCUCAACAAAAGAACUAUCAGCCUUGAAUCUCUUUAAGUGGAAUGUAGUAACCAAAGGGAUUUUUUCCAGCUUAAGCUGCUUCUCCACCCACACCUCCUCUUUGCAGUUUUCACACUUAAAUUUUGUUUCUGGAUCGCCAAUUCUCUCCACCUUGGUGAAAGAUUCCAGAGCACUGGAAAGGGAGUCCACAUUCUCAAUCUCCAAACUCAAGUCAACCAAAGGCUCAUGGGUUUCGGAACAAUGGCCACAAUUACAGCAGCAAAGCUGAAUAUGACACAAAUUGUAAAAAACAAGACACUGAAGCUCAAUACUUAAAAACAAAACAGUAAAGAUCAUUUUCUUACAUUGCUUAUGAGACGACCACCAAACACCUUAUUCACUAGAUCAUCAUCCUCUGAAGAAACUCGAUCCUUUCCUUCUGAAACCAUGCAUCUUUCAAGUUUAUCCAAGAAGCACUGCAUGAACUCAUGGGCAUCUUCCUGCUGGUAUCUCCAGAAAAAGGAUGAGAAGUCUAAUGCUAACUUAAGAAUAACAACAGUACAGCAAAGUUCUCAAAAGAUCAAAUAAUAAAACAAAGUACAAAAACAACUGCAACCUCCGUAACACGCAAGACCAUUUGUAUCCAAGUACCAUUAAAGAAAACCAACUAAAAGCAUGUUUGGAUUGACUUUCUAAGUGUUUAAAUAAAAGUAUAAAAUAAAUGUUUACAAUCACUUAGAAAGUCAGUCCAAACAAAACCUAACACACUGUGGUUAUCUUAAUCUCAGAUUUGCUCAGAUCGAGAUGCAGCUUCUUUGAAGCAAAUACAAAAUUCCUAACAAGUUAUCAUCACAUCAUACAAGGUACAAAAGGCACUAAUUAAAAGAAUUUUUAAGAAAAAAAAAUAUGGUGGAAAAUGAAAUAUAGAAAAGGAUACAGUUCAAGUUAUCAACAAGUUUCACUGGUGAGAUAAUCCCACCCAGAGAAGUUAAGGAGAGCUCGAUAUGAUCUCGAAUUGCACAAAAGACACAAAAACCUUCACCUGUGGAUGCAAAUUCGUAAUUCUUCAUCAACUACUGAGUCAUUAGAACCUAGAAACAGAGAGAACGUAUUGGUAGUGACAGUGAUCUUACUGUUACAAGGCAUAUCAUGAUUAGCAGAUCGAAGACCCUCCACAAAUGGAGCAGUAUGAGUGAGGCACUGCAAGAUUGCGUUAAUAAAACAAGUAUUCCCCAAAUUUGCAAGUCCCGCACCCUACGAAUUCAGAACAUAACCAAAACCAAACCCCAAAAAGAUAAAUAAAUGGAAAAUAAUAUAUCAAUUGCAACCAAGUAUAAAGAACUAAUUGAAAAUUAAGCUCACCGCAGAUAGAGAUUCGGUUUCUUGAGCAGACACGGAAUUUUCUGGGAAAGCUUCCUCUGAAGUAGACCACUCCAAAGACGAUCCCGGCAGAGGAGGCAAUGCGUCGAGUCCAUCAGAAUCAGACGAAUAAGUUGAGAAUGGCGAAGACCCAGUAGGGUUUAUCGAAGAAGAACCCCAAGACUGAUUAGCAGAGGCAUCCAUAGGCGAAAAAGAAAAAUUGCCGUUACGGCAAGAGGAAGAAUGAAGUAGAGAUUGUUGAGUUAGGGCAUCUUCGGUAGUAGUCGAGUGCCAAGACCCGGCUUCAAUUCCCAACGGAGGAACCAAAAAUGGAUCAAGUUCUUGAGAAUCAACCAAAUGGGUAGCCAUUAGAGAGAAUAAAACAAGAUAAUUAGAGUGAAAAGAAGAGAAAAACAGAGGUGGGUAUUGGAGAAGCAGAUAGAAAAGAAAGGGGGAAGAAGGUUUUUGGAUGAAAUUGAAGAGGGGGAAUUGGAAAAGAGAGAGGGAAAACGAAAAAGAAUCGGAAAAGGGUUUUAAUAUAUGGAUUUGAAAAGGGAGGGAAAACUCAAAAACUCCCAAAAAUUGGUCCUUUCCGCUUCAGAACAAAAAAGGGGAAAACGAAAAAAAAAUGAGAGGGAAAGAGAAGAAAGAGACGCGGAAGACGAUAAUGGUGACUGUUUCAUUUUCGUUUUUUAAUUCCUUUUUAAACACUUUCUUAAUUUCACUCCAAAACUCAUUCUAUUUAGGGUUUAAAUUCACUCACUCCCAACAGCUUUCGAUUUUUAUUUUUAUUUUAAAUAUUCAAAAUUAGGGUUUCUAUUUUACUUAUAUUUAUUACAUUUCAACUCAUAUAAUUCUAUUUUUUAAACUAAAUUAAUUUAAGCAUUGACUUAAAUUUAACUUCAAACGUUGCAGGCAUUAAAUUGAAAAAUGUGAUGAUUUAGUGGUUUAGUAGAAAAUUUUGUUGUUUCUCCUAACAUUUUGCCUAUAAUGAAGAAUCAAACCUCUAAUUUCAAGACUUGAUAUUAUUCAGACUUCAUGAAUCAACAAAUUAACUUUGUUUAAAACCAUUUUCUAAACUCCAUAGACUAAAUAAAUGUGUUUAUAUAAAAUUAACCAACCAUAGAAUGCAUAGGCUAAAUUCAAAAAUUCAAUGAAAAAGAAGUAACAUAAGAGAAUUAUGUAUUAGUUCUUUAAAUAUAGCACUCAAAUUAUUACUGAAACACAUACAAUAACCUCACAACUAUAACCAAAACUCAAUACAAAUUCAGGUCCUAAGCUCUUGUGAGAUAGGAAUGCCAAAUUUUGGUGGAGAAAAUACGGUAUGUAUUGUUUUGUUUGCUACAAAAAAAAAAAAAAAAAAGUAGAACUAAAGCACAUGUUCACUGCAGCAGCUAGAAAAACAAAAGAACCACCAGCGAAUGUUCAAGUCCUGUGUAAAAGGGUUGCUUUUUGAAAGAAUCUUUAUACUGAAAUUUCUUUACAUUCCUCAGUAAUAAAAUCCGCUGGUAAUAAAAAAAAACGUAUCGAGUUCGAGCCAAAUUCUACAAUGAAAAGGAACACUUGAAAAUAAUCAAAUGAUUCUGUCUUGAAGAUCUGUAAUUAAUGUAGAUGCCAAGGAGCUUAGCUUCUUCCCUGUUUCUCCUGCAAUGUUCUUGAGAGAAGAAAGAUCCUGCUGUGCCUGGACAAAAGUAAAUGAAUGUAUCACAUAUAUGUAAUACAAUGCUAAGGAAAUCAUGAACCCAAGCACAAUUGCACAGUUUAACAAGGAUUAGUAUAGAACCUGAAUAGAAAGCCGGUUAAUAAACUCAGUUGCAGUAAGAUCGGCAGAAGGAUUAUCUCGCUGGUUACCAAAUAGAUCGGCACUAGAGAUGGAAGCUGAGCCCUGCGAAUAGAAGGAUGGCAAGUAAGGGGAAUGAAAGCACUAUGAUUUAAUUUAAACAGUCAGACAUAUCAGCAAUAUAAAGAACGGUUUCCAUCCAAUCUGUGGAAAGUAUUAACUAAUAUAGCGCUUAUCAUUCAGUACCAAAAGUUGAAAAUGCAGUCCCAAAGCCUCAUCAUAAAAACAGAAACGGACCGAACACAGUGUUUUUCCCUUUUUUCUUUAAUACAUUUUAUGGUUUAUGGUUCUUUUUUGAUUGAGCUUUUACUUACCUUCAUCUAGAGAGGGUUUUUUCUCGUAACAUGUACCAAAUGUGUCCAAAACACAUACUUAACAUGUCAGGAAAUUAUAUAUAGCGUAAACUAUAAAUCCUUGAUAAGGAAAGAAUCAGAAUAUAGAACUUCCUUUUUUUAAAUGAAAACGACAACUUUCAUUGAGAAACAAUAAAAGAAUACAAGGGCACAAAAAAAACCAGGCCACAAAACCACCCCAUUAAAGAAAGAGGGACCAACUAAAUAAAAUGUUUGUCUAUAGAAUAUUUACAAAAGUUCUUCGAAACCGAAGCCCAAAGAAACACGUGAUAUCUAAUCAAAGACCAAAUCAGAAUAUAACACAUAAAAGAGUUCCUGCUCUAUCAUGAAGGAUUGAAUAGUCAAAUGGUAAGAGGUCUGUAUAAAUAGCAUAACUAGAAAAGUAUGGACAACAAUUUCCACUUAAUUAACGAUAAAGGCAAAGGUACAAACCGAGAAUUUUUGGAGGGAGGCCUGAGCAUCAGCAUCAGCUCUGUUCUGAUCACCAAAGUAUUGGGCUGAUGAUAUAGAUUUGGCAUUGGAAAAUUUCUUCCUUGCUUCGUCACUUUCUUCAAUCUAACAUCAAUCAUGUUGUUAGAACAGAGAUCAAAAGAGGUAGAGACAUUGAUAUGAUGGACCCAUGUGCGCAACCAGCAAAAAUACUCUUUAUGCUUGCCAUUACUUAAGAAAUAAGAUUUUUAUUUAUAGGAAUUUUGAUGGGUUCUUUUCAGAUAUGUGCAGGUUUGUGACCCUCGUGUAUACAAAAGAGAAUAAAAUGUAGAAAAUGAUAGAAAAAAUACAGAAACUACAAGUAGCACCAGAGUAGAACAUAGAAGAACACCAUCCACUGCUACGUAAAAUUGCAAAGGGAUGUUCACAAAAUUUAUUCAAAGCAAGAAACUUCCCCAGAAAACCCAUUUCUACAAUACUUGUUUAGAGUAAUUCAUUUUUUGAGUACCAAAAGUAUACUCAAUCAAGAACACUUCAUACUCAGACACCAAACCGCCCAAUUACAUUUAAAUAAACCAAAAGAUGCAAAAAGCUAUUUACUGAUGUAUAAAGACAUACCAAAUAAUUAUCUAAGACUAAGGAUAAUCAUCGUUAUGGAACAAUGGUCGGGUGACAAAUAUUAAUAUAAUUAGAUUAUUCUUAGGAGAUAUUAUUCUGGAGAUAUUAUUCUGGAGAUAUUAUUUGAUAUUAUUUCCUUAAGUGUAUUUCUCUAUGGUUAUAUAUAGGCUUGUAUCUCUAUUAAGUAAUGAAUGAAAUAUAGAUUAAUUCCAUAAAAUCAACAUGGUAUCAGAGCUCUAGGGUUUUCGCCUUAUUGAAUUCUAGCCUCCACAUCCCGUUUGAUCUCUGCCUCCGUUGAUCAUUCAUCAACGGAGGCAGAAUCAUCUCCCAUUAGCUGAAGCCGCCCCUUAGAUCUGCAAAUUUGCCGUUGUCGUUGCACCUUCCCUUUGUCACUCAUUGCUGUUCAAAUCUGCCACCAUCCAAACCCCAGAAACCCCAUUCGUUUUUCACUAGCGUCUGCGGCGGCCAUCUCCUUCAUAGUUCUUCGUCCGACCUCUUGUUUUUCCGUUAGCCAAGCAACCGAUUGAACCUCUGUCAGUUGAAGCCGAACGCCCAGCCGAAGAGUUUCAGUUUUUUCCGUCGUCCAAGAAGCUCCGCUCGCCGCUGCGUUUCGUUGCCGUUGCUCCAUCUCCUUACGCUGUCCCAACAAAACCAUGAAACCCCAUGAAACCCCAUGUCCUCAUAUCCUCACGUCUGCCUCCAAUCUGUUCCAGAUCUGUCUAAUUUCGUUCAGACCCAUCCUUCAUGUCUGCCUUCAAAGUUUAGAUCGAAGCCCAGAUCCAACGACGCCUCGUUUCUGUUUUUGUUCAGAUCCGCUAAGCCUCUCUGCUCCAUUCAGUUCAGCUCCCGUUCUGUUCUCCCCAGAUUUCCCGUUUAAUCUGAUUCUGACUUGCUCUAGUUUAGUUCGUUCUGUUCCACUUUGAUCCGACAAAACACUUCUGUCCAAUUCCGACCCUGUUUUCGUCCAGCUUUGAUUCUACUUUGCUUCAGUUUUGCUCUUUCAUUUUGCCCCCCGAAGUUCUUGUUUCGUUCUUCCUAGGUUCUGUUAUAGAUCUCUAUACGAGGAUCUAUGUUUCUAUCCCGGAAGUUUUUCGUGGGUUUGUUUUAACCUAGAAGUUCUUUGUCUGUUUGUUCUUCGGGUUUUUUAUUCUAUUCUAGAUAUAUUGUUUCUUUUCUUAGUUCUUAGCAAACUCAAGUUUGUGAUUUCAACCUUGAAUUUGAGGGAGGGUAUUAAUAUAAUUAGAUUAUUCUUAGGAGAUAUUAUUCUGGAGAUAUUAUUUGAUAUUAUUUCCUUAAGUGUAUUUCUCUAUGGUUAUAUAUAGGCUUGUAUCUCUAUUAAGUAAUGAAUGAAAUAUAGAUUAAUUCCAUAAAAUCAACGUUCGGGUGACAAAAGCAAUGAGCUUCGGAUUUACAGCCUACAUUAGACAAUUCCUCACAUUUCUUUUCAAGGCUGAUUCAGAGAAGCAUGCCAAAAUCAUUGAAAAAUCAGAAGUACAAUGUCUAACCUGCACUUUUGAGGAACUGGAACUGCCCUUCUUUGGAAAACCACCAUCCAUUCCAAAUUCAGCAAAGAAGCCCGAUGCCUUUGGGGGAGCUACAUGGCUAAGUACAUGAGAGCCACUAGAAUUCACAUCAGAUGAUUGGACAUUUUCUACAUAUUCAAAGCGAGAUGCAAAAGAUGAACCAGUUGCAGCAGUUUUGGGUGCUGUUGAAGAUGAAACUGGAACUGUAGGUUCUUCAGGUUUCUGAUCAUAUAGAUUUUCACUUGGCUGCAUGGAGUAAUGCAAAUUAUAAAGUCAUGGAAAAUGUAUUUCAAAAUCUAUAUUUAAUUGAGGUCAAGAGAAAUUUCGAACACUAAUACAUGAGCAAUAUAAGGCCACUUCACAUUGGUAGAAUGCAUUAUUAUUAUUACCUUUGUAGUAAGCUUUCGAGCACCAAGUCCCCCAGUCUUCCCUGGUUUCUUCCCACCAAUGGGCUUCUUAACAGUACUUGAGAAUACCGUCUGAGAAGCUUUUGGUGAAGCAGAAAUUUCUGGAGCCUCUUGCUUUCCUGAGACAUGGUCCUUUGCAGUUUCAUUAGUUUUGAUAUCAGGAGGUCCAUUUGUUACUAGGUCUGACUGAGAAGUAACUGGGGAAGAUGGCAAUGCCGGCUCUUCUGCCAUACUUUUAGCAACUUCUUUCGAAAGUAAUUGCCUAUACAACUCAGCAGCUCUAGAUGUAUAUUUGGCCUCAAUUUUGCCUCCAUCCGUCCAUCCAUGCUGCUUAAAGAAAACCUGUGCUCGGUUAUUCCCUCCAAAGCUCAUUGUUUUAAGCUGCUCCACACUCCAAGAAUCUAAAUUUGUGGACCUACGUAAAUUGAAAAAACAUAAGAACAUUCAAUACUAACCAUCAUAAGGGGAAUUGUACCUUAAGAGACUUCUCAAAAUAAUUACAGGUCAUAACCUUUGAUCGAUUUGAAAUUCUAACUAGCAUGUUAAGCAAACCAACAGGACAAGCAAAGAAAUAAGAGAUAAAGUGCCCUGAGAAUUUUCCAGAAGGCAACUAACAGUUAGGUACAUAUAUGUAGUCCUUUCUCUAAGGCCACAGAUUUUACCUCAUUGGUGAGUAUAGAAGUAAAAAAUGUCAUUUAAUAAUUUACACCAAGAUUACUUUAAAUGCCCAAAAAAGAAUGCUUUGAUUCCCUCCGUUCAUGCAAUGAUGUAACUAGUCUUUUCAAAUUCCACUUGAGUACAACUACUUCUCACUGAUAUUUGCUUCAUUUAAUUUAAUCAUAAACUAUUCACUAUAGUUCUAGAAAACAUUGAACCUUUACUUUACUAUAAAAGAAAAAACCUUUUAUUAGAACCCUUUGGGUAAAACUUUCACUGUUUUUUUUAUUUUAAUGGAAAUAACUAGAUCUACAGAAACAUCACGUUAUACAUAAGGCAGAAGGACAGAGGAUCAUUCACAGCCUCAGGUUGGGGAGAGCACAAGAUACUUAUCCAAAGUCUCUAUCUUUCAUUAAGAAAAGAAAAGAAAAGAAGAAAAAGAAAUUGUAUACUGCAUAACUUUCCUGUAUAGAUAAAUAAUCAGUGCAGUGCAAGCCAAACCUCGUUCUCAUACAUACAGAUAUGUGUGCAUGUACACUAUCACAAUGACUAACAGAUCUAAAAAUGUAGUUCUUUGUGAUAUUUUAUAAUUACACUUUUUUAAUCUUCUCGACUAAGAUUGUAAAGACGACACACCAGACUUCCAUUCUUCUGACUGAAAAGAAACUACUAAAAGCUCAAGUGCAUGGUAAAAAUUGGUUAUUAACAUCAAUAACCUUUUGAUAAUGAUUCGAACUUACCUUUCUAUUUAUGAAAACUAUGUUUUCUUCCUCACAAUUUAUUUACAAUGGUUUCCGCUCUUAUAAGAAACAUUUGAGUUCUUAGUUUAAGUUCCAAAAAAGUGUUAUUGCACAAUAAAGCGCAUUAGUCUUCUGAAGCUUAAGCGCAAGGCGCAUUGUGAGACGCACUAUAUAUAAAAGUACUAUAUUAAGAAAAAGAAGCAUGGUUGAAGUGAAAAUAUGUAAAAACAGACGUUUAAACACAAGAAAAUUUUCAUUUGUGCUUAGUAAAUUUGAUUUUUUUAGUUAAUAAAGGAAAAACACUAAUUAUUUAUAUUUAAAAUAAAAACCCAUGGCACAGGCCUUUGAGCUUCAGGCGUGCCUUAAUUUGUGAGCCUCUCCUUUUCAAGACGAAGCACAAGGCCUGCACUUUCAGCCUAGGCGCACACCCAGGAGGAUUUUUUAAAACACUAGUUCCAAAAAUAAAAACUAUUACCAAAAAGAAAAAUCUACAUUUUUAAGUUUUGAAAACUUGGCUUAGAUUUUAAAGAAAAAAAAAAUGAUGGAAGUAGAUAGCAAAAGAAAGAAACUCCAUAACUGGAAGUAGUAUUUGUAAGCUUAAUUUUCAAAACUCAAAAAAACAAAAACCCGUCAUUAAACAAGGUCUACACUACUAUUGUAUUUACAAAUGCACGUUUACUUGAUUUUCAAAUAAUUUACAUCACUUUUCAUGAGUCUAGUUUGAGGAUUCUAGAAAAUAAUCUAUAAGCAUCUACAAACUACGACCCAGACAUACUGAGAUACAAGGUUAAAAGAAUUUACAUGAACCCAUCAAACAUAAGUGCAUGUUAGAGCGCAAAACAUGGCUAACAAGUAGGAGGACGGGGUUUAACAUAAAUAACUAAACAUAUAGAAGAGGCGUGAGAAUAAGACACUAUCAACACAAUGCACUUCCAAAAACUACACAUACCCAAUCAGGAAAAGAAACAUAUAAGAAAGAACUCAAUGAAGGUCAAAUUAGAGCCACAAAUCAAAACCAGCAGGCAUCAAAAUCAAAAACCCAAAUAGAAAAAUCACCUGACAAAGCUAACAUGGACACCAAGGCUGCGAUGCACAGCAGAACAAUCAAUACAGAGGAAGAUCCCAUAUGUAACAGAAGCCCAAGUCGGAUUCUUGGCAUUGCAAUCAAAGCACAUCUGAAAAAAAAAACAAAAACAACAAUAAUAACCACAACCAACGAAGUGGGUCUGUUCCAUUUCAACAGGGGAUUGAAGAUCUCGACAUGAAACACACAGAUCGGAAAGAGGAAACACAAUAUCAAGAUGAAAUUGAAUGGAAUUCGAAUAAUACCUUGUUAUCGGACUUGGCUUUGAGUUUUCUAAAGACGAGGUUCUUGUCGGAAAAGCUGUCGAACGCCAUUGGAAAGGGAAACGAAGAGAAAAAUCCCCAAGGGGGUGUGCUUGAACGAACACCACCUUUGGGAAAUUGAAGACGAAGAUCGGUCAAGAAGAAGAAGAUCGGACUGAAACUCCAGAAAUCGCUUCCUUUGGUUUUUUAAUUCGAAAGAAAAUUCUUAACCGAAUUGACCAAAACAACCUUCUAUGUUUCUUCAAAGAACUGCCAGGAUGAGUCCAAGCUUUGAGCACUACAUAAGGGUACUUUCGUCAUUUUGAAGAAUCGAUUUUUAAAAAAAAUUAGGUCACAUUGUUCAAAAUAUCUCUCCAUCAAUGGUUACAACUUCUUUGCUUCUACUCCAUCUUUAAAAGUUAAUUUGAAUAUACUUUGAAUACUAUAAAAGGGUUUCUUACCUUUUCUUUUUUCCUUUUAACUUUUUCUUUUCAUGAAUUUGCUUUAAUGAGAUUAACGAUGUUUGAGUAUAUAGUUAGAUUGAUAGUUAUAUAUAUCGAUACUGCAUAGAGUUUUAAGACUCGUUCUAUUCCUUUUACUAAUCAACUUCAAUUUAGUGAAACUAUAAUCGAGAACACGUUCAACUUUUAUUUUACUUCUUAUAUUAACUCCAAUAUUAUAUUUUUAACCUAGAUCAUAAUCGUUAUGCCAACUGGUGAGACAAACUAGAUGUUCCUCAUACCAAAUCACAGUGGAUGACACUCUCAAUGUCAACUCAACUUUUAAAGUCACAACGAUAUUAGUAAUCACGGUACUAAUUUUGUGGAACCUCAAAUAUCAUUAACGAGUUGACAAUAAGCUAGUAUUGGAUAGUUGAAGUGGUCAAUACGUACGUUGAUACCUAGAUUGUUAUAAAAUCAAAGCAACUCGUUUAAACAUAAAAUGAGAAGUGCCACACGUACUUAUUAAUACUUGGCAUGAAAAUUGCUUGAGAAUUAGAGUUGUUUAGGCAAGCACUACCAUAUGUGCAAUUUAUUUUGCAUGAAAGCAUUAAGUAGUUAUUCUCUUAUCUUUUCGCAAAAUAUCAUUCAACAUUUACUUGAAAUUUGUUAAACUUGACAGUCUCGUAUUAAUGUUAUUCGUGAACUAAGACCAAGAAGAUUAAUUAGACACGAUAAGCUAGCUAAGACAGAGUUUAUGAAGUACAUUAUUCAUUUGUUUAUGUUAGAAAAUAUCUUAGGGUUGUAUUAAUUGCACUUAAACUUCAAUUAUGAUCAAUCUUGCUUUAAACUACAGUGUCAUUCAAUUUGAAGUAAAACUACAUCAAAUGAACUUAAGUAGCAAUAAAUGAACUUAACUAUACAUCUUGAGUUUUACUUGGUAUGGAGUGAUACGAGAAUUGAGUAUGAACACAGUUUUUUGUUACUUUUGACAUUGAUCUUCAAGGUAAAUUAAUUUCUAUAUUCUUUCUUCUAGUGUAAUCGUUUUUAUUUCCAGAUUUACCAUAUGCAAUUUAGAAGUUUACAUAUCUUCAAAGGCGUGUUUUCCCCAAUGACUAAGAAGUAUGAGUUGGAAAAAGACGAGUGUCGUUAAGUUCACUCUUCUACUAGCCCAAUGUAUGUUUAAAUUUAUUGGAGGCUCUAUUACUAAACAACUCCUCGUACUAAUUAAUUUCAUUACUUAUCUCAAAUGUAUCUUAAAAGUUAUUGAAUCAAAUUACCUAAAGUUUUCUUAUCAGCCUCUUUUUUCAUUUAAAGAGUGUUUGGUCCACCAACUUUAUAAAUUGAUAUUAAAAUAACUCAACUUCACCAGAAAGUAAAGUUCAUUUCACUCGAAUCCAUAUUGUUUUAAUCAAUGUCAUGGAUCGAAUUUGAAUAUUUUAAAAAACAAAAAUGAAACAAAAAGAAUGUGUUAUUUAAAGCAUAAAUUAAUGGAACUAUAUUUAUAGUAUAAUUUUGGAAUAUGUUUAAUAUUUCUUAAUAAUAUAAUUUUUUUUGUUUUGCUAUUGUUAGGAAGGAAAAUGGUAUCUAUUCUUUUAAAAAAAAAUUAUUCUAUUUUUCAUGAAAUAUUUACUCUUUCAUACAAAAAAAAAUCAAAUAUAAAUAGUUUGAAAAUUGUUCUAUUUUUUAAAAAACGUCUUUAAAUUUCAGUCCUUUUCUCACAAUUUUUAUUAUGAAAGGAUUUUAUACAAAACUUCCUAUAUAAUUGGCAAUAUAAUUCAAAUCUUUAUAAAAAUAAUUAAAAAGAAAGAAAGAAAAAAAAACUCUCUCCCCAAUUGGGCUCGGGCCUUUUUUGCUUGGAUGCUCUUGGGCUUAUGAAUCAAUGUGGGCAUCAUCAUCAUAUUGGCCUUUGACAAGGUUGAUUUUCCACAAAUAUCAACUACUUAAUCAAAUGAAGCAAUCUAUAUGGUAUAUGCUAUAAAGUAUUAAAAUGGAGAAUAAGCCAUAUUUUCUAUUUUUCCUUUUACCUUUACAAUUUUGUACAACGGUAGUAAAUUUUUCACUUGGGUUAAUUAGUCGAAUUUUCGUGACUUGGGUCGAGUAUGUGUUGGAGAGAAGAUGAUAUAUUUUGAUUAUAUUUUUUUAGAAUAAUUUUUAUUUAGAUUUUAUUCUUGGUAGAAAGGGGAAGAAUGAUAAAUAUGGAUAGCAUUUUGAAGUAUUCCUAGGACAUUACGAUAAUAAUUUAUUCCUUAGUUUUUUCUAUAAAGAGGGUUAUAAGGGGGAUAAUUUUUAUAUACAUAUUUUAUCCUUUUAUUGUUAGUAAAUUCUCACGCCACACUUUAUUGACUGAGUUAGCCUACCCCUUUUUAAGUGUACCUGUCUAUUCCGAACAAAAAUAUCAUUUAUUAAAAUGUAAUAUUGUAUUAAACUUUUUCAUACAUUUUAUGGAGAUUAAAACAACUCCAAACCUUUUACAUUCAACUUUUUUAUUUUCACCUAAAGUCUUCAAAAAAAAAAAAAGAAACUAGUACUCUAGAAUAUAAGAUAAUUUGAACUCUAUACUCAUAGUUAUUUCCUAUAAAUAAGGUGAAAAAAAUACGUUAAUACUAAUUUUGAAUUGUAUCAAAUACAACCAAAAACGAAUGUGAAAGUACAUCCACAAUAUGAUAAUAAUAUCAAAGUGGACAUAUAUACUUCAACGAAAAUACAAAUACACAAUCGAGAAAUAAGUGAUUCAAAUUCUUUUAUACAUUACUGUAGAAAAACAAAGAUUGUCGUGUUCGUUGGCCGGUGACAAAAAUGAAAACAAAAACCAUAGUGAAAGUACUUAAAGGUCUCGUGAGAUAAAGGUCGAGGGUAAAAUGGACGGCUCCCAAUUGAGAUAACAUGAGGAAGUAGACACCCAAAGACAGCCCUCCACGUGGACUAACUGUUGCAUUGGUGGCCGAUGAUGUGGACUGUACGGUAUGUGUGACGUGGACAAGUGAAAUUCGGUCCCACCCCUCCACUACCCCUUUUUUAAUUCACACGUUUUUCUUUCCCUCUAUUUCUCCCCUCUGGGACCCACUUUUAUUUAUAUAUUUAUAUAAUUAAAAGUUAUUCUAAAAAAAACAAAAUUUAUUAAAACGUUGAUUUUUUUAGGAAGAGUAAAUAUUUUUAUCAAAUUCUUUAUAGUCUCCUUAAAAUUUUUGCUAUAUUUUGUAAUUUUAAAAUUAAUUUAUAAAAUAAUAAAAUUCAUCAAACUCUUUUAUCUUAUUUAAAAAUUUUAUUUAUUUUAUAAAUAGUUUUAAUUUCUUUUAAUUAUUUGUAAUAAUUUUCCUUUAUUUUAUUCUCACCUUUUAUUUUUUAUAAUUCAAUAGAAUGGAUAAGCUUGGUUGAACAUUACACGUAAAGUUAGCAUAAUCUACGGAUUUAUUUACCUUUUUUAAAAGAAAAUAAAUAUCAUUCAAAUGUCAAUACAUAUAAUUGAACAAAAGAUCGAUCAGCUGAUUUUAGAUUUUUUCAUGUUGUUGAGCUACAAAAUUUCAUGAAACAAUCAAUUUAUUUUAUUAUGUUUAUUAACUACUAAUUUAUGUUUUGUUUAUAUAUGUUUUUUAUAUCCACUUUUUGCCAUUGUUAUUCUUAAGAUCUAUAUAAAGUUUGAUAACAUGAAAGAAAAAUGCAUUUUGAUUUUUUAGAAAUAUAAAUAUUAUUGAUCAAAAGUGAAAACCUUGAUUUAAGUGUUAAGAAGGGGAUUUUUUUCAAAAUUGACGGUAAUUACGAGUUAAUUUUCAAUUCACUUAUAAAAAGAUUUCAUAAUUGUCACAUCCCUAAAAGUUAGUCUAAAAGGCUAUGAAACUUGAAGACUCGAUUGAGAGAUAGGGAUUAAAUAAAAUUGUAUGUUGACUACCGACCAUAAAUCUUGAGGAUAAUUGUGCAAAGGGGAAUGUAUUAUCUCUUUAUAUCAUUUUGUAUAGAUGAUCUAAGUUGAAUUUUGACGUAGGGUUUAUGUCAGAGUGCAUAUUUUACCUUCUUAAACAAUCACAUUAAACUUUUUGAAAGUUAAUUACGUUUUAGGUUACACAUGGUGAUGUUAACGACUCAAAAUGAUCAAUAUAAUUAAUAUAAAAAUAGAUUUUUUUUUUUUUUUUUGGUUAUGCAUAGAAAUGAAAAUAUACAUUUAGAAAUUUACUUGAGAAAACUAAAAAAACAAUUGCGAGAGAAAGAAAAAGUAGAGUUGAAGCGUUUAAUUUUCUAAAAUCAAAAUGUUAUCAAACAUGGGUUCAAUAUUUUCAAAUUGCAAAUAUAAUCCUAGUCAUUCAAAUAAUUUCAAAGGUUAAGGUUUAGAAUAUAUUUUCUAAAAACAAAAUGAUUAUUAAAUGUGACCUAAAAAACAUAAUGAUUAUAAAACACAAUCGAGACUUUGAGAGUUCAAUUGAGGGACGGUGGGUUAAUCAUGAGAGGGGAAGGAUUAGGUCAUACUCUCAUUUCGUUUUAGGUCACGACAUGUCAGAAUAGUACUAUUGAAUAUUGGUUCGCAACAAAGACUUUUGGAUCGUGAAAAUAUAUUCCACCAUUGGUUAAAUUUUAUUUGUUGAUUAAAACAAAAUAAGAAAUUUUAGGGAGAAAAAUGUGAUUCAUGCAAAUCUAAAAUCUGACCUAAUUUUUAUUCUUUUCUUCAUUCAUUUCUUGACAUUAUGAGAAAAACCUACCAAAACAAAAAAGAAAAUGUUUGUUGAUUUUCCCCCUUAUUUUAGACUACAUUUUGUGAAAUAAAAAUAUUCAAUUUUUUUUUUUCUUUUUAACAAUUAGUUGCCAAUAAUUCAAAUCACAUUUUCCACUUCCAAUGUUGUACAUAUUUUCCCCCUAAUUUCUACACCCAUAACUUUAUUGUAAGGAAAAGUACUUUUGACUAUAUAUUUAUUUAAAUGUAUAGCAAAAUGGUUGGAUGAUUUGAAUGUGUGCUUUUGAUACAAUUAAUAAGAAACACAAUCACAAAUUAACUUUAUCUAUUUUUACUUAAUUAAUUUCCUUUCUAAGUUUUUAAUUUCCUUUUUAAGUUUUUUAAAAGUUUAAAAUAUAAUUUAUUAAAGAACAAGUUUGGAGGGAGUUAAGUUUAAAGAUCAAAGUCUAAUAUAUAUUCGUAAUAGAAAAUCAAAAAGUUUAAAGACUUAUUAGACACAAAAAUGAUCAAAGGUCACAGAACGACAACUAUUCGACAGUUUUUAAAGUUCACAUAGAUAUUAAACAUUAUCGACUUGUCGACAUCUCGAUUCUUUAUUCCAAAUAUCGUAAAAAAGAAGAUAUUAAACAUUACCGACUUGUCGACAUCUCGAUUCUUUAUUCCAAAUAUCGUAAAAAAGAAAAUUACGAGAGAAAAAGUGGAUAGAAGAGUACUUACAACCACAAUUUUAUUAUUAUUUAGAAGCAUUUAUGUUUGAAUGAGUGGGGGCAGAGUCAAAUUUUGUAAUCAAUUGGUUCACACUUUUGAGUAUUGAAUAUGUAAAAAAAAUGAGAAAAAAAUAAACAAAUAAUCUACUCUACUUUUUAGCUACCGACAUUUCAAUUAAAAUUAUUUAUGCCACUAUUUUUUUAGCAUAUGAUCAUGCUUUAUUAUAUACAUCAAAAUUAAUUCUUUAAUUUUAGUAUAUAUAUAUACACAUCAAAUAAAUACACCAUAAUUAUUAUUAUUAUUGAUAUGUAUUAUUGACUAUGUUUAACUAUUUCAAACUUUGAUUUAAAUUCAAUGUACAAUUGAAUAAUAAUAUAUACAAUGAAUGCUUAAUUUUCCUUUUUUUUUUUAAUAAUAUAUCUUCAAACAAAUAAAAUUAAUUUCAAUCAAAAUUGAUAUUAAGUUUAAUAACGUUAUGUCACAACAUUACAUGUGAAUAAGUAAAUCAUACAGAUAUAUCUACAUCAUUAUAACAUCUUCCAACCCAAUGUAGCAUAAUAUAAAAUUUAAUAAAUGAUUAAGCUCAAAGUAUUUAAACAAUUUAUAAUAGAUUUUCAAAAAAUUUAUUUCGUAUAAAUAGAUUAUAGAUUUUAGAAAUGUUUAAUAAAUAUUUUAGAUUUCUAUUUAUGAUUAAUAACUUAUAAUGUAUUUUUAUUAUUUUUAAAAUUGGUGAUCUAACUGAUACAAACAAUGAAUUAAAUAUUUUUCUAAAAUAUAUUUGUAGAUACAGUAAGGAAAUUUACUAAUGUUGAUAUCAUUAAAACUAUUUUUUAAUAUUACAAUUAUAGAGGUGAGGAAUUAGAUAAACUAUAUAUGAAAUAAUGAUCAGUGACGAUAUAUACAUUAAGAUUUUGGCCAUUAAAGUAAUUUCUAGAAGUGUUUGAUAGAAUUUUUCAACUUUUGUGUAUAGUAUAUAUUUUCUAAAACUUUUCCAACAUGAAAUUCUUUGUUCUUUUUAACCCAUAUAUAGAGAAUUUAGCUUUUGAGUGAUUUGACUUGAUGUGUGUAUAGUAGCUACGACUAAAACAUUAUCUCUAAAUUUAUUUCUUCAUCUUUUAUAGUUUACACUUUGUACGUGUCAUGUGCAACUUCCAUUGUUACCACUUAUAUUCAACAUAUUGUAAUAAUUAUUAUUAUUUUUCAUUUGUAUGGCUUUGUAGCAAACAUAAAAACUAUAAGUUAAAAUGAGAGAAAUAACUUAAGAUACUUAUAACUAAUCUAUUGGAAUUCAAAUACACAUUAAAGUUUUAUUUCAAAACAAGGAAGUGAACAUAAUUUUUCAAUUUCUAGUAGUAUCUUCCAUUCAAUUUUUUGAAAAUAAUUAUAUGACAUAUAAAAUAAUUAAAAGAAAACAGUUUUAUACCUAACAUGAUUUUUAAAAACGAGAAUAGUUAGGAAUAACAUAAAGAAAAUAAAAAUCUUUUACAAAGAUGAAUUUUACUAUAUAUUUUAAAAUAAUUUAAAUAAUUUGAAAUAAUUAUUGUAAUUUAAAAUAAAAUAUAAUUAUUUAAAAUAAAAGCAUAAAUUUAUUUUUUAAAAACACCAAUAAACAAUCAAAAAAGGUAGAUAGAGAAAUAUAGAAAUCUCCAAAACAUUUGAAAAAAUUGGUGAUUUAAAAAAAAAGUAAUAUUCUAAAAAAGAAAAAACAAAUAUCAAAUAGUCUAAACUCACGAACAUCACUUCUUAAAAAAAACAAAAAAAAAAAAAAAAAAGGAAAAGAGGAAAAGAGGAAAAGAAAAGAAAUAGUAAAAUUGAAAAAUAGAAAAUGGAAUUGAAUGGCGUUGGUUAUUUUCACGUGGGAAAAUGGAAAAUACGCAUGAUGCGACAUAAAGCUAAAACCCAAAAUAUAUUAAAAAGAAAUAAAAACUAAUAAUACAAAAUAUAAUUCUUUUCUAUAAGAAAAAAAUAAACAAAAACAAAACGUCGUUCUCAUGCCACGUUUCCUCAAAAAAACGUGCUCAAUAUAGCUUUAAAUAAUUAACCCCUAAACAAAUUUAAUUAAAGAAAACUAAUCUCCAAAUCUCAGCCAUUGCUUCCUCCAUCUAACCCUCUGACCCCACUCUACCUCUUAAAUCCAACGCUUACCCUUCACCUCCUCCACACACCAAACUUAGAUUUUUUUCUUCUUUUUUUUUUAAAUUUUGUAGAAGCCGUGUGGUUAUUAUUUAUUUUUAUAAAAAUGAAAAAUAUGAAGAUAACGAGGAAAUGGGGUCCACGUGGAAGACGAUUUUUUGGACGCCGAGUUUUUGGAUUUGGUCUUCCUUCGCAUCUCCUUCCUCGAACCUCUCUUCACUCGAUAUUAUUCACUUCGCUUCAACCGUCCUCUUACGUGGAUUUAUCCCCCUUUUUUUUACUUUUACUAUUUUUUUCUCUACAACUUCGAGUUUUAAUAAUUAAAACUUUGAAAUUUGGUAGGCAGUAAUUUUCGAUGUUACUUCCAAAGUUAAAAACUAAUUCCCUCCGUAAGUAUUUCUUUAUUAUAAAUUAAUACAUUUUAAUUAUAUUAACUAAGUUUGGCUUAUUACCUUUCUUAUUCUCUUAUUCUCGUACCUACAUAAUUCAUUUUUAAUAUACUAUAAAAGAAAUUUAGGUCAAUGAUAAAAAAUAACAAAUUUAACAAAAUAUUUACAUCAAAAUUUCCAGUUUCUUUCCAUAAUACUUUAUAAAUUUAUAAAUUUUAUCAGUGAUAUCAUGAAUAGAAUUCAAAAUUCUGCCAUAUGCUAUAAAUAUUUUAAUUUAUUUUGCUAUUUUUAAAAAUAUCUAUAUUUUUAUGAUUUGAAUUCAAAUUUUAUUUUAAUUAUUUAAUAAAAGUUCAGAGUUUUCUUUAAUAAAAAGUUAAAUCAAUUAAAAUAAAAAAUGAAAUGUUUUCAAAUAUAUAAAAAUUGAAACUAUUUAGCAAAAUCUAUUAAAUUCUUUUUGCAAAAUGUUGGUUUUUUUUUUAAAAAAAUAAUUUCCAUUUUUUUUUCUAUCUAUCGGUAAGAAUUAUCGAUUAAAGUAUAAAAUCUUAUUUUAAUAAUAGAAAAAUUAAAGGAUAGUUUAUUAUUGUUUUUUUUUUCUUUUUUGAAUAAGUGAGACUAUUACUUUAUUUUGAGUAAAGUGGGAAAAUAAAUAUUUGAGCAGAAAAUUUGGUAACUUUCAAAAAAGCAUUUGUCCCCUUUUCUCUUUCUCAUAUUUUGGUGAUAUUUUGUUGUUUCUCUCUCUCUCUCUCACUCAUUCCUUAAUUAUUUUAUUGCAUAUUUUCAACGUAUUUUUAUAAAAUUGUAAUUUGAUGAUUUGAUUUUUUAAAUGAAAAAAAAAUUGUGCAAUUUUAAGAAUUGAUAUAGUUUAGAUUAAAGCAGUAAUGAAAAAAAGAUACUGAGAUGAAAACUCAAAUAAACCUGUUUGGUAUCAAUAAAGGUUGAGAUUGAGCUAGGAAUAUGACAUGCAUACAACCCACUUGCUUGAGGGGAGACAAAACUUUGGACCAAAUGUUCAAAUAUGACCUAAUUAAUUUGUACCUUGGUCGAGUCAUAGCCACCUUUAAUUAACUAAGACAUGUUAAACGCAUAGGAUAAUCCAUUAAGAAUGAGAAUAAACCUAAUCCGACUCUUUGAAGGCUUUAAUUAGUUACAAAUUCAAAGUGUGCCGUGAAGUUUAAAUCAUUUUUUUUUUGUACCUGCUUUGUUUCUUUCUUUUCUAUUUUUACAACAUCUGCUUUGGCUGCUUUAACAUUAACAAUAUACAAUAUACAAUUUUGUAUAAAAAAUUCCUACAGCGUUAUUAUUAUUUUUCUUAAAAUAAAUAUCAUUAUUGUAAAUUUUUAAAUUUGAGGCGUCAUAAAGUUAGUUUAUAUGUGAGAGGUAUCUUGUUGAAUUUUUUAAGUUUUUAAAAUUUUUUAUUCAAUAAAGUUCUAAAAUUUGCUCUAUUUUUUUUCUGUUUGGCAUCCAACUGUAGACAUACUUUUUCAAAAUUUUAACACUCGGUUUGGUAUUUGAAUUUAAUUAAAUAAAGCUAUACUCAACAAAAAAAUAUAUUGUUUUUUAAAGUAGUUAAUUAAGUUGGUUAAUACCAUAAAGUAAGCACAAAGCAAUAUGUGACAAAUAAGUGAUAAAUAAGUAAUUUGUCUUACGGGUAUUUGUGACAAAUAAGUUUAUAAGGAUAACUCAACCAUCUUAGACAACCUAUCAACAUCAACUUGCCUAAGGUGAAUGUUAAUAUUGAUUGUUAGGGGUGAGUGUCACUUGCCAUUGAAGUUGAUUAUCAAAGGUGAUUUUCAUUGCAGUUUAUCAUAUAAGCAGUAGUUGGAGUCUGAAAUUGAAGGUGGUUAUCGAAGUUGAUAAUCAAAAAGUGAUUUUCUCAAAGUUUGUAGUCAUAGCUUGGAAUUCAUCGUGUAAACGUGGUCAUCAAAGUUGGCUUUUUUUGGAGUUUCCUAUUGGAGAUAGUUACCAUAGCCCAAAAUUAGUUGUUGGAGGUGGUCACAUAAAGGUAUCUAGUCGUUAGGUCAGUUUGUCAUCGAAGGUGGUUGCCAGACCUUGAAAUCGAUCAUCAAAGUUGGUUAUCUGAGUGUGGUAAUGGUAAUUGAUCGUUGAAUCUAUUAGAAAAACUGGAGAGAGCUUCAUCAACCUAUAAAGUUAGUGGACCAAAGAGAACUCAAACUCAACUUAUAUUUUGAUGUGUUAACUCCCCUAAAAUAAAACAAACGAAACAAAAAAAAAAAAUCAUAAAGACAAAAAUGAAAAAAUGGAGUACCAUCAUUGUACUAAAAAAAUAUAUUUUAACAAAAGAAAAAAUCAAUGACUACAAAUAAAUUUUAAAACACUAGAUUUAAAAAAAAAAAUCAAAGAACAAAAAUAGAAGAUAUUUAUAUAUAUAUAUAUUUAAAAAAGAAAAUUAAUAGAUAUUAUAAUGAGGCUUAGUAUUUUCAAAAUCCUGUUUUAGGGCAAAAAAAAGAGGGGAAAAAUAAAACAACUUCCGUCUUUGAUUCACAAACAAGAGACGUGUCAUGUUCUCAUUAGCUAAAACCGGAAAAAAAGCGAUGAGUAAAAAAGUCAUAAAAACGGUUAACCCUCAACGCCUCUCAAGGGUUCUUCACGUGCCAGUCACGUGGAAGGAAGGGAAGCGAACCGGGUCUAAGAAAACCGCACUAUCUGGGGUAAGUACUAUUAGUAUAAUUGUACUAUAAGCGCGGAGUUGAGAAAGACGCCGGCUUUUUGAACGAUUUAAUCGGCGAUCUAAAGAAGAAGCCUCUUGGUUCCUUCUUCUCCUCUUCGCUUCUCUGUUAAAUGUUCAUCACAAAUAAAUCCCAUACCAAUCGCCCGACAUUUCUCUCACUCCACAAUCGGAGACCAAAGAUUAUUCCUUUUUUCCCAUUUCUAUUUCUUCCAAUCUCAAUCGCAUGACGGAUUAUCGUUUGUCGACGAUGAAUCUCUGGACUGACGAGAACGCGUCGGUUAUGGACGCUUUCAUGAAUUCCGAUCUGUCUUCCUACUGGGCUCCGUCAGCCGCCUCCUCUCACUCUCUUCACCACCCACCGCCACCUCAGUCCUCCGCCUCCACAUCCACUCCCCCGCCGGACGCACCUAAGUCCCUCCCCGUUUUCAAUCAGGAGACUCUGCAGCAGCGGCUCCAGGCGCUGAUCGACGGUGCUAGGGAGAGUUGGACUUAUGCGAUUUUCUGGCAGUCGUCUUAUGAUUAUUCUGGUGGGUCUGUUUUGGGGUGGGGUGAUGGGUAUUACAAAGGAGAGGAAGAUAAAGGAAAGGGAAAAGCGAAAAUGGUGUCGUCAGCGGCGGAGCAGGCUCACCGGAAGAAGGUUUUACGGGAGCUUAACUCUUUGAUUUCUGGCUCUGCCGCCGGACCUGACGAUGCGGUGGAUGAGGAGGUUACGGAUACGGAGUGGUUCUUUUUGGUUUCGAUGACUCAGUCGUUUGUUAAUGGUGUUGGGUUACCGAGUCAAGCGUUUUACCACUCGACGCCGAUUUGGGUCUCUGGUGCCGAUCGGCUGUCGGCGUCUGCCUGUGAACGAGCUAGACAGGGGAGGGUUUUUGGGUUACAGACGAUGGUCUGUAUUCCAUCGCCUAACGGUGUUGUGGAAAUGGGUUCGACGGAAUUGAUUCAUCGAACGUCGGAUUUGAUGAAUAAGGUCAAGAUUCUGUUCAAUUUCAACAAUCUCGAAACGAGUUCUUGGAUUUCGGGAACUACCGCCGCCGCAUCCGCUGCCGACGAAGGGGAAAACGACCCGUCGUCGAUGUGGAUCAGUGAGCCAUCGAGUACAAUCGAGAUGAAGGAUUCAAUCACCACCACUGUUCCUUCCAGCAACGUUCCGGCAAAGCCAAUCCGUUCGGAAAAUCCCAGUACAAGUAGCUUAACGGAAAAUAUGAGCACGAUUCAACAAUCCCAUCAUAAACAGAGCCAAAGCUUCUUAAAUUUCUCCGAUUACGGCUUCGAAUCAAAUCCCACAAAGAACACCACCGCUACCGCCACCGCAACCACCAGCACCACCCCAUCAUUCAAGCCGGAAUCCGGCGGGAUGCUGAAUUUCGGCAACGGGAGCCUCUUCUCCGGCCAUUCACAGUACGUAACAAACGAACAGAACGAGAAAAAGAGAUCCCCUGCUUCUCGAAGUAGCAACGACGAAGGGAUCCUCUCUUUCACCUCCGGCGUGAUCUUACCCUCUUCCGGUAAGGUAAAAUCCGGUGAUUCAGACCAUUCAGAUCUCGAAGCAUCAGCGAUCAGAGAAGUGGAUAGCUGUACAAAAUCAUUAGAACCCGAAAAACGUCCAAGAAAAAGAGGUAGAAAACCAGCAAACGGAAGAGAAGAGCCAUUGAAUCACGUAGAAGCAGAGAGACAACGGCGAGAGAAAUUAAACCAGAAAUUCUACGCUCUCCGAGCUGUAGUUCCAAACGUAUCUAAGAUGGACAAAGCCUCACUACUAGGUGACGCGGUUUCGUACAUAAACGAGCUCAAAUCGAAGCUCCAAAUGGCAGAAUCGGAGAAAACAGAUAUGGGAAAACAUCUAGAAUUGCUGAAGAAGGAGAUGGGAGGAAAAGAUUUAGGAUGUUACUCAAACCCAAAUGAUGAAGAUCUGAAAACAGGGAAAAGAAAGGUAAUGGAUAUGGAGAUUGAAGUUAAAAUCAUGGGUUGGGAUGCGAUGAUAAGGAUUCAAAGCAACAAGAAGAAUCAUCCGGCGGCGAGGUUGAUGACGGCGUUUAAGGAUUUGGAUUUAGAAAUGCUUCACGCGAGUGUUUCUGUAGUGAAUGAUUUGAUGAUUCAACAAGCAACAGUGAAGAUGGGGAGCAGAUUUUACACACAAGAGCAGCUUAAAAUGGCUCUUGUCGCCCGAGUCGGCGGUGGUGGAAGUGGAGGCGGCGGUGGAAUCAUGUAAAUGGGGUUAGGGGACAUUUUUGAAGCUCCCAAUUAGUAGAGUUUAGUUGAGGGAAUCUGAUUUAGUAUUGUGUAAUAUAAAUGUUGGUAAAUUAUUUUUGAUAAUUCUCUUGUUGUUCAUCUUUUGUUGUUAGAGUAAUUUGGGAGUUCUUCUAUAUGUAGUUUUUGUUUAUUAAAUAUGAAAUCUAAUAGAAGUAAAGAUCAAAGACCUUCAAACUUUGUGUUUGAUCAUUUCAAUUCUCCUUCUUUCCUUUUUUUUUUUUUUUUUGUUUUUGUUUUUGUUUUUAGGGUUUUGUUUGAACUAGUAGGUCUAGUUUAGGGAAAAUCUAGGUUUGAUCGGAAAUUAAGGACUAACCUUAACCUUUCUUGGUACAAACUUUAGUUAAACCUACAUGUCAAUAGACUUAAAAGAUUUAGUAUUAAGGUCCAAACUUUCCCACGGUUGAGAUCGAAAGCCCCUGAUAUAAGAACAACUCAUAAAAUUUGACAUUUGAUUAGGUUAUUAAGUGGAUUUCAAUGGGGAUCGAGACCUACUCUCUUAGGUCAACAUUUUUCAUAAAUACAUAAGUUGGUUAGUCUAGAUUUGUAAAUUUUAAUUGGGUUUAGUUGUUUAUGUAUGGAGAUAGGUAAUUGAACUUCUCAUAUUGAGUUAUAUACUCCUACAAGUAAAGGGAGAAACUCCCAAUAGAUAUUGGUUGUGUUGGAAAGGUUAUGAAUCGAUUAAUAAGUCAAUUACCAUUAUCUUGAUUUUGAACGCCAAUGCAUCACAUGCAUAUAUAUAUAUAUAUAUUGUCGGCUAGUACACGACCAAUUAAUGUUUGGAUAAAGUUCUUUCCAGAAUCAUCCUAUUUUCAAGACUCACUAAAAUCCUUCAGAUAUAUGGUUCCACAAUUGGUCCUAUGUACAACAGUGUAUUGAACUACUUCAACACGAUGUUCGUACAACAAUACCCACAACUCAUUUUUGCACUCCAUAGCAAAAAAUAAUAUAUUAUGUUAAGGACAACCCCUUAGGUAAAUUGCUUUGAAUGAGUUAAUCAAUCAUUUAUCCUUGUGGAUCUAACAUUAAUCCUCUCAUACCUACUAAUUGGUAUGCUUGAGAUGCAUUUUCUCGAGCACCUAUAGAAGACGUUAUAUAUAGACUGGAUUAAAAGGGACACUCAUCCUAAAAUUAGGAUUCAUUUCUUGUAGCAAAUAUUCACUUGUAGCAUACGAUAUCUAAAGGGACUGGCGUAAGUUUUCUACUGCGGGUACGUUUCCAUAAUGAUGGUGUCUUUUCAAUAUCAAACUUUACUGUUCACCAUCUUGAACUAGCCAUCCUUUAGAGAGUAUUGUUAAAAGAUAUCAAUUCCUAAUGAAAUGGAUGUCGCAGUGGCCCACUAAAAGUCUUUAAUUGAUAUUACAAUCUUUAUGCUAGUUGAGCUAUGCUCGAUUUAUCAUUUUGUAUACAAUAAGCUCUAACAAGUUAGUUAGGUUCCAUCCUUUAUAUAUAGUUUGUACACAUUAUUAUUUUUAGAUGCAUGCCACAUGCCUAAACCUUCAAAUGAUUGGUUACUAUAUUGGAGAGUUUAAGCUACCUCUCAUACAUAGAAAUGUUAAGUAGAUUCAAUGAAGUUUAGAAAUUUUAAUUUUGAAAAUUUGAAAUUCCUUGUUAAAUUCUAAUAACAAAAACAUGUUUUUGGAAACUACAUUUUGUUCUAUUUUAUUUUUUAAAUUGUUUAGAUAUUUAGGUAGAAAAUGGUUGAUAAAACACGAAAACUUAUAAAUGAAAGUAGUGUUUAUAAGAUUACUUAAAAAACCAAACAAUCAUCUAGAAAGUGUAUAACAAAAUAAAGACUAUUAGAAAGUAAACGUAGUUACUUAAAUUUAAAAAAAAAGCUUAAUAAUUAUCAAACGAAACUUAAAUUUAUAACAACCUAAUUUAAUUUGAUGUGUGGUUAAUAAUUGGGACCCAAAAAGAUAAGCUUCUAGAGGCAUGGAUGAUAGUGAAGAAUUGAAGAUGACCUUACACUUCAUAUAUGGACAUAAAAGGACCAUUUUCAUAGAAUCUUCAAGAAGAUAUUGAUGGAGAUUAUUUUCUCUUUUGGUUGAAGUUCAAUGGUAAAAAGAAUAAAAAUAAGUAAAUAACUUUUUAUUAUUCGAGAAUAUCAAGAUCGUUUAAAUAACAUUUUGACAUGCUCUUAACGAUCAUUUUUCAGUGUCAACACGAUCAUUUAAAUUUAAAGUUUUUUCCAUAGUUUAAAACUAACCUACACGAUCGUGUUUGCAUUAUCUAAACUUGCUUACCUUAGUUAACAUGAUCGUUUAGCAUGGUCAACACGAUCGUUUAAUUUGAAGUUUUUAAUGAUAAUUUAUAUUGGACUAUACGAUCACUUAUCAUGAUCAACAUAAUAAUUUAAAUUUAAAAGCAUUUUGUCCCAUCCUUUAAAAAGAACCAGACGAUCGACCUAAAUGAUAGUAGAUCAUUCGUUUAGACUGUAGUACACGAUCAUUUAGAAGAAAAUUAUCCUUGAUCGCAUGUGGCUAGAUUAAUUCCAUGUUAACUUUUUUUUGUUUAUACGAGGACAUUUUGAACUUUAAUUAGUUUAAUUAGUUUAUUGGUCUAUAGACUAUGUAAGAAAUUUUGGGUAAAUGCUAUUUUUCACAAUAAAAACUAAGUUGUUUGGAAUCUAAACUUUUAGAAAAUUAAAAUUACAUAAAUUAACUCAUAACAAACUAAAAUGGAGAGGCUACAAAGUGUUUUUCCUUGAACAUGUUUUUGGUUGCACCAUCAUAAGGUGAAAUUAUGAAAUCAAUACUCAAUUAUUGGUUUUGUUACAUAUUUAGAUGAAAAUGAUGAUCAAACAAAGAAGAAGAAAAAGUAAUUAAUGAAAGAAAUAAAGGGGAGAUUAAAAGGGAAAUGAAAGAAUGAAUAGAAAUGGUUAGAAAUAGGAUUAGAAUUAAUAAUCCUUAUCCCAAUAAAAGAAAGAAACCCUAAAAUUAGAGAGUGGUAGUUAACCAAAAAAUCCGUACAACCAAAAAACGAAAAAUCCCCAAAUUUAAAACCCUAAAAAUUUCAUUUCAUGAAAUCAAUCCCCACAAAAUCUUUAAUCUCUCUCUCUCUCUCUCUCUCUCUUUCUCCCGUGUCUUCUUCAACCAUCAAUCAUGAGUUUGAAUUGCCUCUCCUGUCAAAUCUUACAGAGAACGGAUUCCGAGAGACACCGUGACCGGCAGGUCCAAACUUACUAUACCUCCGAUGAGUUCAAUUCCUCGGAGAGAAGCUGGUCGGGGAACCUCUGUCUCCGUCCAAACAGAGGAGGAGGAGGAGGAGGAGGAGGAGGAGGAGGAGGAAGAGGGUUUCGGGGCAUGGCGGACAACAAGGUGGCUCCGAUCGGUCACCGCCGUGCCGUAUCGUUCGGGGGGAAGGAGCCGAGAUUGAUUAGAAGCUCAGGGAUGAGGAGGGAUUGGAGCUUUGAGGAUCUCAGAGCUAUUCGUGAGGAAAAGCAACCUUCUCCCAAUUCCUAACUUUCAAUUAACCUUUUCUUUUAUUUCUUCUUUUCAUUUUAUUUAAUCUUUAUUUGAACAUGAAUAUAUAUAUUAAUAUAUAUUAAUAUAUAUAUACGUAUAUAUAUAUAUAUACAUAUAUAUACAUAUAAAUAUUUAUAAAGUAUAUAGUAGAAAUGGGGAUUCUUUUCAAUCUUUGAAAAUAUGUUGUUUCUUUUUAUCAUUUGAAUUUGAUCAUACCACUUUUUCUUAAUUUGAAUUUCUUUUCAUGUAUUAUUAUUAACCAUUCAUUUAUAAAAAUUCACUACAUUAUAACUUUUUUCUUUCUUCUUUUAAUACUUUCAUUUUUCAUUUUAUAACAAAACCAUAAUAGAUUGUAAUAUAAGGUGUUGAAUAUAAGAACAAAAAAGGAAGGAAUGAAUGAUUAGACUAUGGAAAAAUAAGGAAGAAAAAGAGAAAUGGAUGAAAAUCUUUUUUCUUCUUACCAUUAUUAUUAAGAAUUUUUUAUUACAUCAAUUAAUUGUCAAAUGAUAGACCUUUUCUCUUGUUAAUUGAUAAAAUUAUUAAGUUGUAAAUUGGCAUGGCUACAUUUUUUCAUAUAGUUAUAUAAAUAUUACAUUUAAAUUUGAAAAGUUUUAUCAUUUAAUUAUCCAUUUUGUGUAUAUAGAAAAUCAAAUGCAAAGUGUCAUACCGGGUCGUUUUGUCGGGGGUCAAUUUAACACUUAAAAGUAUAUUUUGAAAAUUCUUGAUUUGAAAUUUCCAAAACUAACCUACUUCAGUUUGGUCGAUUGAUUCGUUUUUUAGUCUAUCAUGCUCACCCCUAUGAAAGAAGCAUCAUUCAAGUAUGGUUUGCUUUUUUUAUAUUAAAAAGAUGAACAAGUAGAUGGAAACUAACCUAACUAUAAGACACCAAUCUAAUACUCUUUCAUAAACUUUUACAAUUUAAAUGGUAAAAUUGUGAAAUUGAAGGGUCAAAAGUGAAAUAUUUUUGCAAUGAAGUCUAUAAAUUAAUUUACUUUUGAAACGAACUAUUAAUUUAUAUAUAUAUACGUAUCAUUUUAAAAGUCAUAAUUUUUUUUAAAGUAAAAAGUGAAUGUGGAAAGAAAAAAAGGGAGAAAGGCAAAAGAUAUUAAAGGACAAAGGCAUAAAAUACUUGGAAAUGUUGCACAAGUAAACAUAUGGCUAACAUAGUAAAAUUUUAUAUCAUUCAAAAAGUUGAACCAACCUAAAUGUAGCCAAGCAUGAAAUCAACCAACCCUUUUCAAAAGUAAAUUUGUCUUAGCUUAAUUCUACUCUCGUCUCUUUUGCUUUUGUAGUUUCUGACCUUUCUCUACCAAUUUUAUCAUUUAGGUUGAUCUUGAUCUGAAUGAGCACACAUGCCCUUGUUCACCACUUAGUCGAUCAAUCUACGAUGGUUAGAGUAAAGCAAAGAAUAUGGUUAAUUCUUCUUUAGAGCCAUCUGAUUCUAUUACGACUAUGUAUGACAUAUAAUUCAAUUGAAUAAUUAAUAAAUACUUUAGAGAGAUCGGAAGGACAAUUUUUGCAAGAAUAGUUGUAUGCUUACAUUUUGUUCAACUUGUCUUGUUCUUUCAACAUGGACCGUGUCAUUGUUUGCAAUUAUGUACCAAAUGAUUCGUUGUACCAUUUAAGAGAUUUUAUUAUUGAGUGGUUGGCAAAUACGACAACAUAAGCGUAGUCUCACAUGUGUACCAUUCUUAAAUAAUGCAUUGAGUUGUUUGUAUCAAGUUGAUAUCAAGAUCCCUUAACACACUCGGCUCAACCCCUGAUUUUGAAGACAUUGAGAUCACAAUUUCUGUUUGUGCAACCUAACGCUAAUUUCACUUAAGUAUGUCUUGAGAUUCAUCUAAACUAUACUAAUGAAUAGGAGAAUCCAGUAGUAUCAUCAAUAUAUCAACUUACUCCUUUUACUUAAUCAACUAUUAAUUUAACUUUUCACAUUGACUCAAUUAUUUUACGUAUUUUUAUCUCAUCAUUUGAUGCAUCAAUUUUUCUUUCUAUAUUUUUAUCCGAGAUGGACCGAGAGAUGUAAUCGAGGAUGGAUUGAGAAAUUUUUCUGAACGAAUUUUUGAAAAUGAUGGAAGAUCUAUAAGACAAAAACUCAACAAUGUUAUUCUAGGGAAUUUUUGAACAAAAAUUGUAGAUAUAAUAAAACUUAUAUAAACCUUAGGAAGUUAGGGGUAGAAGACUAUAUAUAUAGUAUAGAUUUUAAUCACAAAAGUGUAUAUAUGGAGUUUGUGAUAAUUUGAGUGGGCUUUUGGUUCUGAAAAGCCCAAAAUACAUAAAGUUUGGGCUUAUAUCUCUUUCUUUCCAUCUCUCAUUGAUUUGUAGAAGAAAUUUGUCACCAACGCAUUCACGAACUGAAGAAUCAUUCCCAUUUCUUAAUUUUUUUUCUUCAAUUUUCCCGUUGACUUACAAAAAUCAAAUUUUGGUUUCGGUUUUGAUUUGGGAUUUUCCAUUUUUCUUCUCUUUCGCCUUCUUUCGAUCUGAUUAUUAGUUUUUCUUUUUUUCUUCACAUCUUUGAUCCUCUCCUUCCCUUAGGGUUUGGAUUGGACUUUUCUUUGUCGUCUCAGAUCCUCAAUUUCACCGCGUAAUUUCUUUCCACUUCUCUCAGUUCCCACCAUUUUAGUCUCCAUUUUUCUUUUCCACCUUUUUUCUUCGCGUUUACUGCUUCUUUCUUCUCCUGCUCAUAGUGUUUACGACGUCAGAAAUCUUUGUUCUCUUGGAGGAAAGCCUAUAUAUUUCCUGUUUUUUUGUUCAGACCAUUUCUGGGUUCUCUUUUAUUUCUCAGAAUGGCCACACCGUUGAUGGCUUCUGGGAUUUUUAAACUGCGGAGGAUCAAGUGAAGGGUAUGCUUUUGUUUCUAUUCUUUUUUAUUCUUCAGCUUUGUUGGUUGAAUUUCUCUUUCCGUUGAUUGGAUUUGUUGUUACUGUUUUGGGAUUCGCCUGAAUUUUGGUUUCUGUGGAUUUUUUCUGUUGAAGGAUUGUGAAUGUUCUGAAUUGGUGGGACUUUAGGAGAAGUGGGAUUUGAUUUGGUUUGGUUUUAUUAGAUUGCUGUUUUUUCUAGACUGCUUUAGUUAUUCAUUGUGGAGAUGGAUAGGAACAGGCAGAAUGAGAAUUUGGGUGUAAACAAAUUGGGGAAAAACAUUAGGAAGAGUCCAAUACACCAACCAAAUUUUGGUAAUAAUAAUGCUGCUAGGCCUCAACCCCAGCCACAAAUUUACAACAUAAGUAAGAAUGAUUUUAGGAAUAUUGUUCAGCAGCUUACAGGUUCACCAUCUCAAGAUAAUCAACCUCCUCCUAGACCUCCACAAAAUCCACCAAAAUCCCAAAGCAUGCGGUUGCAGAGAAUAAGACCUCCUCCGUUAACACCGAUUAAUCGACCGAAUAUACCUGCUCCUAUCCCUGCCCCUGUUCCCGUUCCUCCACCACAAGCUCUAGUCAAUAACAAUGUGCCUAGGCCUCCACAAUUUGCUCAGCCACCUCCAAGACAGUUGCCACCAGUGGCAAUGGGAGGCGACUCGCAUUGGCCGAACCCUGCUGCUGAGUCUCCUAUUUCGGCGUAUAUGCGUUACCUUCAAAAUUCAAUGAUGAAUCCAUCUCCAGUAGGAAAUCAAGCUCAAUUUAUACCACAAUCUCAGGUUCCUGGUCAAAUGCAUCCUCCUCAUGCACCUCCACCGGGUUUAUUGCCUAAUCCUAAUCCUAAUCCACCCGUUCCUGCUCUUCCAUCCCCAAGGCUUAAUGGUCCUCCACCCCCUAUCCCAAACUUCCCUUCACCACACUGGAACGGUCCCGCCCUUUUACCUUCCCCGACUUCCCAGUUUCUAUUGCCUUCUCCUACUGGUUACUACAAUUUGUUGUCUCCCAAAUCACCGUAUCCGUUACUCUCACCGGGGAUCCAGUUUACUCCGCCGCUGACUCCUAAUUUCGCAUUUCCAUCCAUGCCUCAAUCAGGGAUCUUAGGUCCAGGGCCUCAUCCGCCACCUUCACCAGGGGUUCUGUUCCCUUUAUCUCCCUCGGGGAUUUUUCCCAUCUUGAGUCCAAGAUGGAGAGAUCAAUAACCCUUCCUCGGAGUGUUUUCGUGCUGAAGAUCUCCAUGCCUGCUGACAUUUUCAUCUACUUGUGAAGAUGGUUGCCAAACUCAUGUUGAAAGCUAGCUGGCUGCCCUUUUCGUGUUUUAUAUCUCUCAAUUAGUUUGAUUUUUCCUUUUAACACUUUAAAUUGUAAAAUCUUUUUGCUUCUCAUUUUCGCUCUGGAAAAAGUCUAAUCCUGUAACCUGUAGUCUUGUAUAAUGCUUUUCCCUCUCCUUUGUAGGACAAGUUCCUAUUAGGCAAUAUAGUGAAAGAUCAAGUUAUCAAAAUUGUAUUACUAUAUGUAACAGGAAGAACAGAGCUGUAACCUUAGACAUAGGGAUCAUAGAUGUCAAGUUGAUAGCUUUGUCGGUUGGUUGGUCGGUCGGUCGGUCGGUUUAGUUGAAUAAUAGUCCAAUUCUGUAAGAUGAUGGAAUGAAUAUUGUUUGAUAUCUAAGUUCUUUUAGCUGGUUUAUAGAAGGAAAUGUUGAAGAAGUGAAUUUUUUUUAUGUCUUUUAAUUGUUCUUGUCUAUUAUUUCAUUAAAGUGGCUGCCAUAUUACAUAUAUCUAUAUCUAUAUAUGCUUGAAAUUGUUAUUGUAUAGGAAGAAUCUAGCUUCAUAUAGAUGUAUUCAUGAUAUUGAGAUUUUUUUUGAGCAUAGCAUGAUAAUGAGAUUGGUUCUUACUACUACUACUGCUAAUAGUUGGACGCUAUUGUUUACUUUUAAAACAUGUAGGCUAUGAAGAAAGAACCUCAGUACAUGGCCAUGUCCACUUUUUUAUUAUUCAAUUUUGUCUAUUAUUUAAGGACUACUUAAGACUAUAAUAAUCUUUCCUGGUUACAGUAAAUACUAUUUUUAGUCUCCAAUCCAUCACCGAUUUGCUACAAUUUUUACUAUUUUACCUUUGUUAUUUCUUUUAUUACUUGCUAUAGUGUUUCACUAUUUCCUUUUCAAAUCAAAAUAGUUUACACCUCAAACAUAUGUCAUUGUAACUUGAACUAAAACAAUCUACACUUCAUAUACAAACUCAUAUGACUCAAUUAUAAUAAUCUAGGACUAUGAUAACCAACUCUUUGUUCUAAGUGCAUCCUUAUAUUCUAAUAUUUUUCAUUUGUGUUCUUAUUAUAUAACAAAAGCUUUAAUAACACAUGUUUGUACCUGUGGACAAGAGGUUUCCGUAUUUCAUUAGAAUGUUUAAAUUUUGUGUUAAUUUUUGAGAAUUUGAAAGUCAAAAAAAGUGAUCACAUUUCAUAAUAAAUACAAAUUUCCUUUUCAGAUAUAGUUGAAAUAAAAAGAAGUAUAAAUCUUCUUCUUCUUUUUUUUCACUUGAAAAUGUAUUCAAUUAUACAUUAAAGUUUUAUGGUUAGAUAAUAUAUAAGAUGAUAAACAUAUAUUUGGAUGUAAUCCAAAGUGGUAGGUUAGGAGUUGGAGUUGGAGUUGGAGUUUCCUACACCUAUUCUAUUCUCCAUUGAUAUAAUUGAAAUAAAGAGGCAAGUUGGCAAGUUGGAAAUGGUAGCACUCUAUAACUGGACCCUCACCAAUUUCUAUUUGCAAUCAAAUUAUGCAAUUUCAUUCAACCUAUUCAUCAAAGCAAGAAGAAACGCCAUCAACAAUGGCAGAACACACUUCUUCUUUUUCCUGUGCCUUUUUCUUACUUGAGACCAUAAUUCAAAGUUACAUCACUUUCACACCUAUCAUCAUCACCAUCACCACCAUUCCCCUAAUUCUCUUCAAGUUUGAAAUUGUAUGGACAUAUAUUUGAAAUUUAGACCUUUCAAGGUAGACAAUUGAUGUCGUAAUUGUUAGCAAAUUUGUGUACAAAGUGAGAAUUUUGAACAUUCAAACGGUAUAUUUUUAACCGUUGAGCCAUCAUAGUGUGUAAAAAUAUGUUUGUUAUUAACGAGAGUUUUGGAUUGGUAGGUGAAACUAUGACAAUGGGUAACUUAGAUGAGUAGGUGAGUACAGAUUAACUUUUUUUCUUCUAGAAAAUAUAUGUGAGUGAGGAUGAACCAUAUACUAAAAGAAUUUGUGUGGGUAACUUUUAGUCUUAGAAGUAGUUCAAGGAACAGGCAAACGUCGUAAGGUUACAGGUUAGAGUGAAAUGUGAGUGCCAAAUAUCUAUAAAUGAUGGUGUGAAUCUUGGAGUUGAGACGUUAUAUUAAACAAAAUCAAAAUGAAUGGACGAAAUUAAUAAGAAUAUAGGGAGGUUGAAAGUGAUGAUGAAGAUUUGACCUUAUUCACAUUAUUUUGGACCACAUUCACAUCUUUCAUCUUUAUUUCUCCAAUUAACAUCCAAUCUCUCAACUUGCAAAAACCUUUGAAGAAUAAUCCCUUAUGCCCCACAUGCAUUAACAUACCCUUCCUUUUUCCAUAAUCACAACUUUCUCUUACAACAUUCCCUAAUCAUCACUACUUUACAAGUGAUUUGAGACAUGAAAAAAGAAAAAGAAAAAAAAAGAGAAGAAGAGAAGUGGGUUUUUAAAUUUUAAUGACCUUCAAAUUGCAACCUCUAACAUUAGAUAUAAAGAUUUCAAUUCUAUACCUCUAUCCAUAAAACGUUCAUUGUCGACAAUAUUUUUAAUAAAAAUUAUUAUUUUUUUAAAUUUUUAUAUUAACCGUUACAAAAUGAAAAAGUCUAUUAAAUUCGUUAUUCUUUUAAAAAAUAUUCGAGGUUUCAUGUUCGACAUUUUUUUCUUAUUUUUCUGUAGUUUUUCUUUUAUUUUUUUUCUGAUAUUUGGUCUAAGAUCAUAUACCAAAGAUAAAAGAUCUAUUUAUUUUUAUUUUUUUAUUUUCAAACUGUUCCAAAUAUAAAAGAUAGUGAAAAAAAUCGAUGAUGUUAGAUAACCAAAUCUAAACUAUCGUUUUUCAAAUAUAAACGAUUGUCUAAAGAAAUUAUGAAAAAAAUCGUUCAGAUCUGACUACGUAAAUUUAUAUAAAUAUUUUUAAAUUUUAAAUUAAGUUCAAGACAUGUUAUUGGAAUGAUUUUAAUAACUCUUUAAUUUAGAGAUAUAUUUGAUAUAUCACAAAUAUGAUUUUAAUACUUAGAGUUUGAUAAAUGAGAUAAGUUAUCAUAAACUAAAGUUUUGCUAAUCCAAAACAUUAACCCCUAGCUAGGGCUAUAAAUAGAUUUUUAAAAUUUAUAUAGUCAUGAACUCAUUUUUCUUUAAUGUAUUCUAGACUUUUUUUUUUUCUUCAAAUUUUAUUUAUUAUAACUCAUAUACAUCUAGAAAUAAAAGCACUAGUUACCUAAACCUAAAUUUCUAAAACACAAUUUAACUGAUUGGUUCUCGAGAAUUUCACGUUAAAAAGAUAAGGAGAUACAUUUCACCAUUCAUAUAAGAUACAUGAAUUAAUUCUUUUUAUUAUGUUUAUUUAAUAUGAUAUCACAUUCAAUGACGAAUCUAGAAAUUUUAUAUAGAAAGACACCAUACACUAUAUAAUAAACACACUAACAAAAGUUAAAAAACAUCUCGACGUUUUGUUGAUUGUAACCCGAAUUGAGAAAAAAGAGUAGGUGCAUUAAUAAAUUAGUUUGGCAUAGUUUGAUUAAGAAGGAUUUCUUGUGGUACAAGAACAUUAUAAUCACUUAAUGAGGUUUUGGAUUGUUAUAUGAUAAUUGAGUAAAUAUAAGUUAUUAACAUUUUCAAUCAUAGCCGUCCUAUUUCAUCAAAUUCAUAUCUAACUAUUAUUAUUACUAAAUAUCCAUUUAAUGGGAUCUCUAAUUUUAAGGUCAAAACAAAAAUCAAACGUAUUUUCUCCUUUUUUUUAACGUAAUAUACAUGUACAUCAUUUUCAUAAAUAUAACAAAUCCAUCAAAUAUUUACGAUUUAUAUAACAAAAUAAAAAAGGUGAUCAUUUUUAAAAAUAUUUCAGGGUUGUCAUUUCUUUUUAUUUGUCUUUCUUUAUUUCUGUUUGUUUGCAGUUUUUUUCAUUGUUUUUCUUUUCGAUUUUUUUCAUUGUUUUUGCCCUUCCAUUUUCAUAUAUUUUUUUCGACUAACAAAUAUAAACGAUUCGAAAAAAUAACCAAAUUUAAACAAAAUAAAAUUUUUGAAAAAAAUCGUAGUUUGACAACCAAAAUUUAAACGACUAAAUAUAAAAGGAAAGAAUAGGCAAAUCUAAACCUAUCGUGAAUUUUUUUUUAAAAAAACUUGUUUAGAUUUGGAAGAAAACGAUCAUUUAACAAAAAUAUAUUACAUGUCUUGUGAGUGUCAAUUAAUGGCAAUAUAUUUUUGGUAAUUCCCUUAUAAACAUGUAAACUUUUUCCAUUUUUUAACAUUGUUUUAUACUAUUUUAGCGUUUUGUUAUAUUUUUUAAAAUAAAUAAUUACAAACUAAAAUAUAAAAUAAUUAAAUUUGAUUGUUUCGUAGUCCCUAGGGUUAGACUUUGAAAUCCAACAAUAAAAAUAAAAAUUAAUGAAUAGAAAUGACAAACAUGGAAAAAGACAAAACUAACCUUGAAUUGCUAAAUUGAAACUUUAUUUUUUGUCACCCCUUAUGAAUUGCCACUUCCUUUGUUUCAUAUGUAGGCAAAAAUACAAAAUAAUAAUAAAUACAAACAAAGUAUUAUCUACCAAUUCUUUUUUCUUUUUUUAUAUAAAAUUAAUAUUAUUCGUAAAAUUAAAUGUGGUCUUUGGUCACCAACCAUAUGACAAUCAAGUCUCUCGUUGUUUAGAGAGAGCUAGAAAAUAUAUAAGUCGAGAUAACUUAAGAACUCUUAGUUAUAUAUAAAUAAAUUUUGUAAUUGUUAGUUUUUAAUUAGUUUCUCGUUUAAUUAAAAUGUUACUUACCACUGUGAUCAUCAAUCACAUAUUUAUUUCAAUAGUCACUUAAACAUGGGCAAAAGUACUUCAGUACUUGAGCAUAAUAUAUGCUUUUAUAGAGUCGGUGUCUCAUAAAGCUUUAUAGUCAUCCUUAUGCAUGUAUUGAUCUCUAUAUUAUUUAAACAAAUAAACUUAUGACUUCAUGACUAAUUCUAUAGGUCGGUUUUAUAAUAAAAGAAAAUAGAAAUUUAGUUUGAAAACUUAUAUAAGUUAGAUGAUUUAAUUUUUAUUAAUUGUAUGUUCAAUUUUUACGAUUAUUAUAAGUUUGAAGGUCUAAUUCUAACACUUUUAGAAGUUUAGAGGCCAAUUGUUACAAUCAUUGCAUAGAAAAAAGUGUAAUUUAAAAAGUAGUUUUUACUUUUUAUAUUUAUUAAAAAUGUACUGACUAAAUUAAAUAUUCAAAACAUAUAACCAAAAUGUAAAUUUUUAUAAAGCAAAAAGAGAAAAGAAAAGAAAAGAAAAGUACUUUUGGAAAUUUUGAAAGGGUAAGUCAUAUGAUAUGGGAUUCUUUGUUGGUUUUUGAUGGAAAUGCAAGUGGGGGUUCCAAUUUGCAAGAACCACAUUUCUUUUUGUUUUUCACCAACUUGAAAUUGGAUUCCUUCUCUCUCUCUCACACACACACAUUUUGUUCAUCAACCACGUAUAAACUCUAUUUGAUCCUAUAUGUUUUGCAAUGGUAAUGAAUUGUAGAUUAAUUUGCCUCCAAAUCUGUAUUUACAUGAUCUAAUUUAAGAACGGAGGAUUCUCAGUUUGACCGUGUUUGAAAAUUAGGUGAAACUUAUUACCUUUAUUGCCUUAAUUGAUAUCUAAUAGUAGAAAAACUACGAGUAUGAUAUAUUUUAUUGUUACAUUUAUUAUUACUGUCAAAGGUCAAUUGAUAAUGAUAACAGUAAAUAUGAAAAAUUCAUAAUUAUAGGUAAACGUGGUAAUAGAAAUCCAAUUACGUCUGCAAUUGACUUUCCAUUACAAACGUGUGACCUUAGAGAACCUUUGCAUGAUAUGAAAUUUUGUCAUCUAAAUUAUAUAUAAUAAUGACAUGACUUUUGAUAGUUCAAUCUUGAUCUCACUAUCGACUCCACGACUCUAAAAACACUGGAAAAAUAAUAAAUAUUGAAGACAAAAAUCAUAAAACUAAAUUUUUUAUGCUUAUGAUAAAUUUAAUUUCACAGUAAUUUGAUGUUGAAUCAGAAGAUGACCAAAUACUCCAAAAUAUAAAUAUAUUAAUUUGCAUAAGAAAAUAAGAGAGUAAAGGAAUUUAUUUUAACAAAACGACAUCGUUCUCAUUUACACUUUGCAUUAUUGACUGAAAUGGCACUCCACAAUCCAUCCAACGCCACUAUUCCGUUUAUGCCCUCCACCGCUUUCUCCCUUCUAUUGAAAUCAAAGGACAUUUUGAUAUUUUCACAUUCCAAAAGAAACAGAAAAAUCUACGCAAUUCUUCCCAAGAAAUUGAUGAAACUCUAAAUCAAAUUUCACUUCCACUUCGUUCUUCAUUCCAAUUCUCUAAUUCAAGAAGAAGAAGAAGAAAUUUACCGAUUACCUGCACGAUUCAUUCCUUCAACAACCGACGCCAGUUUCUGCAGAUUCAAUCUCACAACCGUAUCGGCGAACAAACGAGCAUCCUCCUCCGUAUUCCCCGGCGGAACAUCCACCGCGUACGAUUCCAAAACCACGCUCCAGAUCUGACCAUCCCGCUCCAACUGAUGCACCGAAGUCACCGAUCGGUAAUUCCGGAGACGGUGUUCACCUCCGAUGAUACUGAACCCGAUGACGUGUCUCUCGUCGUCGUGAAUAUCGAGUCUCUCCGUACUUGUAUCCGCUGGUAAGCCUGAUAUUACAUUAACCUCUCUUGUACAACCUAACUUCAUUGUGAAUCCUUCACUCACCGUACAGCUCUUGAUGAAGUGCUUGUAACUUUGAGGCUGGUCGAACCUUCGUACGAUGGACCAGACCGCCUCUGAUGGUGCCUGAACACGCUGAGCAAGUAAGGAGGAGCACCGGCCGCGGGUGAGUUUGUAGAUGUGAAACUCUGCUACUAAGUCCUUCAACUCGUCGAACUCUUCCUGAGUGAGGCCGGAGGGCAGUGCGGAGAGAUGGUGAGUUGUGAGAUAAGUUUCUUCGGAGUUUGAGUUUGGUUGGAGCUGCUGCUCCGUGGACGCGGCAGAGGCUUCCCCGUCGAGCUCGCCACCGUCGGCUUUCUCCAUGGUUCUUUCCCCGAAAAUGUUCGAUAGGUUUGUGGGAAAUAUAAAGAUGAGUGAAAUGAGGAGAAAUUGCCUGGGGACCUCUCCCCCUUUAUAUUUCGUUUAUCCUUUGUCUCUUUGUUAUUUUAGUGCUAAGGAAAGAAUGGUUUGUUAUAUAUAUACAUAUAGAUAUAUAGAUAGAUUAUGAGUUAGAUGGUUUAUUUUUACUUAAGGAAAAUUUGACUUGGGUUUAGUGUUAUUAAGGUCGAGAUUGGCUUUGGACCAAGUUAGCCUCUCUCUAGCUAUAAAUACAUGUGAGUUUGAAUUAUGUACGAAAUAUAUGAUUACGACUGUGUCGAGGUUGAUUAGGCUAGUUUGGCUUUGGGCCAAGCUAGCUUUCUCUCUAAGCUAAUUUCAUCCUCCAACUAUGUUAGCUUGCAUUUAUUGUUAUCUCCUAAUUGAUUCUUUUUUGGCAUUGAUUUUAUCUUUGUUUUUUAAUACAACAAUUGUAAAGACAAAAUAUCGAUUUUAAAAGAAUGACAUGUCAAUAUGGUUGAACUAGAUUUAAUUUGAAUUAAUUUACUUAAAGAUAAUAAAAAUAAUUUUGAAAUUUGAGGUUUUUCUUUGGUGUAAUAUAUGUGUGAAUAUUAAUUUUUUUUUAAAAAGAAAUUUUAGUUGGAAAUUAGUUGUGAGUUAAUUAUUGAUGUAAUUUAAAUUUUACCCACUUUCUAUUUAAUUUUUUGGACUUUAUCUUUUUGUUAUAUUAAUUGCUUUGAUAUAAUAACCAUGUUGAUUUGAGGAUCAAUUAUUCUUCCUUUAUUUAUUUUAAAAAAGUUUAGAACGAUAUGAUUUCUAGUUACAUUUUAAAAAGUGUACUAUGUAAAUAUAUUUUCAACAUUUAGGGUCAAAAGUUUUAAUAUUAUAAAAUUAAAAUUGUGAGUAUUUGAUCUUUUCUAUGUCGACUUAAAGUAAGUAUGGUGAAUCAAGACUAAGUAAGUAUGGCGAAUCAAGACUGAGGUUGCACGUUAAAAUAAAAUAAACACAAAAAUUUGCAUGAGUCAUCCACUCUAGACAUAGAAAAUUUGAUUAAAAGUCUUAGAAAAAAAAGAAUAUUUCAAUAGUUUCAUCAAGUAAAAGAAUAUAAUAGGGAGAAGUAGAAUGCCAGAGCUUAUCCAGCUAAUGAGAUAUACUAUUGAGUUUUGUGGAUGAACAAUCCUUAAUUCUUUUUCUUUAAAACUUUUGGUGCAAUUUGUUGUUUUAAAGUCAAAAGAUUAAUAAGUAAAUAGCUUUUUGUUUUCAUACAAACAUGAAGCAUCCAACUCAAUUAUAUGAUUGGUUAGCAGCCAUCACCAAUAUCUCCUCUUUCUUCUUUAGAAUUUCCCCUUUGAGUACCCCAUCACUAUCUCUUCUUCUUUAUUGAGUAUAACAACUUAUAAAAUUUCUCAUAUUCAGUAGAGAAUCAAACUCAAGAAUCCAUCCUCGACCCUAUAUAGUCUUGUUGAUACCUCUAAAUCUUAGCCUACCAAUGCUAAUAGUAAUUCAACUUAGAAUAUCUUUGCUUUAGUAGGGUUGGAAGGUUUCAUCGCUUUCAAAGUUAUUUCUAAACAUCUAGAAAAAGAAAAAAAAUCAUGUUAUGAAGUUUAUCCAUGAACCAAUGUGUUAAGGAAAGAGAGAUUUCUCUCCCAUCAUAGAAAAGGAAAUAAUCAAAGCCUUCUAUGAAUUUAAAUGGAUCUCCUUUUUUUUUGUUUCCUUUUUCUUUCUUUGAGAAGGGAAAUAAAAUGAAGAAUGUUAAUGUUCAAUCAAAUAGUGGAAGGAAGAUAUAACUCAAGAAGGGAUUCAAUCAUAAUCAUCCCAAGCUUGAUCUGGUGAUCUCAUAAGCCAGAAAACAAGCAGCAUUUGCAGGUACACUCCGGGCCAUGGCAGGACCAAAACCUUUGUAUAGUCCUUUAACUCCUUCCGACGCUAGGAUUUUUCUAAAGGCAUCCAUGGAACCCGAGUACUUUGGGUUUUUGUAAUCAUCUACUUGAAGUACACUCUUGACAACAUCAGUUGGAUAGACGGAGAACCAAAAGGUACCUCCAGCCAAUCCUCCAGCCACGAUCAGUGAGCCUCUUCCGAGGUUUGAAGUGUCUGGCCCGCCUGCAAACUUCUGCUUUAGCAACUCAUACACACCAAACAUGGCAGCAUUUCCGGGUACUUCACGGGCUAGAGUAGGAGCCAAUCCCUUGAAGAGACCCCUUGCACCGCCUUCUGAUUUGAGAACGUGCCGGGCAACAUCCAUUGGCCCUCCAUACUUCACUGUUAAGCCAGCUGAACCGGAUUGUCCCAAUGCACUUUGAGCUUGCAAUCUGCAACCAUAACGACAGCAGACAUAUUAGUGGUCAUAUUUGAGCUUACAUAAUAAUCAAUUCCUCUCUAAAUAACAAAACUAUACAUGUUUUGUUUAGAAUCAAUAUUUGAUAUCAGUAUUAUCUCAUUAACAUUAUAACUCCUCCAGGAUACAAAAGCGCGGGGUGGUAAGAGAAUUUGAACAGGACCAACAUAACGAACCUGCACUUGAUUAAUUCAGUAGGGCAAGCGAGAAAGGACACAGCAAGUCCAGCCCCAGCUCCACAAAUCACCUGCUGAUUGACAGUUAGGGGUACACCAGGUUGAGACCUUAACAAUGUUUCCAUUUGUCCUCUUACUGAAAAGAGAACGGCAUUGAAGGCUGCAACAGUUGCGAGUGGAGCUCCCAUACCCUUGUACAGCCCACGAGGGCCUUCAGCUGCUAGAGUUUGCUUGACAGCAUCCAUGGCACCAGAGAACUUAGGAAGCUGGCCGGGAAGUGGAACAGGCUGGCUUUGCAGCUUGACCUUUAUAGUAUCGAACGGGUGUCCACAUAUCAACUGUGCUGCUCCUCCGACAGUCCCGGCAGUGAGGUCCUUGGCCACGUCUCCCAUCGUACAAAUUCAAUGUAAAAAGUGUGGAGACCUAUUAUGGGAAGGAAUGACAAUGGAAUUCUCUGAGUCUUUUGAAUUGAUGAAUCUGAAGCAUAAGGUAUAUGAGAGAUCCAAACAAACGAGCAAUACAAGAAAAAGAUAUUUCAUCAAUAGAUGGACCCACGAGACAACCCUUCACCAAUAGAUCCUUCAAUCACAAAACACCCUCGCCCAAUUAUAUAGAAUUCUGGAGAGCAAAUGCAGCACCGUAUCUAACUUCUACAUGGUCCAACAAAGACUCACUGACUACCACAAAUAUUCAGUUUCAAGCAUACUUGUGUUAUGUCAAUACGAUGGCUGUGGUAUUGGAGAAAGAUCAUAGAUGCCUGUUUCAGGAUGGUAUAGACCAGAUUAUGCUUCAGAAAAUACUAUCCGUCGCCAUUUAUGCCGACUGCUUCCUCUAGGCUCAAGGUAAUUCUAGUAAUCAAAAUUCCCAGCAAAUUUUCACCUAAAUUUAAAUAGGAUGGAUAUUGACUGCAAGUGUAGACAAGUUUCUACAGAGAUAAGCUUAACAUAAACACUUUAGUUUGGCUAGUAUGUCCAAUACUUGAACACACCAACACUUGUUGGUGUAACAUAUGGAUUAGAUAUGCAUAAACACUUCGUUAAGAUUUUGAGAAAUAAAUCAAACUAAUAUUUCAAGCAUAUAAAAUGAACCAGCUUGAAUUUUCUUCUGGUAUAAAAGUAAUAUUUCUUUGUAAAUGUAUAUUUUGACAAACAUGUCCUUGUUGUGUCCAUGUCCUAGUGUUAGAAAAUGAUACGUUAUAUCGCGUUGUGUUGCAUUGUAUUCAUAUCCGUUCUUCUUAGCUUAUCAAUAGUAAUUGAAAAUUAUCUAAAUGGAAUAUUGUAUGUUUGCAAAUACAAGUGUAAACAACCCAGAGUCGCGAGCACAAGCACAGAGUAGAAAAUCACAUGGAAAGAAAGAAAAGACGAAGCAUAAUCCUAGAAAAUUGAUGUACAGCAUUGACCAUUAAUUGCAUAAAGAAUCAGAUUCAGAUUAGUUCUUUCCACCAAAAAAGAUACAAAGAGCAUGAUUUGUUGCAUUCGUAACUAGUAACUUCAAAAUGCAAACGAGAUAUCCAAAUUGGACCAUGUAAUAAAAGAAGAAAACAUAGCAGACUCAAUAAAUAUAACAAGCAAGAAUCAAGAAGACGGUAAAUUAACCAACAUCAACAAAACUCCCAAACUGAAUGUAAAAGAUAAUCAGGAAACAAGUUGAAUUAAUCAAAUGUGAUCAGAAAAGAAUCAAUCAAUCAGGAAACAAGUUUACAUUCCACAUCAAAAAGAGAGAAAAUCUUACCACAACCAAAAUUUCAGCAACACCCAGAUGCAAAACUUGAAAAUAGAAAUCAAAACUCAAUAGAAUUCAAUGAUGCAAGUAAAAAGUUGGCCUCCCCAGAAUCUGAUAAAUAAAAAGCAAUUAAACCCAAAAAGAACAAAUGGAAAUAUCAAAAUCAGCCCCCCAAAAAAAAGAAAGGGAGGAUAGGAGUGCUCACAAGUGAAUGCUAAAAGUUAGAGGGUGAUUGAUGAUGGGUUAUGGAUGGUGAAGGGGAAACUGCAAGUAAAGAAGAGAAAAUGAAUCAUGUUAAAAAUUGGAGCCACAAAAAGAAGGUGGGUAAGAAAGGGGAUCUUAAAAGGGGAAAAACCCAGAUUAAUGGGAGUGAAUCUGGGCUUCACAUGAUGAAGAAGAGGCAAAUGUGGAUGAGAGAAGCCCAAAGAAGAAGACAAUUCUUCAAAUUUGAAGAAGAAUAGGAAUACCCAUAAAUUCUUUUUCUCAAUCCUAGCCUUUGAUUCUUAUCAUCCACCAAUCUUGAGUUGAAUCCAACGCAUGCUUACGGCGGCACAGAGAGGGAAGGAGAGAAAUGUAAGAAUUUCAUUUGUCGUUCUUAGCUCGUCACCAAUUGUUAUUGGGUUUGGUCGGGAGCCCAACUUGGGAAUCAAAAACUUUAUCAAAAAUGACAAAACUUUAUUUUUAUAUUCUACUUUUUUUUUGGGAACAGUUGAUUUAUAUUUUAACCCUUCCCAAGUUCCAAUUACAAUGAAGUUCAUUCACGUGUGUCAAUCGUAACGAACAGUAAUUAAGAAGAUUUCCCAUUUUCUCAAUUCAAAUCGUAACGAAUAGUAAUUAAGAAGAUUUCCCAUUUUCUCAAUUCAAAUCGUAACGAACAGUAAUUAAGAAAAUUUCCCAUUUGCUCAGUGCAAAUUCAUGGCCUAGAAGAAGAUAGGCAGCCAUGGGAUGGGAGUCUAUGAGGAAGAAAAAAAGAAGAGGAAGGAAAUGAAAAACAACGUGGCACCAUAAGAAUGGGCCACGUGGCUGGCUGUUGAAAUUUACUCUUUUUAAAACAAAAACUAAAACAACAAUUUGAAUUUGACACUUGGGGUUGGAGCCAUUUCAGUUUAGUUGAAGAUUUUUUUUCUUCUUUUGAAAAGUUCAAUCGAUCAUUUGAAAUUCACAACAAUUAAUAAUGGACUCUGUGUUAAGGUUGUGAUUGAUGUUGAAGAGAACUGUAUCUGUGUGUUCAACAAUGGAGAUGGAGUUUGUGUCGAGGUUCAUCAGGAAAAUAAGGUUUAUGUGCCUGAGUUCAUCUUUGAGUACAUUGUGAGUUUAUAAAUAUCAAGAUCUGCCACUGUAUGAGAUCUCAAAUCAACAUCAACAUUUUCGACAUAGCCUCCAAAAUUUAUUUGAGUUCAAAGGGUAAACUAUUUUAAUUUUAAUUUGGAAAGAAAACAGCAAAACUGUAAAAUAUUAGGAAGGAAGGUAACAAAUAAGAGAAGAAAAGAUGGGCCUAGUGGAUAGAGAUAAAAGAGGCCUAUAAUUCAAGUUUUACCCACCAAAAGAAUAAGGCCCAUUAAUAGAAUAAAUAUUUAGAAAAAUCAACAUCCAAAAUUUUCCUUAAUAAAAUUUCAUGCUUUUAUGACCAUUUUAACCAUAUUUUCAUAAAUAUAUAAUAAAUAUCAUGACAUUAUAUCAGAUUUAUGUUCUAUUUUAUAACUUCCAUAAUUAACGUGGAUAUUUAUUAUAUGUUUCUGAAAAUUAAUUUUAUAACUUAAUUUUGUGAUUUAUAUUUACAUUUUCCAUGCUCUUUCAUAUAUAGAAUAUUAUAAUAACACAUAUAUUUUGAUUUUUUUUUUUUAUCAUGUAUGGAUGAAAUUACAGUAUAUUUGGAUUGUAUUUUAAACUAUUCUUUUAAAUGCAUGUUAGUUUUGUAACUAUUAUAUACCACUCUAGUAUAAUUAUAUUAUCUAAUUUAUUAUAUAUACACACAUGCAUAUUUAUAGUAAUACGUAAGUUGUGACACAUAUAGUUCUAUUAUUUUUUGUCAGUGCAUAUUCUUUUCAUUACUAUUAUUUAUCACUGUAUAUUUUAAAUAUGUUCUUUAAUAUUACCCAAUACAUCUUGCAUAUUUACAAUAAUACGUAAGUCAAAUAUACAGUUAUGUUUUCAGUUUCCGAAGCAUGAAUUAGAUAAUAUACUAUGUACAUUUAAUGUACGAAACAAUCUUUUCAGUUCACACAAUCUGAGAUAACAUUGUCUUGCACAACCAAAAUUUUACUCGUCUGCUUCAGAAGAAAUCCUAAUUUGUUCGGAGUUAAAACUCUAGAUAUUGAUUUUGUUCGAUUUCGGACUAAUAACAAUAUAAUAUGUUCAAUCUACUAAAUAUACCCUACCAUAUUUCGUAUAUGAACAUAAAUCUUUACUUACUGAAAAUAUUUGCUGAAAUAGGUUCUAAAGUUCUCUGCUUCAGCCGGCCAUCGCAAGUCAUCUUCUUUACUUCGAAAAUUUUCACACAAUUUUUUAUUGUUUGCUUCUUUCGUGAAGAAAUGAGAAUGAAAAAUGGAACUUUUAUCGAAGAAUGAAGUUUUGACUAAAAUUUGAAAAUUCCAAAACAGCUCCUUAGAAAUCCUCUUUUCACGGUUUGAUGGUCCGCCUUCCUUAUUUAUUUUUUUAUUUUUAUAUAUGUAAUUACUAAUAAGAUUGAGUGAAUUGGUCAUUUGUGACAUAUUUUUGUGUAAAAUAGAAGUCCGUUAGAACAUUACUGUAAGUUCAUACCUAUUUAGUCCUUAGUAGAUAAAAACCUAGAUAGAAUAUAGAUAUUUGUUUUUAAUUUGUUUAGAGAUUAUAUCACUAUGAUCAUUGCUUUAUUGUAUGGCCAACAUACAAUACCAUAAAAACGAUAUUCAAUUAAAAAACAAAUAUUAGAUUGCGGUCAAAAAUGAAGAAUUUUGUAUUUUGUUUAUCGAGUUUAGAAGCUUAACUAGCUAAUAUCUCACACUUUGUAGUUCAUGAGAAAGUUUUCUUUAAUACGACAAGAAAUGAAGAAUUCGACCUACAAACUUUCAAUUAAUUAACAUAUACUAUGUUAGUUGAGCAACCCUCCUGCACUAGUGUUUGUGUGAAGAUGACAUCGAAUAAUUAAUGAAAUUCUAAAUUGAAAGUAGAUAAUAAUAUUUAUAUAAAAUGUUUGUCAUUGAUAAGUACAAAUUUAAUUAAUAUUUUCGAAUGACAAACAAAUAUAUAGUUUUUUCCUUUUCCUUGGGAGGCAGAGAAUUUAAUUAAAGUCCAACAAAUUGGAAUGGACAAUGAUAGGAAUACAUGAAUUGAUUUUGUUGAAACAUAUCUAUUUUCUAUAUAUAUGUUAACUGACAAUCAGACAAAUUUAAGUAUUUCCUUUAGAAGACAUUGAAAAUCUAAUAUUCCAAAAAUAUUUUGCAUGGAUAAUAACUAUAUAUAUAAAAGGAUAUAAUUGAUUGUUGUUGAAGAGAAGCAAAUUAAAUUAAAUAUCAAUUUUCUAUUUGCAAGAUAUGGAUUAUUAUUGUAAAGCAGUAUGGUUGGUGAUAGUGAUUUUUGUUUGCUUAAAUUGUAAAUGCAGUGAAGCCUCUAACUCAAAACUUUCAAGAGAAGAAGAAUUGGAGAUUGAAGAACAUCUCAAACUUCUCAACAAGCCCUCCAUCAAAACAUAUAAGGUAGUAUAUGUACAUAUUACUUUAAAGUUUUAAGUCUACUAGUAGAUACACCCGAGCAUGUUCUUAUCAGGUAAGCAUCUUCUUACUUUGAUAUCAAUCUUAAGCAAUCAAAAGGAUUAAGAUGUAUAGUCACGUGGCGAUUUAAUUUAAUUUGUUUUCAUUAUUUGUAGAUCUAAUGUUAAAUACAUAUUAAAAAAUUUAAUUACCUUCGUAAGAAAGUAAUAUUCAUUAUUUAUUUGUAAUAUGUGGGGUGACAUGAAAUAUUUUGGUUAAGAUUAUCAUGCUUUUUAGGGUUAACUAAACUAUGUUUAAAUUGGUUACUUUAGCCUCAAUUAAAGAUUUAAGUUUGUAGUAAAGAAUUUGUUUUAGUACACGAAUUUGAACGAUUAUAGUUACUAAUACAAUCAUAUAUAUCACUUGAAUUAAUUCAAAGUUAAUAAUUAUUUGGUUAAAUUUUAAUUAUGUUCCAUUUUUAUUUGCUUCCAUACAACAUUUAAACGAUGUAAGGAAGAAAAUUUAUGCCCUAGUAAUUAUUGUUUGCAUACUCUCCAUCUCCUUGAAUUUGAGAUUUGAUCUCUCACUGUCUGUAAUCAUUUUUCUAAUGAUGAUGAUGUUUAAAAGGCAAGAGGGAUCAAAGGGUGCAUCGAGAUAUCUAACUAGGUUAACAUCUCUUUAGCAUCCUUAAUUAUCACGUUUCAAGACAUCUCGAUUAUGUUGACGCAUCUCUAGACGAGCUAGGGCUUCCCUCUAGUUUGUCUUGUACUCUUCAUUUUUUUAUUCCCAUAAUUAUCUAAAAAGAACAUCAAAUUUAUAUUUGUGUGGACUUUGAUAUUUUGAAUUUUUAGACCAAGGAAGGAGAUAUCAUUGACUGUGUCGACAUCAAUAAACAACCAGCCCUCGAUCACCCUUUAUUGAAAAAUCACAAAGUUCAGGUACAUACUUAUAUUAUGAUGUAAUUUUCAUACUAUCAAUGUUGAUUUUGUAUUAUUUAAAACCAUAUUCAAACUUAUUUUCAAAACGAUAAAAUUAAUUUUAUCGUUUUCACAAUCUCUCUAAACAUAUACCUUUAAAAUGUAACAAAUAAUAUGGUAUACACUAAUCACUCACAUGAUCUUUUAUCAUUCCACAAUCAAUUUCGAUCAUGAUAUAAUUCACACACAUUAUAAAAAUGCAAAGCCAAACAUGUGUUAGAUUGAUUUUCCACUGCAUAAUAUAAAAACAUGUUACAUAUAGAUAUAACAAUUAAGCAUAAAGUAUUAAUAGAUAUAACACAAUGCUAAAAAGAACUACAAGUGGAAAUAAAAAAAAAAGUUUAUCAACAAAACUGAUCCAUAAAGUAGCAAUAUAUGUCUCGUUUGCAUUCAAAUUAUAUAAUAUGGUUUUUUUUUCUUCACUUUCCUUUCUGUGAUAGACUCUACCAAGUGGAUAUGUAUCUAAAUUGUUCAAGAAGGAUUCAUCUCAAGCAAACAAUGGGAUAUCGACACUCCCAAGUAACAACAAUAAUGGAGAAGAAGGUUGUCCUAAUGGAUUUGUUCCAAUUAGAAGAACAUUAAAAAAAGAUCUAAUUAGGUUAAAAUCUCUAUCAUCCAACAACAAAAACCAACAAUCAUCAAUGAACCCACAAGAUGAUCAAUCUGAUGAUUUUUUCGAUGACUCUGUCAAAUUUCCUUACUAUCAAAAUGUAAGUAUCGACUUUUAAUUUCAUGUAUGAAUCGUUGUUUUUGUUUUUUUUUUUUGUUAAAUUUUAUAUAAAAAGAUAUCUAGUUUAAAAAAUAACCUAUAUAUACUUUUGAAAGUUAUUAUAAUAUAUAUUACCCUAGACCUUUCAAAAUCAUACCCAUGGGAGUACAAAAAAGUUUUUAGAAUUAAUGUUAUAAAUAUGUACUAUUCUUUUAGACUCACUUCACAUCGUUUAGGUUUGCCUGACGAGAUUUUGUUACAAUGUAACAUUGAUCUAAAUUAUAUCAUUAUUAUGGAUAAGGUGGUUUCUCAUUCUUUGGAGAAGGGUACUGAGAAAUACUAUGGAACUAAGUCAUACAUGUCUGUGUACAAUGUGAGUUUGAGUUUCGAUCAAUCUUCAUCGACUAACAUAUGGAUUGUUGGUGGCCCUGUUGACUCUCUUGGUGUACUCAUGACUGGCUGGCUGGUAAAAUUUAAAACCCCUUUAGUCUUUUUAUUUCUUUGUAAAAUUUCUAUGUAAAAACAAAAUACUCACAUUGCCAAAUUGAUUUUGAUCAAACGUUAUUGCAACACUGAGCUUUUUGAUAUAAUUGGUUGGCUGUUUUAGGUGAAUCCAGAAGUAAAUGGUGAUUUUGUCACUAGAAGCUUUGUAUAUUGGACGGUAAGUGAAUUGAAUUUUUGUUUUGUCCCAUCACAUUUACAUUAUUGUUUGUGUUAUUGAUUUGUGACUGAAUUAAUUUUCAAAGUUUUUUUUAAAAUAAGAAAACUAUAUAAUACACCUUCUUCUAAAUUGAUUUUUUUUUGGGGAUAUUAUUCUACACUUUUCUUAGAAAAUACAUGUAAAAAAAAUUGUUCUCUAGUAUUUAUUUUGUAUCUAAAUUUCAAAAUAUUAUAUUUGAAUUUAAUUAAUAUUUAGUUUCAAAGUUUCAAUAAUAUAUUACACAUUAACUACUGUUGAGUUUUAUUUAGUUCUUACCUUUCAAUAUUGUAACUUUUAUUCUUGAAUUAUUACCAUAUAUUCAUUGUUAGCGUUAACUUUUAGUUAGUUAAUCUAAAAUAAUUAUGUUGUGACAUUGAUUGAAGCAAGUAUUAGUGAAACAGUAUACUUAAAAUUGAGACCAUAGAUUAAAACAAAACUUAAAAUUAAAAACUAUAACAUUUUGAAAUCAAGAGGAAUCAAAUGAAAACAGUUAGACUAAUCGACAUAGAUUGACAUAGAGACCGAAAAUGUAUUUUUCCCCCUUAUAUAUAUAUACAUAAUAAUUAUUCAAAUCUCAUGUGUUAGUUUUAUAAAUUCAAUAUAUAUGAAAGGAGUAAAAGAGAUUUGAACCUUCGAUGUUACAAAGACGAGAGUAUAUUCAUAUCAAAUACACCGUUAAAUUAUGUCCACUUUUGAUAAUAAUAUCUUUUGCAUAUGCUUAGAUUUCAAAAUUGUAACAGGCUGACGGAGGUACUACGACAGGAUGUUAUAAUAUGUAUUGUCAAGGCUUCGUACAAGUAAAUCCAAGUCAUCAUGUAGGCGCUCCUCUUCUUCCAACCUCCACGUAUGAAGGACAACAAUAUGACUAUCAGUUCACCAUCAUUCAAGUAAUUCUCAAACAAGACCUUAAUUACAUAUGAAUCAUGCUAGCUAUUAUAUUUAUUGAUGAAUGAGUUAUAUGUUAAAUUUUGAAAUGUAGAUCGAAGGGAAUUGGUGGGUUCUGGUAGGUGAAAAUCUGGGAUUAGGAUAUUGGCCAAAGGAGUUGAUUCAAAAUCUAGUUGAUGGGGCAGAUCAAAUAGCAUGGGGAGGCAUUGCACAGCCAUCAAUAGAUGGAGUGAGCCCUAUGUUGGGGAGUGGACAUAAGCCAAAUGAAAAUGGUGAUUAUAAUGAAGGUUGUUACAUAAGAAACAUUCAAAUCAUAUCAGGUGCAGCAACAAAUACUUAUGUACUGCCAACAUGGGAUAACACACUGAGUUAUUCAAGUAACACUAGUUGUUAUGAUUUGAACCCUAAUGUGAAUUGUGGUUAUGAUAUGAUGGAAUAUUGCUUCACCUUUGGAGGACCCGGUGGACCUAAUUGUGAAGCCACCAUCUUUUAAUUACUUUCUUUAAUUUAUUCAAUCACUUCUUGUUGUCGUUCUGGCUUUAUGGAGGAUUAUUGCUUGUGUAUUAUAUAUAAAACAAAUCAUCCUUUGUGUGGAAUAAAUUUUGAGGUAUUGUCAUCUUUUUCUAUUGUUUUUCUUUUCUCUAUCAUUGUAUUGUAAGGAUAUGUUUGAGAGAAUUACUUUUACCAUUUAAUUAAAACUUUAUAUGAAAUGAUGUGUUUUUAAUAUCAAUUUAGAAACUAAUUUUGAUGAUAUGAUUUUUUUUAUUUAAAAAAGAAUGUAAAAUUUAAAAUUAAAUUUAUUUUGAGUGAUUUAAAUUCUAAAAAUGAGAAAAGUAAUUUUUACCUAUUUAAAUCAUGAUUUCAAAACUAUGUAGAUAAAAACGAAACAAAUAAAAAAUAUUGAGUCUUUGGUAUAUUUUUUUUAUAUAUACUUUCAUAAUUUUGCCCUCCUUUGAUGAAUUGGUAUUUUUUUAUAAAAGAAAUUAAGUUUAUGAAAAGAAGAUUAAAACUAUUUAUGAAAUAUAAAAAAAAAAAAAUCAAAUGAGCUAUAAAGAAUUUAAUUAUUUUAGUUCCUUGUAAAUAGUUUUAAUUUCUUUAUUAUAUUUAUUAGAGGUAAAAACUACUCAUUCGUCUAUAAAUUUAGUUGUUUAAUGUCUAAUUAAAAAAAUUAAAUAAUUUGAAAAUUAGGAAAAUGAUUACACAUAUGAUAACCAUUUGAUUUUAAUUGACUUUUAAAAAAUUAAACUUCCACAUAUGAACUAUAUGUUUUUUUUUUUAUCUGAAAAAAUUUUAAAACUCAACUAAUUUAAACUGAAAUGAAACUAUUUACAAAAUAUCGUAAACAAAAUCUUAAUAGGCUACAGAGAAUUUGAUACAUGCUUCACAAACCAAUAUGAAUUUUUUCAAUAAGUAAGUCACCCAUCAUAGAAUUAUUUCAGGCUAAGCUCAAACCACUAAAAAAGAAAGUAUACCUUGUUCGUAUAUGUAAUAAUUUUUUAUAUAAUUUUUUUAAAUAUUUUUUAAUCUUACUUUCAAGUUAUCAUAAUUCAUCCCAUUUAAAUGUGGUAUCUGUUCAUCCAUGUCUCCUUUUAAACUCAGGACAUUUAAUUUAUAUUUGAUUAAUGUUUUGGAUAUACGGAUGCUAUAUUUGGCCGAUACUUGAUGAAAAUAAAUAUAUUUCUUAUUUGUAAGCACAAAUUUAAUAUUUUUCAUUAACAAAAUCAGUAGAAGUUGUUUUUCCUUUUAUUGGGAGCAUAAAAUUAAAAGUCUAACAAUUAAUUUGCAUGGACAAUGAUAGAAAAAGAUGAAGAAAUUAAACAAAUCUAUUUUCUAUUUGAAGAAACUAUAUAUUUGUUAAAUGGAUAUAUGAUCACACAAAAUAGAGUAUUUCCUUUAGAAGGCAAACAAAUUAAUUAUAACGUACUCCCAACAAUAAUACAUUUUUGCAUGAUUUAAUAAUUAUGAUAUAAAAAGAAGAAAACUAAAACAAAUCAAUUUGUAUUAUUAAUUACAAGAUGGAUUAUUAUUAUUCUAAAGCAACAUGUUUGGUGAUAGUGUUCUUUGUUUGUUUCAAUUGCAAAUUCAAUCAUGCCUCUAACCCUAAUCUUUCAAGAGAAGAAGACUUGGAGAUUGAAAGACAACUCAAACUUCUCAAUAAACCAUUCAUCAAAACAUACAAGGUAAGCUAUAUAUACCUACAUACACUCUUAAUUGAAAUCUUGAAUCGAGAUUCGAUAAUUUCAUUAUACUUUAUAUAUUAAUUAAAAUUCUUUUUGUUUUCGAUUAUGCACAAGUGAAGAUUAAUAAUAAAUAAUUUAAGAGAAAUGAACUACGAUGUUUCUUGCUUAAUAGACGAAGGAAGGAGAUAUCAUUGAUUGUGUCGACAUCAACAAACAACCUGCCCUCGAUCAUCCUUUACUAAAGAAUCACAAAGUUCAGGUACAUACUCGUAUUUGUGAUAUCUGUUAUAUUUCGUGUUUUUCUAUUUUCAAUUUCAACUUUCAUUACAUUUUAAUUAGGAAAAUUUCCAGAAGAAAAAAAAGAACAAAGAAAAAUUUUGUUUACAAUGUUUUUAGGGAAAUUCUUAUAGAUAGAAAAAAAAUUGAAACUAUUUACCUAACAUACCUAUAAAAAACUAAAAUGGGGUGAGAAGAAUUUGAUUGAUUUUGGUGUGUUUUAUAAAUAGUUUUAAUUUUUUUUGUUUUUUUUUUCUAUUUUUGAAAAAAAAUCCUUUUAAUAUGUUUGGAGAGAUCUUGAAAUAGUUAAAGUCAUUAAUAUUAUAUUAAAAAAAAAUAAAACAUGAUUUUGAUUAUUUUAAUUAAACAGUUAAAUUAAAUUUUGAAAAGUAAAAAGCAUGAUUUAGAAUAAUUUUUAAUGGAGCAAGAUUAAAAGUGAUUUUUCAGAAUUACUCUCAGGUAUCAAUCAUGUAUUCUCUAUACAAAUUAAAGAAAUUGAUUAACAAUAUUAUUCAGUAUUGACAAAUAGAAAAUGUAAUUAGGUCACUAAAACCAUCUUUUUAAAGUUAAAAUCUUUAUAUAUAUAUAAUUGUUUAGACUAUCAUUUACGUUUUAGAAAUGUUUUCAAAAACUAAACCAAAAUUUUAUAACUAGAAAAAGUAAUUUAUUGAAAUUUGUUUUAAUUUUUAAAAUGGACUAAAAAUUCAAUUAUUUUACUUAAGAAAAAUGCAAAAUAUUGUAAGAAAAUAGAGAGAAAUUAGUUUUAAUUUUUAAAAAUCAAAGUCCUAGUUUUUUGUUUUAAAAAAUUGUCUUUAUUUUUAAAAAAAUUACGUCUUUCUUAAUGAGACAUUUGAAUUUUUAACCUAAUAUGAAAACAAAAUUAAAUUUUUGAAAAAAAAUGUACAUAAAUUGUUAAAAUAUUGCUAGAAAAUAGAUAAUAAUAAUAAUAAUAAUAAAACUAUAAGCAUAGCAAAUAUUAUGUCUUGAUUUGCAUUCAAAUUAUAUUAUGGUUUUUUUGUCUUAUCAUUUUUGUUUUGUGAUGAUAGACUCUGCCAAGUGAAUUUGUAUCUAAAUUGUUCAAAGAAGAUUCGUCUCAAUCAAACAAUGGGAUACUCACAAGUAAUAACAACAAUGGAGAAGGUUGUCCUGUUGGAUUUGUUCCUAUUAGAAGAACAUUGAAAGAAGAUCUAAUUAGGUUAAAAUCUCUAUCAUCCAACAGCAAAAACCAACAAUCAUCGAUGAAUCCAGAAGAUGAUGAUCUAUCUGGUGAUUCUUUUUACGACGCCGUCAGAUUUCCUUACUAUCAAAAUGUAAGUAUCCGGAUCUUUUAAUUUCUUGUAUGAUUUGUUUCUAUUUUUUUGGCUAAAUUUUAUUUGUAAAGAUACAUACCUUUGAAUUUUAUUCAUGUUUUAAAAGUUACAAUAUUAUUCUUAAUAAUCCUUCAUAUGCUUUUUAAAAUUACUAUCCUUAAAACUAGAUAAUUGUUAGAUAUCGUCACUAAAAGUAAAUAUGUUUGAAAGUACGUACCAUUCUUUUCAAACUUCACAACCCCAUCAAGCGUCUUAGUUACGUCACUUCCAAAUCGUUCUAGGUUUGUAUUUCAAGAAUAGUUUUGAAACGUUGCAACUUCGGAAAGAAUAAUAUCAUUUUUUAAAAAAAGUAAAGAGUAAAGUUUAAGAUAUGUUGUUAUAGGUUAAGUAUGAUGAAGGACUGUGGUUUCAACGGGUUAUUAUUCAAAACUAACCCUAAUCAUCGAAAAGAAUAAUGCAUAUAUAGUAUUUUGUUAUAUAUAUAGUUGCUAACAUUUGUAUAAAUUGUGAUUAUUAUGGAAAGGUUGUUUCUCAUUCGUUGAUAAAAGCACAAUAUUAUCAUGGAGCCAAAGCUCGAAUUGCUGUGCACAAUGUGAGUUUGAGUGACAAUGGUCAAUCUUCUUCGGCUAACAUAUGGGUUCUUGGUGGCUCUGAUGAUUCUCUUAAUGUUCUUAUGGCUGGUUGGCAGGUAUACACAUCUUUCAUUUUCCAUUUUAACUUUGUCAAAUUCUCUUCUUCUUUUGUUCUCUCUAUGCAAUUCAAUAUUGGAACUUUUAUGUGAAUAAGUUAAUUUAUUUGAUAAUUAUUGGGCGUUUUUUAAAGUUAAGUUUAUGAAUUAAUACUGGUUAUAAUUAGAUAAAUUUAAAGUUUUCAAUUUCAAAACUAAUUGAAUAACAAGAGAAAAGUUGUUUAUAUAUAUAUAUAUUUUGUAGGAAUCGGGGAAAAGGUGAGAAAUUCAACUAAACAUUUUUUAGAUCAUAUAUAAAUAAUUUGAUAGGUGUAAGUAUUUACUUUAUUGUGAAAUUUGAGUAAUUUUUUUCAACAAAUUUAGAUUGUCGAGAUUGGAUGAAUCAUAUAAAAAAAGUUAGUAAGAAGAUUUUUAUUAAAAUCUCUUAGCAGUCAUGAUCGAAAGGAGUUUGCAAGAAUAGCAUAAUGAUAUAUGAUAAUAGAGUCCAUGUCACAUACAAUUUUUAAAUUGUAAAAAUGACAAAUUUAAAAGCAGAUUACUGUAUAAGAUUAUCGCCAAUUAUUAGUCAUAUUGACCAAAUUUGCAAUAUGAAAAAAAAAAUGUAAUAUUAACGGUUUCUUUUCUAUUUUUUUUAUCUGACAAUUUUCCAUUUAUUUAAGUUAAUUUACCUUUCAAACAAACAAAAUGGGAAGUCAAAUUUUAAAAAUAAAAAACUAGAAACAUGAUUGUUAUCAAAGGAUGAAAUAAUUACAAUAAUUACAACUUUUUUAUAACUUAUACUACUAAAAUUUAAUGAGGAUUUUCUUUUUUUUGCAUUUUAGGUGAAUCCAGCUGUAAAUGGUGAUAAUCUCCCUCGAACCUUCGUGUAUUGGACGGUAAGUGCACGAAUAUUUUUUUCAUCAUAGUUUCAUUAUUAUUAGUCUAAUCAAAUUGUGACUAUUAUUGAACUAGAAAUUUUGAACCAAUUAUCAAUUGUCUUUGUUUAUCAAAUUAAUGAGAGAGAAAAUAUAAAUAAUUGAGUUUGAGACUAAUUAAAAGUUGGAAUGUGUGAAUACAUAACCUAGCAAAUUCUAACAACGCCUUGUGUUUUUAUCAUGAUUAUUUUGGUCAAAUUAAAAAUUAUUUAUUUGAUCUAAAGUUCAAUUAGACAAAAAAAAUAAAAAAUUAUUAAACCAAAAUGCAAAAUGCUAAUCAUGGAUCAACCAAGCCCAAAACCUUGAAACCCAUUAGAGAGAAUUUUAGAAAUUUUUACUCCAAAAGGCUAGAGAGAAUUCUUCCAACAACCAUAAGAUAUUCUUCGACACAUGUUUGCUCCCUCAAAUCAAGUAUACACAUUUGAAAGUUUUCUUAAAACACAAUUAAUUACAAAUUAUAUAAUAUACAACUUCUUUUUUUCUUUAGGUUUUGUUAGUCAAAUUUUUGCUUCAUCUCUCUAACUCUAAGUUUUGAGUUUAGUUUCUAUUUGGUUACUAAAUUUCAAUAGUAUAUUACAUUAUUACUGUUGUAAUAGGUUGACACAGGUGUUACAACAGGAUGUUACAAUAUGCUAUGUCAAGGAUUCGUGUUGGUAAAUCCAAAUAUUCACGUAGGCAGUAGUAUUCUUCCAGCCUCCAUCUAUCAAGGACAACAAUAUGACUAUCAAUUUAGUAUCGUCCAGGUAAUGCAAUUAUUUUCAAACGAUAGCUCAUACACAUUCAACAUAUUUUCAUUUACAUUAUUUGCAUGAAAAAUGUCGAUAUCAAGAUCUAAAUAGAUGCUAUGGAAAUAUGAAAGUAGUAUAAAAAAUUUGGAGAUUGAUGAAUAGUUUCAAGAAAUCAUUAGAGAAUUUAUAUAUAAAAGAAAAUUUUAAAUUUAACAAAAUUGUAUUUCAUCUUUAUUAAAGUAAUUAAGUUCAAAUUUAUCUAUAAUAUUAAAUUAUAAAUUUAGUUCAUAAACUCAGGAGAGAUUAUAUCUAUUUGAUUCUUAAUUCUUUCUAAAAAUUUUAAGAACAGUUAGAUAAUACAAUUGAAAAUUUAUAGUUCUAAUUAGACACUAUAUUCCAAUUUAUAUCUAGGCUAAUUAAUUUAAUUUAUAUCUUAUCAGGCACAAAAAAUAUAUGUUAAAAGUUAAUAACCUAUUAUUUUAAUCUAAUAUACAUUAUUAGGCUCGUAUUUGUGAUAUUUUGUUCAUAUAGUCACUCAUACGUUUAAAUAUCAAUCCAUUUGCUUCAUUUUGGUGGAUGUUCUUUCAAAAUAUUAAAAUUUUGAUCUUUUGAACUUUUAAGAAUAAUCAUUUUUGAAAAAGAUAUAUAAAAAUAAAGGAAUAAAGUUUUGAACCUUUUUAUGGAAAAUGAAUUCAUUUUUUUUACGUUUCUUCUGAUCUCCUCUAGCUUCUCUCUUUAAAUUAAUCGUUUUUAUGGAAAGAAAUCUUUGGAGCUAGGGUGUGAUUAGUGUAUCAACUUAGUUGAAAUAUUUUGGUACAUCUAUUAACUCCUCACCUCCUACGUAUCUUUCUCUAAAAGAUAAACCAAAAUAAAAAUAUAGAUAUUAAACCAAUAUUCAAAUGAUCUUAAAUUCAUUUUACGUUACCAUAAAUUUUCUAUAAUACAAUUCAAAUGUGUUGACACUAUCUCUCUAUAUAUUAAUAUAGAACCUAUACAGACAUAUCGAAAGAAAUUUAAUAUUGCAAUCAUACGUAAAUUACAUGUAGAGUAAUUAUAACUAGAGAUAGCAAUUUAAGGGAUAAUAAUCAAGUGUAGAACAAUAUAUAUGUAAAAAAAUUCUAUAGCUGAUAGACUACACCGAUAUACAAGUUUAUCAACGAACAAUAUAUGCUAAUAUUUUGAUUCUAAUUGUUGUAUUUUGGUAUUAUUGUCGGUUACACAUGUAUUUGUUUGAUAUGUAGGCUAUAGGGCAUUGGUGGGUUCGAGUAGGUGAUAACCAAGUGGGAUUAGGAUAUUGGCCAAACGAGUUGUUUCCAAAUCUACUUAGGGGGGCAGAUCAAGUUGCAUGGGGAGGCAGUGCACAGCCUACACUAUAUGGUGAUGAAAGCCCUCCAUUGGGAAGUGGGCACAAGCCAAAUGGUAAACCCGAUGAAGCCAUUUUCGUUAGGAACAUACAAUACAUAGCACCUAACUACAUACUCUCAAUACCCACUUUGAACAACACAAUAAAUUAUGUGAGUAACUCUUCCUGUUAUGAUUUGAUCUCUAAUGAGAAUUGUAGUUUUGAUCCCUUCAAAUAUUGCUUCACUUUUGGAGGCCCAGGUGGGCAUGGUUGUGAAGCCUCUACUACUUAAAACAUGUCGUGUUAUGUUAUUGACUAUGUAAUAAAUUUUAAGGUGUAUUCACCUUUUAUUUUUUUCCCCUUCAUUUGGUUUUCCUUGUAGGCUACUGAUUGUCUGUUGUCAAUUAGAAUUGAAUCAAUUUGUUUGCUUUUUUUUUUUUUCUUAAUAUAGUUAGGUUACAUUGUUGUUUCAUGGUUGGUUUUUUUGGAAAUUAAAUUUAUAUUAUAGGUUAUGAUGACGAUUUAAAAUUGGCAUCUAAAUGUUGAUAUAUGUAGUGAUUUUAAAGUCUUUCUUUAACUAUACAUUCAUAUACUUGGGAUAUCUAUUUUAUUCAAAUGUGAUAUUGACGUGGUAAUCAAAUUAAAUCUAAUAACACAAGUCAAAAUUUAAAUAUUAGUUUGUAUAUAUCGAAUAAUUGAAUGUGAAACAAGUCGAUUUGUGACGGAAUAAUUUAGAUGAGAGAGUGUUACCAACUUGAUAGAAUUGUUAUUUCGAAUAAGAAAAUUGUGAAAGUUGAAGCCAAAAACUAGACUCUUGAAAAAAUGGGAGUUAAUUGGAUGAGGUUGUGGUUAGCCAAAGAUGAGGUUGGAUGCAACCAUGAUUGUAUGAUGAAUGGAACAUGGUAGGAGUUAUUUGGGUGAGGAACCAACCUUUUCAACUUCAACAACAAACCUUUAUAUAAUUAAAAUACUCUGGAAUUGAUUAAUUUGACUGGUAGAGAGUUUUGAUUAGGAUAAAUUUUGUAAUUUACAUUGGCUUGGGAGGGUAAAUAAUUGAAGCCAAAUUGAUAGAAGAACAAAAUCAAGAAGAAAACAAAAAGAAAGAAAAGAGAGAAAAAGAAGAAUAAACUAAAACCCUAAAAAACAAAACCCAUUUCGCGGUUCUCUUUCUCUUUCUCCUUCCCAUUUCCCGUGUCUGUUCAGUCGUCACUCGUCACUGAUCGAACAAAGCAAAUACGCAAAUUCACAACACGAAUCACUGAACCCAUCAAUUUCCCAUUUCCAUUCUUCCCUCAACAAUCAACCCAGAACAAGAAGACACACCAAGAACAACCACAACAAGAAGAAAGGGAUCUCCUUUCUUCCCACAUUCCCUUAAUCUGAUUUUGCCCCCCAAAAUGGAUUCACGGGAGAGGUCGAUGCCUUCUGUUCAUCAACAUCAUCAACAAUCAACUCCACCCAACAGGAUGAUCCCCAACAACGCUUCUUAUUCCGCUAAUAUGCCCAAUUCCAACAAUACUUCCCCUUUGAUCAACCCCAAUUCCGCUGCUGCUCAAAUGAUGUCUUCCGCUUCCCGAUUUCCCUUCAACUCCAUGAUGGGUUCCUCUUCUAAGCCUUCCGAAUCUCCCAAUGCAGCUUCUUAUGAUGGAUCGCAGUCUGAAUUGCGCACUGGUGGCUUUAACAUUGAUUCUGGGAAGAAGAAGAGAGGCCGUCCCAGGAAGUAUUCUCCUGAUGGGAAUAUCGCCUUGGGUUUAUCACCAACCCCCAUCACUUCUUCCGCCGUUCCUGCCGAUUCCGCCGGCAUGCACUCCCCAGAUCCUCGCCCUAAGAAGAACAGGGGACGGCCGCCCGGUACAGGGAAGAGGCAAAUGGAUGCUUUGGGUACUUAUCUUUAUGCCUUUCUUCCUUCUUCUUGUUUUUCUUUCUUUAUGCCUUGUGUAAUGGUGUGUUAUCCUGGGGGACAGGGACCGGCGGUGUUGGUUUUACUCCUCAUGUCAUUCUUGUGAAACCAGGAGAGGUAAAGAAAUUUGCUUUCUUUUGUAUAUAUUAUGAUGCUGCUGAAUUUGAUUUGAUGUUAUUCUGUUUUUUUUUUUUAAAAAAUUUAUUUUCUAUUCAAUGGUAUUCAAUUCUUGUAGUCGAUUGCUUGGGCUUCUAUGAGUAAUUCAUUAAAUGAAGUGAGGUGGGAGCUUGUUGAUUUAAGAUUAGAUAUUGAGAUUCUACAACAUUGGCUGAUGGACCUUAACUCCUUUCCUUGAGAAUGUGGUUGUGUAAAUCUGUGUGUUAUAUAUGUAUGUUUCAUUCAUUGAUGUUCCCUGGGGGUGGUAUUUGUUAUCUCUCCCUUGUGGUAGCACUUGUACUGCCAUACAGUUACUCGUCUUGAUAGAAAGAGAAGAAAAGAGAAAGGAACCCAAAUUAGAAAGAUGAGAAAGAAUUUGAGUAGAGUAUAGUUGGUGUUUAAUAAAAGGAAAGAAUGCAUCACAAGGCAAAGAGUUGUGAACCUGUUUUUGUGGAAAAUAGAUAACACAAUCUUUAUUCUUUUCAUAAAAAUGUAAAUGCCUCAAUGUCAUAAGAUCGAUUCUGGUGGUUUACAUUUUCUCUUACUUUGAAGAGUACAAAGCCCCUAAGAAUCCUUCAAUUGUAAGUUUAGAUGUCAAUGAAGUGAAGGUAAGAGAUAAGGAGAGUAAUAUUGUCACGGUUUUGAAUUAGAUGCUUAAAAUUGGGAUUUUUUCCCCCGCAAAUUCCUUCAACACUUUUUUGGGCUUUUGUUUAGUACUUUUGAUAUUUCAGUGGAUAGUUUUUGUUUCCUAUUAAAAGGUUCUCCAACAUUUGAAUGUUUUCUUCAUCCUUAUUCCUACAAAAGGUUUGUGUUAGCAAGUUUCAGUGAUAAUUGAUUCAAAUAAGUAGUGAACUGUGCUGUGAUUUCUAGAACUGGCCAUACUUGCAUUAUUGAGCUAAAUUGGUUGUAGCUGAAUUCAAGAUAAGAACUUUAGCUAUUUCACUCUAUUAUGUGGUCUUAGGAAACUAUUCAAAUAGCUUUGUGAGAACAGAAUUUCCGCAAAAACUGAAACAUAACCCAAUUGUUCUCACUUCUAAAUCUGAUUCAUCAAAUUCCUGUCUAGAUCUAGCUUUUCCUACAAUAACAUCAGAUUUUUUGUUUGUAAAGGAAACCCAUUGGAAUUCUUUUGAUAGAUGCGAAAAAGUUUUUAUAUAUAUGUAUUGUCAAACUGUUGUAUUGUUCAUUUCAAAGUGUAGUUCAUGUUUCUUUUUUGCUUUUGCAUUAAAUUGAAUCCAAUAUUCACCGAUUUGUAAAGUUCAGUGUUGUGAUUUCUCGUCACUUUUAAGAUCUAAUGUUAAUAGUUGAUUGUCCAAAGUCAAAGCCGUUUGCUAAGCCUGGAUUCAGAGUGGAGCUUUGUUAUGAACUGUAAACGUCGAUGGGAGAUCUGUUUUGAUUGAAAUUAGGCUUAAUCAUUAGAAGCUGCUUCUGUGGAGACACUUCAUCACUCAACUGCCUCUUAAAUUGGUGUCUGCAAGAUUUUUUUACAUUUUAGAGUUUAGAAUUUUGUGGUGCAAGGGAGGAGGGUAGUUAAUUAGUUGGAGGGAUUCUGAUUGGUUAGGAAAUCGAAAAAUGUCUAUCCUUCAAGGAGCUUUCAGGAACUUUCUAGUUCAAUUUGGUUUGGUUCUAUUUCUUGGUUUGUUUGGCUAAAUUUGGCUUUUCCAUUUACCAUAGAGAUCAUUCUUACUUGGCACAUCAACAAAGCUAUUUGGCAUCAAAGUACCACAAGAAAGUGAAAUUCUUUCCCUGAUAUCUGACUCUUCAUGAGUUAAGCACUACUGAUAAGAUAUCUUUCGCUUGUGUCGUCCUUAUCACCUACUGGUUUUAUUUUGUGGUAGGAUGUUUUUGAGAAUGCUCCGUUUGUUUGUUUUGGAUGAUAAAUCUAAAUGUAGGGAAAAUCUGUGUAAACUAUUUAGUUUGUUUUGGUUGCAGACUUCCCCUUGUUAAUAUCCACCAUUUGUUCUCUAAGGAGGAACCCCUUUGAAAGAGAACUAAAGCAUUGUGAUUGUGCGUGAUUAAAGUUAUUUGAGCAAAAUAGAAACUGAGAAUUUUUCGAAAAGCAGUAAAAACUGGGAGGGAUAUCUGAGAAGAAACUAAAACUGGGAGUUUCUUCUGGUGUUCUCUGCUUUAGAUUGUAAUCCCUUCUUUUGCUCUUUUAAUGUUUGAAAAAAUGAAUAUUUCUUUAAACGUUUAUCAAAAUUGAUCUGUUGAAGAAAGGCAAGGAAGGUAAGGCCUUCAAGCUUUUUUUGUCGAUCAGCUUUAAAUUUUUUAUGAUUUUAUCUGUAAUACUUAUCAAGUAUGAAGAUCCAUCUUAAGUCGUAACAUAUUGUUUGAUAAUCUAGUAAUGUCAUUUGAAAAAAAUUGCUCUUUUUUAAUUUUUGGAUGGUCGUGAGUGCUUGGGCAAGCUUGCACACGCGUCCACAUUGUUUCGAUGACAAAUUUGAAGAUCUUACCGGAUGCCUUAUUUCCCUCCCCGUUGUUCUUUAUAGGAAUGAAUUUUGUGGUUUCCUCUUACGAAAGCCUAUGGUACUAUCUAGCGGGCUUUAGUUAAUUGAAAUGAUGGUGUUUCACUUUUAAGACUGAUAGGAUCAUUCAUAAAUAUACUUUUUGAAUACAGAAUUUAAAAACAUUUACAAUAAUAAUAUUUUGCAUUUACAAUAAUAUUCUUUUGGGUGUGGUCAGAGAGACAUUCGAGCUAUGAUAGAGGAGUUCCUCCUUCAUCUGCCAUUCAGAGAUAGGUUUGCUGGGUGUGUGCAAUUAUUUGGGAUAUUUGGGGGAAGAGGAGUGAUAGAGAUUUUAGAGGGAAGGAUAGGGAUCCUUGUAAGGUCUGGUCUUUGGUAAGAUUUCAUGUCUCAAUUUGGGUUUUGGUUGCAAAGCUUUUUUGUAAUUAUUCGGUAGGAAACGUCUCCCUCAGUUGGAUCCCUUUCCUUUAGUGAGGUUUUUUUUGGCUUGUUUUUUGUGUGUUCUUUCAUUUUUUUUUCUCAAUGAAACUUGUUGUUUCUAUCAAAAAAAAUAUUUCGGGCAUUUUCUGCUCUUGACCUUUCCUGGUAUAGAGUAGGAUUUAGUUUUCCAUGGUACAGACAUGUGCUAUUGAAUGUGUUUUCAUACUUUACUCCCUUCCUUAAUAUGCAUAUGGAUUUAUAAGUCUGAACCUUAAUCGAUGCCUGUUUCAAAAAGUGGCUUCUCAUUGUUUUGCAGGACAUUGCCUCAAAAGUUAUGGCAUUUUCACAGCAGGGGCCACGGACUGUUUGUAUUCUCUCUGCCCAUGGGGCUGUCUGCAACGUUACCCUUCAACCUGCAUUGUCAUCUGGUAGUGUGUCAUACGAGGCAAGUUCUUAAUUUUCCUGAGUUGACUUUGGAGAACUGUAGCCAGCAAGUGAUGUCGGACUUACUAUUAUUUACUGUACAUUCUAACGCAUCAACUUCCAAAACAUAGAAGGAUCCAUGUGAGAGUUUUGCGCAAGCUUAUGAGAACACACGUCAUUUUCUUGUUUAUUAUUGCUGGUCACCCCUCCUCUACUCUUGAUGUUGGUUUUCCUUUGGAGCGUGAGGGUCACUUUACGUCAAAUGCUUGUACAUUGUAGCUCAGGCUAGCUAUUCCAUUCCUGCAUGUACUAUCUGCCUCUCUUAACCUUCUUGGCGUUUUACCAUCUUUUUUCUGCUUAUUUUCAUUUGUUAAACGUCUGUUUGUUUUGCCUUUCUAUUUAAUAGGGUUACCCUUUGCCCUGUACUAUGGUGAUGAAAGGUAAAGCUCUGGGGUUUUGCAAACAUCCGUAUUUCUAUGAACUAUAUAGAGAAGACAGACAGUUUCUUGUAAACAGUUCCUUGUGAAUUUUUAAAUGGGUUGAUUAUUUCCAAGUGAAAGAAUGGAACGUGGUGAUAACUUAAUUUAUCAGUCCUAAACUUGGAAGUAGCUUGCUCCAAUACAUAGUGAGUCCAUGGAUUUGGUGAUCCCUGACCGGCGGUUCAUGCUUAUCUACAUGGAGGUUAUGGUAGUCUCCUCAAUUUUUAAGAUGCCUGGUGCUAGUACUUGUAAUGUAUUUCAUCCGUUUCUUCUCAGCCUCUAAAAGAAGAGAAAGGUAGCAUUGAUCAUUAAGGAUUUUACCCUUGUGCCUAAAGGUGUGACCCAAAAAUUCUAUGGAGAAGGAUCUCAAGGAUGUAAAAAAUUUUAAGUAACUAGCUAUAUCAAGAGUGUACAUUCCUUUUCAGUGAUUCAUUCCUAAGAUCUUUGAACUUAACUUGGAACAAUCUUAUGCUAGGUGAACUCCUGGAAAUUUUCCUUGGAAGGAUAUGAGUGGGGUGGGGACAAAGCAUGCUGAAACUAUUCAUUCUGGUUUGUGAAGGUAUUUUUCACUCUUGGAAGCUCUUCAACACAAACAAAAUGACGUAGUCAGAUUGUGGAAAUGCCCAGGUAAUUAGAUGUCCAAUCCAAAUCCAUGAUCUGAAUCUUGGGCUUUGAGUGUUUUUUUUUAAAAAAAGAUAUUGAAAAAUAGAGAGACAAAGUUCAAUGUACAUGAGGGUUAUACAUGGGGAUUAGCAGGCGCACCCGAACAUCUCAACUAGGUUGUCACCUUCUUAGCGCCCUCAUCACAUCCAAAAAGUGAAAAUAAAAUCCUUAUACUAGCGCCCUUAUCACUUGGGCUUGGGGUGUUAUAGUUGGAGUAAGGAUCCUCUGGGUUUUUGGGAGCACAUCAAAGAGAGAUCGAAGGUAGAAGUGAAGUUGUAUUGCAGUAGCAAUGGGGCAGGUCACAAACGUUGGUUAUUUCUACUCUUGUUCUUGCCUAGCACACAUGAUUGAUUAGUAGUUGACAGUAAAGUUAUGGUUCCUCUAUUUUUGGCCUUGGGUAUUAAGUUUACUUUAGUACAAUAAUCGAGCAAAGCCUUUGAUCUUCUAAGGAUAUUAGUAUCUAACUGACAUUUUAUACUUAAUUGGAAGGAUGGUUUCUUGGUGACAAAAUGGAGCGGCCACAUAACAUCUUGCUUGGCUUUCUUAGUAUAGGAGUCAUUCCAAUUUCACUUGCAGCAGUGAAGGACUUUAGAUUGUAUGACAGUAUCUCAAGGAGAGAGACUAACAAGUGACCAUGUACCAAUAGAAUUUUAGAGCCAAACUAUUUAACUUGAGGCAAUUUAAGGCAGGAUUCAAUAAUGAGAUCCAUGAGGGACAUCCACUGCCAUUUCUCGGUUACUCAACUAAAGUUUUUUCUUUGGAGAGUAUUUAUUUUCUUUUAUAGAUCAAAUCUUAGAUAGAGGCAAACUAUGGCACUACAAAAGUUCUUUCUUAAUUUAAAAAGUACAAGAAUUAAAUUUUUUUGAUGAAGCAAACUGCUUUCAUUGAGAAAGAAUGAAAGAAUACAAAGACUUACAAAAAAAAAAAAAACCAGAAAAAACACCCCAACUAGCAUAAGGGGGACCAACUAAGUACAAUAAUUAAAUUUUGAACUCCAUUUUGACUGAGCUCCAAAAAGAGGCCACAACUUCUUUUGGGUUUAAAAAUCCAAUAUUGUUUUUUUGUUAGAAAAAAUUACUUCAUCCUUUUCUAGUCUCCCAUCAGGUAAUCACCAUUGGAUUGUUAAUGUAACAAUUGUGCUGCAGAGAUGAUCUGUGUUAGAUGUUGAACAUUUACCAUCCCUUGAUUUUUUUUUUUUCUGAAAAGAAGACAAGUUUCUUUAUUAUAAAUAAACUCAAAGUACAAGGGAGCUAUACAAUGAGAAUAAUACGGAAGCCAAGAAAUGGAGGAGAGAGAUAGAGAAUCAAUAGAUGCACCCAGACAUUUCAACUAGGUUGACACCCCCCAUAGCAUCCUCAUCAUAUCCAAAAUACAAAGAACAAGAACAAUACUAAGGUCAUGAAAAGACCAAAGUAACAACCUAAAUAACAACAGAAGCUACCUACGGUAGACAAAAGUAAGGCUGAAAAGUAAAAACAUAACGGUAGAAAUACAUAUUAAAGCCCAUCCAAACUUCAGAAGCACUAAUUCUGAAAUGGCAAUCGUGGGAAACUACAUUGAAUCUUAUCAGAUGAAGGCGGUCCAAUUGAGGCAGAUGUCCUGUAUGGAGAAAUCUUUGAAUUUUGCAUUUGAAGAACACCAAGCUGCUGUGUUUCUUUUAGAAAUCUCUACGAUGUCAACCCAAUCCCUUUUUUUUUUAUCAUGGAAGAUGCAUUGGUUAUGUUCAAACCAAAUCUCAGCUAGAAGCCCUUUUAUCAAAUUAACCCAAAUUAGAAAAGGUGCUUUUGUUGACUGGUAAUAAUGCCAUGCUUAGAAUAUUUGAAUGCAAGAAACAGCAAAAUGUUUCAAUUGAUUGAUAUGCUUAGGGAUGAGCUUCAAGACUGAUAUUCAUGUAGGCUGGUGUAUUUUUUUAAACUCUUUUGCAAUUAUUCUAUUUCUUAUUGCCAAUUGGUAAGCUUUUCAUAUUCUAUUGGGUUGAUUGUGAGGGUUUUAAUUCUUUGCACAUCCCGAUUGAAGAAAGAAAUUAAAAAGCAAAUUUCUCUGCGAAGUUCUUUUUUAAUGAGCAUAAGCAUUUAUUCUGCAUCACUAGAACCUCAAAAAGUUUUUAUUGGUUGUGCUGACUCAUUAUUCCUGAAACAGCUGGAGGAAAAAGAACCUAUUCUAGCUGUAGUCUACACCAACCUUUAAAAAAAUCUGUUGAUGUUCUUGAUUCAUUAGCCUGAAAAACUAAGGGAAAAGAUCUAUUCUAGCUGUAUUAUUUCCUUUGUACACAAGAUAUCACCAAUUCUAUCGCUUUUAAAUCUUAUGCAGGGCCGCUAUGAAAUCAUAUCUCUAUCAGGUUCCUUUUUGAUUUCUGAAAAUAAUGGUAAUCGGAGUCGAAGUGGUGGUUUAAGUGUGUCUCUAGCAAGUGCAGAUGGACAAGUUCUUGGUGGAAUUACCAACAUGCUAACGGCAGCAUCGACAGUUCAGGUACUAACCUUCCCUACUGUCUACAAGAAAGUUGGUUGUCUUAGCUUGACAUAGUGCUGUUGAUACUUCCCAUUUUGGAUGGGUUGAAUGUUCUUUGCUUGGUUUCAAGCUUAUCUGCUAAUGUAAAAUUUGACAAUACCAGAGGAGAAACAAAAGUAAGUUGGUUUUUAUGCCUUAAAUCAUGUCUUUUGUGCAAAAUCAGGUUAUAGUCGGUAGCUUUCUCGUGGAUGGAAAAAAGCUAGGAGCAAGUAUACAGAAAUCUGGGCCGUCGUCUACGUCCCCCAAUAUGUUAAACUUUGGUACACCCGUGGCUGCAGGCUGCCCCUCUGAAGGUGCAUCAAAUAAUUCAUCCGACGACAAUGGUGGUAGC
rnacentral:lncRNA from 1 species